rnacentral:lncRNA from 1 species
GAUUCGGCUUUUUGUGUACUAUCUACUUUGGGGUAGAUUGAUGUUGUCAUUUCUUACUGAGAGGAAAAGAAAGAACAAUAUGCACCAUGGUGCUCAUGCUUUUCUGGCAGUUUGUUGUGACCAUUAUAAGGGAUGGAAAUUGAUGCUAACUCUGCAUGGAAGGUUGACAGUAUGCUGAGAAGAUCUCUGUGUUACGGUUGUGACUUCAGAAGAUUUAGGAGUGAAGUUUAGAAGAUCUCUGUGUUACUGUUGUGCAAGGGGUGUUUUGAUGAAAUUAGUUGUCAUACAAGGGAGAUUUAAACGAAAAAUAUGGAGGUUUUGCUUCUACCGGAAAAAGUGUUUUAUCUUCGGGGUUCUGUACGCAUCUAUAUCAAGUGUAAUCUCAUGGGCUAGGGAUCAAAUAGUUUGUCCUAGAAUUAGCUACAUAUGAUUAGCUCAAACAUUUGUACCUGGUGUAUGAAGUAAUUAUUUUGGUGUACUGCUGGAUUUGGGAAUAAAUUGGAUUUUGGUGUAUGAAAACCUUCAACUUCUCUAUCCAUAAGUACGCUGACUACAGUAAUCUUAAUAAGUUUAUGUGGGAUUGCAGUGUAAAUAUUUAAGAAGAGAAUGUAAUGUGAAGUGUCUAUUUUUUAUCAAGUGCUGCAUGAUGUUGCUCAUCUCUGCUAGAAGUUGCAUUACAGAACAAGAAAGUCAAGAACAAGGGGAAGAAGAACUGCUGCAGAAGUGUCUAAUGAGUAAUGAGUAUGUUAGCAAGUUUCAUUCACCAAAGUUCCGUGAGUAUGACGGUACUGCUGAUCCUGUUCAACAUCUGAAUCAUUUCAAACAAAAGAUGGCGGCUUUUGAAGCCCCACAGUAUGACGGAGUUUGGUGCAGAUUGUUUCCCAGCAAUCUCAAGGACAACGCAUCAGAUUGGUACUUGAGUUUGGAGCCAGGAAGUAUCGAAAGUUUCUCACAAUAAGUGCUGCUUUUGUCACUCAUUACAUUCACCAAAAAAGGGAGGUAUCAGAUAUCUCAAGCUUGUUCGACGUUCACCAAGACAAGACGGAAUCGUUGAGAAGCUUUGUGGUGUAUCAUCCCAAUGGUAUUAACUUCUUCUCGGAAAUGGUUUUCUCUUGAGAGCUGGCAACCAAGCUUUUCUCACAGUUAUGGCAGUGAAAUCAGGAAGUGUCCCUCUGAAAACACAACCAAAACCUCCUUUUCCCAAUUGUCUUGGAAUUUCAGAUGUAUCUUUUUUUCUAUUUUGUUUUUUUUUUUUUUUUUUUUUUUUUUUUGCUGAAGAUACUUGUGAGAUGUAUCUAAUUACAACCAUACAACGUCCAUCAGGAGUUAAAAUGUAUUCUUGAUUUUUUUGGAAAAUCAAGUAGUUGGAGAAAACUUGUGUUGGUGGAUCCAGUCUCUCAAUUUGCCCGUGACCAAGUUGAGAGAAUGGCAGAGUCCAUCUUCGUUGUUUGGUUCGGCAUGUGCCUACCAGUUUAUCCGGUAUUGCGGUUGAUAUACAUGGUGGUAGCCUCCCUCUACAAGUUCAAGCUUUUAGAUAAAGUGGCUUAAAACAACUUAGGAUUGGAGGUGUACCCACAUCUAAGCCUCCCUCCAAAACUUGAAGGAUUUGUCCCAUCGAUGGCCUAUCCUUCUCAUCUUCACGAAUGCAACCACAAGCUACUCUGUUGCUUACCAAUCUAAUGUCCCUGAUGAAACCCUGAUAUUUUUUCUCCUGCAUUUCCAAAGAAUUAGUAAGAGUAUACCCAACAGGAUAGCUACCACACAACCAUGUAAAUUUUUCCCUUUAUUUUGAAUGUAGAACCAAUCAGCUCUGAUAGAACAAGGACACGAAGAUCUCUUCUGAUGGCAUUGUGUUGUUUGACAUGUUGACCAAUAUGAAGACGUCUCCCCAAAUCGUACACAAGCUACUAUAAGCAUAUGCAGUACAAAAAUAGGGUGCCAGACAGAGUUUCUUACAUUGUCCUAUGUUUUCAACCCUUCAUAAUUUUUCGAGUUGUUUGCCACUUGAAUGUUGUAUGACAUGUUUCCAGAUCAAUGCAUUAACCAGGGUCACGAACGUAAUCAAGCUCACCAAAAGAAAUGGGUGAUGGAGAAAUGGCUGCCACACGAAUGUUGUAUUGACCUGUUUCCAGAUCAAUUUUUUUUUUAUCAGAAAAAAUGUUAUGGUAAGCCUUGAGGUGUACCCAAAGAUUUUACAAGUUGAACCCAACCGGCACCUGCAAAAUUCUUUCCAUUCCAGGAUGAGGUCUAGUAUGUAUACCCGUUGUAGCUACUAUAUUGAGUACAUUUCUUAAGACCAGCCGCUUCGUUUUAUUUGUCUCAGCUAGUAAAAGAAAACUGCUACUGUCAGUGAAGGCACGCAUGAAGCCCACACUACUGCCUGAUGGGUAAGUAGGGUUAAACUAUAUUCUUAGACGUAUGUUACCUUUGAAGAAGAUGGAUCUUUGUUAGCGAUGACAGUAUAAUUUCUAUUUGCUACCCAAACUACAGUUAGAACCGAGAUUGUUUUGUACCAGAUGCCUAAGUAGUAGUUUGAUCAAAGACCUGGUUUAAAUUAAGAAUCCAAGUUCAAAGGUUCUCCACCUAGGGAGAUAGAGAUUGAUCAACAGUGAUGCUAGCUAUAAGUCUAUAACUUCUAAUGAACAAAUUGGUAUUGAAAGAAAAGAGAAACACAAAAGAAAGAAAGAAUCAUGGCUGGCUUCUGAUUGCCGUGUCUACAAGAUUAUCUGCAUGAACAAAAGUCUCAGCAUAGAUCAAAGUCAUAUAAUGUUAAUCCAUAAUGCAGUUUAACAUAUUUAAUUAAUCUCUUCGGGGAUUUUGGAAAGUGCACAAAAUAAUCCGUUGAAAAUGUCCAUUUACUAGUAUAAUGCAGCUUUAGAGUCAGUUUAAUUUUACUCUCUAUGUGUGACACAUUGCGUUAAUUACACGAUAUUUACGGCCACUUUGAAGCCAAAAAGGACAUUAUAAAAAAAGUGGCUAUGAAAAGGACAAACUUAUGGAUCUUAUAAGAAGGACAAAUAAAUUCUUUAGGCCCAAGAACAUUUUUUUUUAAAAUAUUAGUUCUACCCUUCUCUUCUAGUUUUCUCCUUCUUCAUCUCUACGCUUUUAUCCUCGCUUCCUCUCUAUGUUUUUCUCCUCUCUUCUCCUUUCUUAUCGAUCUCUUCAUUAAUAACUCACAAAGUACCUUGAGAUUAAACCCACAUGAGAUCAUUUCUAUCUUCUCUCUUUACAUUUGUUUAAUCCUUAAACCAAUUGUCAAUCAAUUUGAUUGUAAUUAAACAUGAUUAUAUCCCCAAAACAGUAAUUGAAACCCAAUUACUAACAAUAUAGUUGUAACAUUUUUUAGUAGAAGAUUUCAAUAAAUAAAAUCUCCCACUUGUUUUUGUUUUUUUCCUCUCUUUGUUGUUUUUUGUUUUUAUCCUGUUAUUCUUCAUCUUCAUCUUCGUCACUAAUUGAACCAUAUUUUUAAUCAGAAAAAUUAUAUUAGAAUUCUGAAACAUUACAGUAAUAACAUGAUGUUAUCAGCUUUAAUUUUCAAAGAUCGACAACUACAGUAAUAACAUGAUGUUAUCACAAUUGUAGUGAUAACAUCAUGUUAUCAAAAACAACUACAAUGAUAACAUGAUGUUAUCAGCUUUAGGUUAUUUAUAAAUAAAAGACAAAACUGAUAACAUGAUGUUAUCACUUAACAUCAUGUUAUCAAUUUUAAUUUUCAAACACAACUACAAUGAUAACACACUAGGGUAACUUGUUCAAAUUAAGUGGGUAACUUGUUCAAAUCCCACUAGGGUUAACCACACCCAUACGUGGUAGUGUUUUAUUUGUCCCAUACGUGUCUAUAAAUUUAGUUGGGUAACUUGUUCAAAUCCCACUGGGGUUAACAACACCCAUACGUGGUGAUGUUUUAUUUGUUCCACAAAUCCCCACAAAAAAAUAAAAAAAAAUCGUAUGAUGUUAUCUACUUUAAGUUCUUUUACAAAUAAAAUAUCAGACUGAUGACAUGAUGUUAUCAAAGACCAGUCCAGUGAUAACAUGAUGUUAUCAUCUUUAUUUUUCAAAGAUAAAUACAGUGAUAACAUGAUGUUAUCACAAUUAUCGUGAUAACUGAGUUGACUCAAAAAUCUGAGUUGACUCGAUCUUCUUCUCCAUGAGAAAAUUGUAAAAUACGUAGUUUUGUUGUCGAUUAAAAUCACAAUUAAUCAUUGCAAUACUUCUCAUGUACAUAAUUACAAUUAAAAAUCAGAUGGUUCUCCAUUAAUAACCAUUUCUUUGUAUUUAGUACAUUAUCACAACCCAUGUAUGUGUUUUCUUCAAUAUCCACAGAUUGUUCUCCAUUAAUAAUUAUUUCUUGGUAAAAUUGAUAAAAAAUACAACGUACUAUAUCACUUUUUAAAAUUAAUACAAUGUACAAAAAAACUGACCAAACAAUGCUUGUACUUUCAUUUUGUUUUUACGUUAUACAAUCUGUUAAAAUGAAGCUAACAGACUGCUUAUCUAUACAAAAUUUUCUGACGUGGCUUUAUCUAAUUAAAUAAAAGUUGAUAAUAAUAUCCAACAGUUCAAAAAUCGCACGUGAUUCCCACGUGAUUCUCUGUUUAUAAAAAAUUUAAACACUUCUUCUUCUCAAAUCAAUUUAUCCCCAAAUCAAAGUUUCAGAAAACCUAGUUUUCUAAUAUCUAAAUCCAGGCUUCAUGUCUUCUUCUUCUAGUGUUAAUUCUCUUCGUAAUUGCAAAUGUGGAGUUCCUUCUCCAACUAAGACCGCUUGGACCCCUGAAAAUGUUGGGAGGUCGUUUUAUGGGUGCGGUAAUUACACUGAUGGACAAUCAAAGUGUUAUUUUUUCAAGUGGCCGGAUUGAUUCCUACAGACGACCUGAAUAACGCCAUCAAGAAUUGUACUAUAAACAUGAAGAAUCGAAGAUUGUGAAUGGACAUUGAAUUUGAGAAUUGAAGAUCUUGAGAAUACAUUGAUUGAGAUGAAGAAAUUAAACAAAAUUAUUCAAAAGACCAUUGAUGCUGACGAAGUUUCGAAGCUUCAGACGAAGGAGAAGAUAAAAGAGCUGCAAAAAAUGAUCACGACGACUAACAUUCAAAAAAAACCUUCUCUUUUUUUUCUUAGUUUGUUUGGUAAUUUAUGUCUAGAUUUGUAAUCUAUAGAUUUGAUUAUCAACAAGUUUAUGUAUUUAUGGACGGCUGAGAUUGAAACAUAUAGUAACAAGAUCUGGGAUUACUUAAGCUUUUGUUAUGUUUUUUACACCUCAGCAUAUUCAUUAAUUAGAUAAGCCACCUCAGAAAUAUUUGUACAGAUAAGCAGUCUGUUAGCUUCAUUUUAACAGAUUGUAUAACGUAGAAAUAAAAUGAAAGUACAAGUAUUAUUUGGUCAAUUUUUUUGUACAUUGUAUUAAUGGGAAAAAGUGGUAAAGUACGUUGUAUUUUUUAUCAAUUUUACCUUAUUUCUUCAACCAUUGAUGAACCUUAUAAUACUUGCCCACUUCAAUAAUUAGUUAUGGGUUUCAACUUUCGAGUAACUCAAGCAUUUUUACUUUUGUCAUUGAUGAAUGAAAGGAGAUUCUACAAGAAAAAGACAAACGACGAAGAAAGAAACUUAUUUCAUUGUACUUGAGAAAGUACAAAUAUAGAGAAUGAGGAAAAAAAACACUGAGUUAAAGAACGAAGAAGAGCGAGACGUGGUUUAUUCGAGAAAACACAUAAAACUUCACAUAGGGGUAUUUAUGUCCAAAAAAUUGUAUAUCCUGCAAACUAAUUCAAUUUGAAGUUUUGCCUUAUGACUAAACCCAUUUGGAAUCUUGUCUUGUUGCCCCAUUCGCUGCUAUCUGAAUGCGCACGUGGAAACACAUAUUUUACAUGAUUUUUUAUUGGUUUGGGCCUGACUGCAAAGUAGACAUGAGUUGUUUAUUAGUAUAAGUCCAGUGUUGACUCAUAAAACCUUAAAAAUUUUAAAACCCAACCUAUAUAUUUUAAAUAUUGAACACGUAGAAUUAUAAAGGUGUUACAACACAGACCUCAUAAACCAUCUUGAAGUUCAUGACUCUUUAAAGUACGUAGUUAAGAUGUGAUGAACUCCUUUAUACAAUUAUAUUGCCUAUAACUGAUGUAGAACACUAGAACCCAUCACGACAUGGUGGGGUUUUAUUCGUAUUCGAGUCCAGAAAUCUUAAUGUUACACUGAAAUGAAAAUUAUGAAAACAUGGUAAUGGCACCACAUUUUAUCUAAAGCAUAUGUAGUAACAAUAUCUUACUUUAUAUGUUGUGUUUCUCCGGUGUGGGAUUUGUGGGAAUAAUAAAACAUUGCCACAUAUUGGUGUUGUUAACCCUAGUGCGAUUUUUUUUCUUUUUUGUUAACCCUAAUGCGAUUUGAACAAGUAUGUUUGAUAAUUUUAUAUGCACGUGGCAAUUUUUUAUUCAUCCUUAUAACUAAGGCAUGAAAUCGAAUUCGGAUUAUCCGAACAUACCCAAAAACUGAGACUAUAGAAGCCAAAUUUGGAGGGUUUGGUUUUUAAUAUGUACCUAAAUUAUAAAAUGAAUGUAAACCCCCUCUUUUAAUUUCAGUUUUAAUUGCAUUUAAGUUAAUUGGAAAUUUAGAGUAAUUGAGUGCAAGUCCCUGGACCAAGGGUUUAAGUAUAAUUACUAUAAAAUAGGAGGACUAUGGUUUAAAUAAACCAAACUUGAUGAAAAAUAACCCAUGAACAGAUUUUUCUUUGCUGGUAAUUCGGGAGCACGAUCAUGAGAAACUACAAAUAGUGCUAAUCUAACAGUUCAAUAUUCAAACAACUUAAACGAUAUGCAGAAAGUAAAUAACACACAAUAUUUUUAACGUGGUAAAACCCAAAUUGGGAAACGUCCACGGUUGUCCUCGCGACAACAAAUAAAUCCACUAGAUGAAAAGAGAUGUACAAACCUAUCAACUACCUGCAAUCACUGCGAGUUGACACUCCUGGUUAUCUCUAACACCUUGACUUCACCAGAGCACCUUGAUGUACGCACAAGACACUCGACUUCUUGGUGAACACACAAGAAGACUCGAAGCCGAACUAUGAAACAAGCUUACACCAGAGUUCCUUGAUGAACACACAAAGAUACUCGACUUCUUGAUGAACACACAAGAAGACUCGAAGCUAAAUCAAUAUAAACAAUAAUGAAGAAGAAGAUGAAUGGGAAAGAAGGAAGAAGAAGAUGAAUGGGGAAGAAGAAGAUGAGUUCAAUCACCAAAACAACCUAAACCCAAAACCUAAACAAACUCCAAGACUAGAGAUGAAUUGGACGGCCAAAGAACUAACUUAUUGUUUGGAAGAGAAACCCUAUUUAUACCUAGGGUUGGAAAUCAAGGAAAAUGGGCCGAAAUAGUGUAAACUGACUUUGGACGUACGUACGUCGAUAUGACGUUCGUACGUCGUAUACACGAUCCGAACUUGCUGACUACAUGGACGUACGAACGUUCUAACUCGGUACGUACGUCCUGAACCUAAAACUUGAGUUUGACACAAGGACAUGAGAACACAAACUCGGGACGAUGUGCGUACAACUUGGUUUUCCUAACAAUGAACUCAAGGCGAGAUAACCAUGGACACUUUGUCACAAAAUUGAUGUCAAACCACUUCGUGCCGGUUUCAGAUCACACUUUGAUUAAUUGGUGAGCGUUGGAUGAACCGUCUUAGGAUAGAUUCUUAGUUAUAUCUAGACAUCAGAAGUUGUUUGCGUUUAUAAAAAGAAAAGAAAAGAAAGAAAGAGUGGCGGCGACCCAGAGGUGGAAAGGAUAGGAAGUUUCGGAAAACUCAACAUUCAGAGAUUUGGGGUUAAGGGGGAAGAAGAAGUAGCAGUGGUUGUGGUGUUGGGAGCGCCACAGACUCGCACAGAUUAGAAGCUGGUGGAAGAAGACGAACAAUAGUGGUAGCAGGUGAGUGGAUAUAAGUUAAUCUAUAUUAUAUUGUUAUUUAAUAUUAGUAUUCAUCUAUAUACAGAUGUUAAGAUUCUUACUAUUUGAUUACAUAAAUAAAAAGAUAUGAUAAUAACCGUUGGUAUACAAUCAAGUGAUGAUGGUGUGUUAAUGUUUAACAAUAGUGCACGGGCUAUGUGUUGGAAUUUGUUUGUUUUCAAGUUGUUCACCAACUGCUUUAUAUUUUGGUUUAUUAAAUAAUUUUUAUUUCAAAUGGUUUUAAGUAUGUAUAAUAUAUGUGUUCUUAUCUUGAAAUUUUCUGAUAUGAGUUGAUCUGAUAUAGUCAUUAAAUCAUUAGAACUUUGGGUUACAGAAUUGCUUGAUUGUAUGGAAAUGGGCACGUGUGAUCAUUAAUUGUCGAGUUGUUGAUAUCACUCUUGGUUACUGUUCACCUACUUGGACUAGGAAUAUAUAUACUAAUAGAUAGAAUUUUAAUGAGACUAGGGCUAUAGGGAUUUAUGUAGUUUAGUGGUACAGUAAAUAUUAUCCGCCGAAUGUGUUCUCUUUGUGGUUGUACUGUAGAUAGAAUUCUUAUUUUGAAAAACAUAAAAAUAUUUUGAUAUUAAAUUUGAGGAGUUUCUUAAUGAAUGCCUUGGAAUGGCUUUAUAUACCAUGGACGGUAUUUGAUUAAUUUAGAAAAUGCGAAAGGAAUACAAAUGAAUUUGAUGUGAAGUUGAUGUGAAAUUUUAUUGUCGAGUGUUACUUGAUUGAUUGAUAGUUUAGAUGUUUGGUAGUCGUCCAACCAUUAGUAUAUUUGCCGCACCUGUGGAAUUGGGAUUAAGAAAUUAAUUAGCACCCUAGACCUUCAAAGACCUACAUUGGGCUGCUCUUUAAGUUAGGGCAUUCCUCUCGGACUCCUUUGCUCUAAGCGCGGCUUAGCCUGCGGGUGACUCUUGGAUUAUAUUUGGGUAUUUCCUAGACGGCUUAGCCUGCGGAACUGACCCUUCAGACUUUCAUAGCCUUCGGGGUUGGUCUGGGUGCCACAUUAGAAAGCUCAAGGGAGCUACUAGAGUCCAUGAGUUAGGCAUACGUCGAGGCUAGCCAAAGCUUGCAGGUGAGCACCCACUUGGGUUUUGGUUUCCGCGUAGAGGGUCUUAACCAUAGUCAAGGCACACUGGUGCAGUGUGGGUAUGGCAAAUGUCUGGAGUGCAUCCUGUGGGAGGUGUACUAGUGAUUGGGUAUAGGUUGUGAAGUGUUGUUUGGUUACGAAUGAUUGUUUGUAGUGAUUGAGAUAUAAUGUGGAGACUUUGAGGUGUCAUGAAUUAUAUAUUAUUGUACUAAUACAGUUUUGCAGGAGGAUAGGUCAACUAACAUUUCUUGUAGGGCUCGACCUAUCCUAAUAGAAGGUGCAGCUCAGGUAAUGUAUUAUUAUAAUUUAAAGUUUAUUAUAUAGAUGAUAUAUAUAUAUAUAUAUAUAUAUAUAUAUAUAUAUGGGAAUUAUAUGUGAAUUACUCAAGUAUCUGUAAGUUUUCUUUUCGUUUUCUUUUUCUUUGUAAUUAUUUCUGCUUUAAUUUUAUGUGAAUAAAGUUUCAGUACUUUCUUCUUCUUCUUCUUCUUCUUUUUUAAUUUCUGUUCUUUAUUUACUGUAUUUAUAUUUAUGUUUUAAAUUUUAGUAAUUUUCUGCUGAAUUUUAGUAUUUAAUUUAUUUAUUUAAAUUCCUGCUUUAAUUUUGGUAUCAGCGCCAUGUCAGCGUAAAUUACUGUUGGGGAUCAUGUAGUGGUCUUAAUCAACAGUAAUUAUCCAGUUAAUAAGAACGAUGAUACUGUUUCAUGUUCUAUGUUAAGUUAUGAAGAAUAUUCCUAAUCAAGUAACCGAGCAACUCCUGUAAGAGCACUGCAACCCUGUAAGAUGGGGAAUCGAUUGUCAAGCUGCUACUGGUGGCCUCUGGCAGCAGCAGUGAUGAAGGUGCAGAACACUCACGUGUUCCUAGACCUCUAUUGCUUCAACCUCUUGUUAGUAAUAUUAUUUAUUUCUUAAUGAAAUUUCAUGAUUAGUCUUUUUGACAUCGUCGCGUUGGACUACUCUGUAGUCUCCGACUAUUAAUUAUUUUAUAUUUUAUUUAUGGUUGAUUUCAAUCUAGUCGCGUUGGACUACUUGUAGUCUCCGGUGGUAAUAAUUGAGUAUUCUGAGUAAUGAUGAAUAGAGACUUUGUCACGGUCUUUCUCCCGUUUAGCCGUAGGCAGGUGGCCGUUGGCGUUUAGGGAUCUUAUACGUUGACUGUUGAAGUUCAUCAUGAUUUAGAAUAUUAGAUUAUUAUUUACCGUGACAGAAACCGUUGACUGUUGAAAUAAAUUAUGAAUUAAGAUGUAAAGUAAUUAUCAGUUGUGACUUAAAUCGCUGACUGUCAGCAUUAAUCAUAGAAGAUGAUUUAAAACUGUGUUUUAAUAUGUUCUUAUACCUGAAUAAUUACUUAUGAGUUAAGUAUUGCAUGAUCCCUAACUCCUUAUUGACAUUUUAUCUUUCGUGUUAUCCGACAUAUCUAGUUUUCUUAUUUAAAUAUAAUGAAUCAAAAUGAUAGAUAUUUUAAUCCUUUGGCAAUCCCUUAUAGGGAAAGACUUAAAAAUACUACUUGGUAUUCAAUAGACCGAACCAAGGAAUUUAUCGUUGAUCGAGUGGCCAUCAAUAAUGAAUGGAAUAGUCCAUUAUAUGAUGACUUUCGAAAAUGGUACAAUGACCAGUACAAUGAUGAACAACAUGAAAUUUUGAAAGAAAAUUAUUACAACUAUUUGAAUAAUACUAAAAUCAUUAUUCCAUUCGCGCAUUAUGUGCUGAGAUGGGAUAGGACUUUAGAUAUAGGGGUUAUUAAAGAAUUUUAUAACAAAUGGAAUAAUAAUAAAAUUUUUGAAUUAUCACAAGAUGGUAUUACUAUAUCUGAUGGUAUUAAUACGGACUGUAAUAUCAACGUCAGACCAGAGAAUGAACAUGAUGUCAUUCUUGAGAAAACUGACAGUGAUAUUAACGUCAGCAUAGAAGAUAAGGAUGAAGUCAUUCUUAUUUCUUCUAGAAAAGUUGAUAACUAUAUCAACAAUAAACAUGAUAAUAUCAUUCUUGUUUCUUCUGAGAAAACUGACAGUGAUAUUAACGACAGUCUAAAGGAUAAGCAUGAUGUCCCUAAUAAGGACACUCAUGAUGUCACUUAUGACGUCACCCACGAUGUCACUUUCAUUUCUUCUAGUAAAGAAACUACUAUUUCAGAAUUAUCUGAGAAUAAUGAAAUAGGACAAUAUCCUAAUCAAUUUGAUAAUACUAUAAGUAUUUUAUCACUUAGUAUUAAAAAUAUUAUUUCCCAAAGGAAAAUCUCUAAAAAACCUUUUCGUCAGAAAUCUGUCUAUAAUAGAAUUUCUUUCACAAAACAAUUUGUUCUUAAUAAUCGAUUUCUUAAAAGGAAAAUUUCCAAAAAAUCCUUUCGUCAGAAAUUUGGAUACAGUAGUUCUAAUCAAGAUCUUUUUAAAAGGCAAUUUGUUUCGAAUUUCAAAAAACAAUUUGUUGAGAAUAAUCAAUUCCCUAAAAAGAAUAAUUUUACCUCUUUUAUAAAAUAUGAUAAGGUUUAUUCUGAUAUAAUUGGAUUAAUUAAACCAGUUAGGCAUGAUUUUAUGGAUACCACUAAUAGUGAUUCAAAAUUUACAAAAGUUUUUUAUCAAAAGACUUCUCUAAAUUAUGACAUGCUAAAUGACAGGCUUAGUAUUAAUGUCCUGAGUAAUGAUCAGACCUUAAUUUUAGAUAUUAUUAAUAAAAUUCCUAAUCUUGUUGAAAGAAGACAAGCUUUUCAAAGUUAUUUAGAAAAUACUUCUAAAUCCCUUUCUUCUUUUAAUUCUGAAUUUUAUACUGAUUCUAGUUUUAUGAUUAAUAGAUCUACUAUUUCUGACCUUAAAGGUGAAAUUAAUAAUCUUAAAUCAGAUAUUAAAACCUUAAAGGAAAAUUUUUCCUUAUCCCAGAUUCAAACAAAUUCUAAUCCUUUAUCAGAAUUAGAGAAUACUGGGGAUUUACUAUCCUUAAAUCACCCUACCAAUCAAAAAUGGCAUAUUAAAGUAAACCUGGUGAUUAAUCAAGAAUUUACUUUAGAAACUAUUGCUUUGGUUGAUAGUGGUUCCGACCUUAAUUGUAUAAGAGAAGGUUUAAUUCCUACUAGAUAUUUUGAGAAAACAAAGUAUGCCUUGAAUACGGCUAAUGGUUCUCCUAUGAGAAUAAAUUAUAAAUUAUCAGAUGUUUUUGUAUGCAAUGAUGGUAUUUGUCUUAAUACUACUUUUGUUUUAUCUGAUAAUCUAUCUCAAAUGGUGAUCUUAGGAAGACCUUUUCUCAGCCUUAUUUGGCCUAUUGAAAGAAUAGAUAAUAGUGGAAUUCACACUACUAUAAAAGGGAAAAAGAUAGUCUUUGAAUUUGUCUUUAAACCUAAAGAAAAUUAUAUUAAUCAAUUACAAAAAACUUUAUUUUUAAAAGAAAAACAAAUUAAUUUUUUAUCCCAAGAAAUAAGUUAUGCUUCGAUUGAUAAACAAUUAGAGCAAAAUACUAUUAAAGAAAAAAUUCUUUCUUUAGAAAAACAAUUUCAAAAGGAGAUUUGUAAUGAUGUUCCUAACGCUUUUUGGGAUAGGAAACAACACAUUGUUAAAUUACCUUAUAUUGAAGGAUUUAAUGAAAACAUGAUACCUACUAAGGCUAGACCUAUUCAAAUGAAUAAAAUUUAUAUGGAAUGUAAUGGCUUUCGGUUUAAAAAAUGCCCCUUCAGAAUUUAUGAAUAUUAUGAAUGAAAUUUUUAAUGCUUAUACAGAAUUUUGUAUUGUCUAUAUUGAUGAUAUAUUGAUCUUCUCCAAUUCUAUUGAUCAACAUUUUAAACACCUAAAUACAUUUUCUCAUCUUAUUAAGAAAAACGGUUUAGUUGUUUCUGCACCAAAAAUGAAGAUAUUUAAAACCGAUAUUCGAUUUCUAGGACAUAAUAUUUGUCAAGGGAAAAUCAUCCCUAUUGAUAGAUCUAUAGAAUUUGCUUCUAAAUUCCCUGAUGAUAUCAGAGAUAAAAAACAAUUACAGCGAUUCUUAGGAAGUCUUAACUAUAUCUCUGAUUAUUACAAAGAUAUAGCUUUCGACACCAAAAUUCUUUAUGAAAGACUUCGUAAAAAUCCUGAACCAUGGUCUAUAGAUCAUACUAAAGCUGUUCAAAAGAUAAAACUUAAAGCUAAACAGUUACCUUGUUUAUCUCUGGCUAAUCCUAAUGGAUUAAAAAUUGUGGAGACAGAUGCCUCUGACAAAGGUUAUGGUGGCGUACUUAAACAGAAAAAUAAUUUAACUAAUAAAGAGGAUCUGAUCAGAUUCCAUUCUGGGGUUUGGAAAAAUGCCCAAGUCAAAUAUUCGACUGUUAAAAAAGAAAUGUUAGCCAUAGUCAAUUGUAUUAAAUACUAAAAUUCAGCAGAAAAUUACUAAAAUUUAAAACAUAAAUAUAAAUACAGUAAAUAAAGAACAGAAAUUAAAAAAGAAGAAGAAGAAGAAGAAGAAAGUACUGAAACUUUAUUCACAUAAAAUUAAAGCAGAAAUAAUUACAAAGAAAAAGAAAACGAAAAGAAAACUUACAGAUACUUGAGUAAUUCACAUAUAAUUCCCCCUGAAUAAAGUUUCAGGUGGAAACUACGCACACCAAAAUUAAAAACUAGAAGGGAAAGGUUACAAGAAAAGCUCAAAAGAUUACAAGUUGAGAAGGGAAGAGAAGAGAAAAGAAAAAGCUUGAGAGAGAGGGAGAGAAGGCUUGCUUCAGAACGUUGCUCGUUCGUUGAAUGCUUCUAUGGAAGGCUUGAACGUUGUGUAAGCCCUUCUCCGUGAGAAUGCUUCGUUAUAUAAGCAUUUAAAAGGUGGAAAGUGGGUCCCAGUUGGAAGUGGGAAGUGGGUCCCAAAGAGCACUUUGAGAGCAUUAUGUGAAAAAGUGGGUCCCAGUUGAUAAGUGGGAAGUGGGUCCCAGUUGGCAUCUUGCUAGUGGUGGACCCCAUCAAAUAGUAAGCACCUUUGUUUUGUCGGAAGAAUAAUUUUCUUCAUUUUGCUAAUGUGGGCCCCAGUUGUAAGUGGGUAGGUCCCGGUGAAUAAUAAGUAUUUAUUGUCGGCGAUAUUCGUCCGUGGCAGAAUAAUUGACGGGUAUUGUAGACUCUUUGGCUGAUUGUCCAGAAAAGUAGAUUCUAUCUGGAAGGCUGAUAAUUGUAUAUGGACCCCAUUAGAGUCGGGUAAUUUGGGCGAGGUAAUCAUUAGUCCUCUCCAAGAUCGAUAUCUUCAUUAUCUUCGUCAUGCUGGGAAGAGCUAUGUUGAGAGCAGUCCUGUUUAAGGUCCCACCAUGAAACAAUGGAGUUACCAGGAAAAUUGGAUUCUUUACUGGUAUUGGAGUUAGUGUCCAUAGGAGAAAUAUCUCCAAAAGAGGCUUGAAUUUGCUCUUGCAUUUCUUGCAUAAUUCUAAUUUUAAUUUCCUGGGAUGAAAGACCGGGAUGGGCUUUUGUUAAUUUUUCCCUGAGAAUUGAAACAGGAUUGGAAUUAGGAGGUUCUUUAACAAUCGGUGAUGGAGUAUGCCUGGAGGCAUAUAAUUGUUCCAAUUUUUGGAUGUCAGGAGUAAUAAUUUCUAACUUUUUCUCAAUGGGACAUUUGGCCCACCAUUUAUAAUGGUAUUGUCUGCAAAGACCAUGAAGGCCCUCAGAAGCUUGGAAUUGGCAACUGUAAGUCCAGACCCAAAUCCAUGGGAUUAAAUAAUCCGCUAGGAAAAAGAGGAAUGAUUUUCCUCGAAUAGUAUCACAACCUUCGAACAAGUGAUGGAAUUGAAGAUAGGGUUUAAAAAGAGCUUUUAGCUCAGGUGGUAAAUAAUCCAAAUUAGGACCAAAUUUGAAGAACCAAUUGUAAAACCAAUUAGGAAUCUCGUUGUUAUCUUUUUUGAAAUCUUCAUCAAAAUAGAGGAACCAAGAGUGUUUCCUCUGAGGAUUUUGAUAAAAGAAAGAAUAGGACCAUGCGUCCAUAUAAUCCCAAUAAUUAUAGGUUUGAUUGUAAUUAUGGUAUGGACCACGUAAUUCCCGUAAUUUAUUGGGAUCACCCCAAUCAGAAGAUUUGAGGACCAUGUGAAUCAUUGCUUUACUGUAAGCAAUAGGAGAAUUAAGGGUAUUACCCUUUCUGUUAUGUUCGAAACUGACAGAUUUAGUUUCUUCUAAAAUUGAUUCAUAGAAAUAUCUAUGUUUUCCUCCUCGGAUAGGACUAUUAUCCUUUUCAUCAAAGUAUUUUUGUCCCAAGAUUAUGGGAUCAGAUAACCAUUUUUCAUCCUCUGAAUUGAGGAUCACCAGGAGUUCUGUAUAAUUUUUUAAGAAUAACUUCGGCUCAUUGUUGAGUAAUAAUACUUCUUUCAUAGUUUUGUCCAUUGGGACUUUUCCAGAAGAACCUGAAUUAGGAGUAACUGGGCUUAAUUUGCCUUUUCCUUUGAUUUGAGAACCCGAAUUGGGGCUGCCGAGGCUUAAUUUGCCUCUUGAAUGUCCUUGACUACUCAUCCCUGUAAAUAUUCGCGGGUAAGAAAAUCAGGAAGAGAAUUAGUAUCUCCUUUUAUAAAUUCUAUUUGAAAUUCAAAUACUGAAAGAAUUGCUUGCCAUCUAGCAAAAAUAUGUUUGGAUGCUAGAUUUUUAACAUCUUUUUCAAUAAUGUCUUUAGCCGAACUACAAUCAAUUCGUAACAAAAAUUCCUGAUUUAUUAAAUCAUCUUGGAAUUUGUUAACACAAUUGACUAUGGAUAACAUUUCUUUUUUAACAGUCGAAUAUUUGACUUGGGCAUUUUUCCAAACACCAGAAUGGAAUCUGAUUAGCUCCUCUUUAUUAGUUAAACUAUUUUUCUGUUUAAGUAUGCCACCAUAUCCUUUGUCAGAGGCAUCUGUUUCCACAAUUUUUAAUCCAUUAGGAUUAGCCAGAGAUAAACAAGGUAACUGUUUAGCUUUAAGUUUUAUCUUUUGAACAGCUUUAGUAUGAUCUAUAGACCAUGGUUCAGGAUUUUUACGAAGUCUUUCAUAAAGAAUUUUGGUGUCGAAAGCUAUAUCUUUGUAAUAAUCAGAGAUAUAGUUAAGACUUCCUAAGAAUCGCUGUAAUUGUUUUUUAUCUCUGAUAUCAUCAGGGAAUUUAGAAGCAAAUUCUAUAGAUCUAUCAAUAGGGAUGAUUUUCCCUUGACAAAUAUUAUGUCCUAGAAAUCGAAUAUCGGUUUUAAAUAUUUUCAUUUUGGGUGCAGAAACAACUAAACCGUUUUUCUUAAUAAGAUGAGAAAAUGUAUUUAGGUGUUUAAAAUGUUGAUCAAUAGAAUUGGAGAAGAUCAAUAUAUCAUCAAUAUAGACAAUACAAAAUUCUGUAUAAGCAUUAAAAAUUUCAUUCAUAAUAUUCAUGAAUUCUGAAGGGGCGUUUUUUAAACCGAAAGCCAUUACAUUCCAUUCAUAAUGUCCAAAAGGAACAGUAAAAGCAGUUUUAUACUUAUCUUGUUCAGCAAUUUGAACUUGCCAAUAACCUGAUUUUAAAUCAAAUUUAGAAAAUAUACGGGCAUCAUUUAAGCGUUUUAAUAAGUCCUUUUUAUUAGGAAUAGGAUAACGAAUCCAUUGUAAAACUUUAUUAAGGGGUUUAUAAUUAAUGACCAACCUAGGAAUUCCUCGUUCUUGUUCAGCAUUUUUAUUAACAUAAAAGGCUGCACAACUCCAACAGGAAGAACUUUUCCUAAUAAGUUGUUUAUCUAAAAGACCUUGAAUUUCAGUCUUGCAUAAUUCCAUAUAAAUUUUAUUCAUUUGAAUAGGUCUAGCCUUAGUAGGUAUCAUGUUUUCAUUAAAACCUUCAAUAUAAGGUAGAUUAACAAUGUGUUGUUUCCUGUCCCAAAAGGCAUUAGGAACAUCACUACAAAUUUCUUUUUGAAAUUGUUUUUCCAAAGAAAUAAUUUUUUCUUUAAUAAUAUUUUGUUCUAAUUGUUUAUUAAUUGAAGCAUAGCUUAUUUCUUGGGAUAAAAAAUUAAUUUGUUUUUCUUUUAAAAAUAAAGUUUUUUGUAAUUGAUUAAUAUAAUUUUCCUUAGAUUUAAAGACAAAUUCAAAGACUAUCUUUUUCCCUUUUAUGGUGGUGUGAAUACCACUAUUAUCUAUUCUUUCAAUAGGCCAAAUAAGGCUUAGAAAAGGUCUUCCUAAGAUCACCAUUUGAGAUAGAUUAUCAGAUAAAACAAAAGGAGUAUUAAGACAAAUACCAUCAUUGCAUACAAAAACAUCUGAUAAUUUAUAAUUUAUUCUCAUAGGAGAACCAUUAGCAGUAUUCAAGGCAUACUUUGUUUUCUCAAAAUACCUAGUAGGAAUUAAACCUUCUCUUAUACAAUUAAGGUCGGAACCACUAUCAACCAAAGCAAUAGUUUCUAAAGUAAAUUCUUGAUUAAUAACCAGGUUUACUUUAAUAUGCCAUUUUUGAUUGGUAGGGUGAUUUAAGGAUAGUAAAUCCCUAGUAUUUUCUAAUUCUGAUAAAGGAUUAGAAUUUGUUUGAAUCUGGGAUAAGAAAAUUUUUUCCUUUAAGGUUUUAAUAUCUGAUUUAAGUUUAUUAAUUUCACCUUUAAGGUCAGAAAUAGUAGAUCUAUUAAUCAUAAAACUAGAAUCAGUACAAAAUUCAGAAUUAAAAGAAGAAAGGGAUUUAGAAGUAUUUUCUAAAUAACUUUGAAAAGCUUGUCUUCUUUCAACAGGAUUAGGAAUUUUAUUAAUAACAUCUAAAAUUAAGGUAUGAUCAUUACUCAGGACAUUAAUACUAAGCCUGUCAUUUAGCAUGUCAUAAUUUAGAGAAGUCUUUUGAUAAAAAACUUUUGUAAAUUUUGAAUCACUAUUAGUGGUAUCCAUAAAAUAAUGCCUAACUGGUUUAAUUAGUCCAAUUAUAUCAGAAUAAACCUUAUCAUAUUUUAUAAAAGAGGUAAAAUUAUUCUUUUUAGGGAAUUGAUUAUUCUCAACAAAUUGUUUUUUGAAAUUUGAAACAAAUUGCCUUUUAAAAAGAUCUUGAUUAGAACUACUGUAUCCAAAUUUCUGACGAAAGGGUUUUUUGGAAAUUUUCCUUUUAAGAAAUCGAUUUACUUAAUCCUUUACUGUAUUUUAAUCCUUUACUGUAUUUAUAUUUAUGUUUUAAAUUUUAGUAAUUUUCUGCUGAAUUUUAGUAUUUAAUUUAUUUAUUUAAAUUCCUGCUUUUUAUUUUGGUAUCAGCGCCAUGUCAGCGUAAAUUACUGUUGGGGAUCAUGUAGUAGUCUUAAUCAACAGUAAUUAUCCAGUUUAUAAGAACGAUGAUACUGUUUCAUGUUCUAUAUUAAGUUAUGAAGAAUAUUCGUAAUCAAGUAACCGAGCAACUCCUGUAAGAGCACUGCAACCCUGUAAGAUGGGGAAUCGAUUGUCAAGCUGCUAUUGGUGGCCUCUGGCAGCAGCAGUGAUGAAGGUGCAGAACACUCACGUGUUCCUAGACCUCUAUUGCUUCAACCUCUUGUUAGUAAUGUUAUUUAUUUCUUAAUGAAAUUUUAUGAUUAGUCUUUUUGACAUAGUCGCGUUGGACUACUUUGUAGUCUCCGACUAAUAAUUAUUUUAUGUUUUAUUUAUGGUUAAUUCCAAUCUAGUCGCGUUGGACUACUUGUAGUCUCCGGUGGUAAUAAUUUAGUAUUCUGAGUAAUGAUGAAUAUAGACUUAGUCACGGUCUUUCUCCCGUUUAGCCGUAGGCAGGUGGCCGUUGGCGUUUAGGGAUCUUAUACGUUGACUGUUGAAGUUCAUCAUGAUUCAUGAUAUGAGAUUAUUAUUUACCGUGACAGAAAUCGUUGACUGUUGAAACUAAUUAUGAAUUAAGAUGUGAAGUAAUUAUCAGUCUUGACUUAAAUCGCUGACUGUCAGCAUUAAUCAUGAAAAUUGAAUUAAAACUGUGUUUUACUAUGUUCUUAUUUCUAAAUAAUUACUUAUAGGUUAAGUACUAUAUGAUCUCUAACUCCUUAUCGACAUCUUCACCUUAGUGUUAUUCUGUCUUAUUUAAGUUUUCCUUUAAAAUAUUAUUCUAAAUAUUAUAAUAACAUGUUUAAUAUGUUUAAAAAUAAAAAGAAAUUUUUAAAAAAUGAAGAAUGUAUUGAAAUCUCUAAUAUAGAGAAAAUGGAAAAUGAAUUAUUAAAUUGGGAUAUGCCCAGAAUUGAACCUAAAAGAAUUUAUAACAUAGGCUCUUUUGAUUACAAAGUAGCUAUGUCUAUUAAAACAGUUGAACAUACCAUGCCAAUUAAUGGUAAUAAAAAAUCUAUUCCUUUAAUUACUGAGCAAGAUAUUAUUAGAUAUCGUCAAAAUUAUCACUAUAUCCAUAUAGGCUUAAUUCAAAUAGCAGUAAAACCAUUACACCUAAAAGGAAUUGAUUGUUGUUUCCUUCUAGCCCUUAGGGAUGCUAGAUGUACCAAUUAUCAAAAAUCUUUAAUGGGUAUUAUGGAGUCCACUACUAGUAAUGGACCCGUAUACUGUAAUAUCUAUCCUAAUUUGGAAUUAUCCCUAUCCGAUGAUAACAUCAUGCAAAGUGUUAUGAUGGAUCUAGAUACUAAAGGUUACGAAUUCAUUUCUGGAUCUGAAAUUCUAAAUAUUGCUUAUAGAAUCCAGUUUAAAGUUAUGAACACUUUAAGUCCUAAUGCUAAACUAAUUAGUAAUAAAGGUAAUACAACUAUUAUCGAAACUAAUUUGGGAAAGUCCAAUAUGGCUUGUAAUAAAAUUAUUCCUUGGGAUCAAAUUAGUUAUCCUGAGAAUUGGGAUCAUCAGGGAAUUAUCCCUGCCCAACCUGUUAACAGAAACUUAGAUCAAAUCAUCCAAAACCCUGAAGGUGAUAUUGAAAUAAGGUUUUCUUCUAACAGAAUAUCCCGCCUUAAAUCUGUAAAAAAUUUCUAUUAUCAGGAACCAUCUAGAGCUUCCACCUCCAGUAUUCCUGAAAAACUGAAUGAUGAAUUUGAAAUUCAAGGAAUUAGAGAAUCUGACAAUGCUAUUCCUCAUGGUUUUUAUAAUAAAACUUCUGCCCAGAAUCCUACCCCAUCGGAAAUGAAUUUUUCUAUUAAUACAAUAGAACUCGUCAAUAAUUUUAAAAUAGAUAGGGUUGCCAUCAAUAAUGAAUGGAUAGGUCCUAAAUAUAAUACUUUUCGACAAUGGUAUAAGGAUCAAUAUGAUGACGAACAACAUGAAUUUUUAAAAGAAAAUUAUUAUAAAUAUUUGAAUGCUACUAAGAGUAAUAUUCCAUUUGCGCAUUAUGUGCUAAGAUGGGAUAGGACUUUAGAAAUUGGGGUUAUUCAAGAAUUUUUUAACAAUUGGACUACUGCUGAGGGAAAAAAUAUUACGACUAUUUAUCCACCAACUCAGCCUUUAAAAUUGGUUAAUGAGUCAUCUACUCUUGAGACGGUUGCUUAUAUCCAACCUUCCGACAAUAAAACUGAAUUAGAUAAAGUUUUCAAACAAUCUAAUUAUACGAAUUUAUGUCUUCAAACUAUUGGCAAACAGUUAAUUCGUAUAGAAGAUGCUGUUCAUAAAUCUGAGCCUCAUAAGGAAAUUUGUCCUGUUAAUAUUAAGCCUCCUCAUGACAUGAAGCUUAAUUUGGGGAAUAAUAAUAAAUUGAGUCAAGAUGAUUUUAUGGAAGAACUUACUCGAAAAUUAAAAAAUAUUAAAUUAGCUAAUAAUCAGAUUGCUGUGCUAUCACAAAAUGAUGACAUAUCUAACGAAAAUAUUGAAGAAUUUCAAAAACUAUUACAAAACAUGGAACAAGAAGUUAAUGAACUUGAAUUUAAUAAAACAAAUAAAGCCAAAAUACCACCUACUAGGACUUAUUAUCCCAGACCUACCCCGGCUGAUGUUCUUAAUGAAGAAGAUUAUAUUUCCAUACAAACAUCUUAUAGUGCUAAGACCAUUUAUGAAUGGAAUAUAGACAGUUUAUCUGAAUAUAUGAUCUAUGUCACCUUACAUAGGAUUCUUAUGUUCGCUACUGUCUGUAAAAAUUCUAAUAAUACUGAUCAGCAAACGGCUGGCUGUAUUGUAGCGGGUUUUUCGGGACAAUUAAAAGGAUGGUGGGAUAAUAUUCUUACCCCUAGUCAAAGAGAGGAAAUACUUGGAUCUGUUAAAAUAGAGAUCAAUACUUCUGGUCAUCAAUCCCAGGUUCAAGAUGCUGUCUAUACGCUAAUCCAUACUAUAAUUAAACAUUUUAUCGGUAAUACCAUAACUGCUAAUGAAAGAGGUAAAGAUCUUCUCAUGAAUUUGAAAUGCCCUACUUUAACCCAUUUUCGCUGGUAUAAAGAUGUCUUUAUGACCAAAAUUACAAAUAGAAAUGAUGGUAAUAAUGCUUUUUGGAAAGAAAAAUUUAUUUCUGGUUUACCUAUUCUAUUUGCUGAAAAAGUCAAAAAUAGGCUUAAAAAUAAACAUGAUGGGAUUCAAAUUCCUUAUGAUUUGUACACUUAUGGUGAACUUAUUGGAGAAUGUACUUCUGAGGGAUUAGCCCUUUGUAAUGAUAUUCGUCUUAAGAAUCAACUUAAGAAACAAAAUUUAACUGGAAGAAAAGAAUUAGGCCAAUUUUGCGAACAAUUUGGGUAUGAUAUGCCUAAACAACAGAAAGAUAAAACUAAUUCUUCCCCUAAAAGAUUUUCUAAGAAAUACUUUCGAAGGAAACCUUUUAAACAACCGGACCAGGUUUUAUCUAAUCGGAAACAUAUAUCCUCCCCUAAAAGGAAUUCUAAAAAUAUUACAUGCCAUAAAUGUGGUAAAUUAGGUCAUUAUGCUAAUCGGUGUUAUUCUAAAACCGACAUUCGUAAACAAAUUAACGAAUUAUGUAUUGAGGACAAUAUUAAAAAACAGAUUAAUCAAAUUUUGGAUAAUAAUGACACUUCUAGUAGUUAUUAUUCGGAUAAUUCCUCUGAUCAAAUCAUGGAAGUUGAGGAACUUACUAAUAGUGAGUCUGAUAAUCAGUCAGAAAAAGGAUGUUCUGCACAUUGUAAAACUUCCCAAGAUUAUUAUAAGGCUAUUAUUGAUAUGAAUGGCCUUAGUAUUAAUGUACUGUCUGAAAACCAGACUAUUAUUCUUGACAUGAUUGAUAAUAUUAUUGAUCCCAGAGAAAAAAGACAAGCCAUUGAAAAAUAUAUAAAAGAUUCCUAUAAUAAUAGGUUCAAUUCUAGUAUUAUGGAACCUUAUUCGUUACAAAAGGUUUUCGAUAGAAUAGAGUCAAAACCCUUGACUAAAGAAACCCCUAUUUCUGAAUUAAGAAAAGAAAUGGAUAGUUUUAAAAACGAAAUUAAAAAUCUAAAAUGGAGAAUUACCCAAUUAGAGGAUAAAAAGAAUCCUACUGAGGAAGCUAGACAACUAUUGACUUUAAAUAAUAAUAAUCAAAAAUGGUAUGUUAAUAUAAAAUUAAUUAUUCAAGAUUUUAUUUUAGAUACUAUUGCCCUAAUAGAUAGUGGGUCUGACCUAAAUUGCAUAAGGCAAGAUCUAGUACCUUCUAGAUACUUUGAAAAAGUCUAUUAUGCUUUAAAUACUGCAAAUAGUUCUCCCAUGGAGAUAAAUAACAAAUUAUCAAAUGUUUUAAUAUGUCAUAAUACUAUUCGUAUUAAAACCCAAUUUAUUUUAUCUAGUACUUUAUCCCAAAUGGUAAUUUUAGGAAAACCUUUUUUAAGCCUGAUCUGGCCAAUUGAACGAAUAGAUGAUGAUGGCAUACAUACUAUCCUUAUGGGGAAAAAAGUUAGGUUUGAAUUUAUCAUAAAACCUGAUAAGAACUAUAUUCAUCAAAUAAAGGAAGAAAUGAUUUUUGAAAUACCUGAAGAAGGAUCUAACUCCGACAUCUAAUAUCUCUCUUUGUAACAGGGUAUCCUCAAAGAUUAUUCUAUGUCUAGUAAAUAUAAUAAUUAUCUCCAUCCUAAUUAAAGGAUUGAUCUACGUCUAGAAAGACGACAAAAUUAUCUGCAUCCUAAUUAAAGGAUUGAUCUACGUCUAAGACGACAAAUCUCUAUCCUAAUUAAAGGAUUGAUCUACGUCUAAGACGACAAAUCUCUAUCCUAAUUAAAGGAUUUAUCUAUGACCUCCAAUAAGACAAAAUUAGUUCCAAGCUUAAAUUAAGCAAUCAUAAAUUGUCAAUUCUUUAAGACAAUACUUGCUUUAUUUUGCAGCAAUGACUCCUCCUGGACAAGCAUAUAAUCCUAAUUCGGAUUCUAUCAAGAGAAAAGGUGAACAACUUUGCUCUCCUCCCGAAUGGGAUCUAUUAUCUCCUGCCUUAAAAGAAAGGAAACGAAAUAUCGGUAAAUCCUUUAUCGGGGAUAAUAAUACCAGAUCAUAUUUAAAGAGUUCCAAUGAACUAAUUUUCGAUAUAUCUGAUACUGAUAUGAUGUGGCUAUACACGCCUAUCUAUCAGGGUGGGAAAAAAUUUGACCCAGAGACUAAUAGUCCAUCCCAAAUUAUGGAACGUAGAGAAUUCUACGAAUCUAUAUUAAUCACGACUGGUUCAGUCUCUUUUUCUAAGGUUAAUAACCAAUUCUCUAAAUCUUAUAGAGAUGCAAUUAUUCAUAAAAUAAUAGAACCUCCCGAAUGGGGAGAACCUUUUAUUACCAAACCCCUUAUUGGUCCCUUUCCUCAUUUUUACAAUUUACGGACCUUUACCCAUUGGGACUAUAUGGAUGCAUGGGUUUAUACCUUCUUUCUUCAAAUUCCCCAACACGAAUAUUUCUGGAAUUUUUCCUUUUCCCCUGAUUUUAGUGGGACAAUACCCACAUGGUUUUCUAACUGGUGGUUUAAAUUCAACCCUGCCAUGGACUAUAUUGCCACCGAUAUAACAAUUCUAAAUUACCAUUUUAGAUCAACAUCCAAUGAUCAAGUAGAAUUGGCAGAUUACAAUCCGCCUUUCUCAUGGAAUAUUAUGGGAAAUGAUCCGCACUUGAAACAAUUUUUUCAGAAUAUGACAUUAUUGGAAAAAAUUAUCGGCCCAAAUUGAUAGAAAAAUUCACCAAAAACCAGUCUUUACUGGGGUCCAUAUAAUAAUUUGCUCUACACUUAUCCGAAUUCUAGAAAGAAUCUACUUUUUUUUGGACAAUCAGCCAAUUAGAAGGGUUUACAAUACCCGUCAAUUAUUCUGCCACGGACGAAUAUCACCAACAAUAAUGCUUAUUCACUGGGACCUACCCACUUACAACUGGGGCCCACAUUAGCAAGAUGAAGAAGAUUAUUCUACCGACAAACAAAGGUGCUUACUAUUCAAUGGGGUCCACCAUUAGCAAGAUGCCAACUGGGACCCACUUCCCACUUAUCAACUGGGACCCACUUUUUCACAUAAUGCUCUCAAAGUGCUCUUUGGGACCCACUUCCCACUUCCAACUGGGACCCACUUUCCACCUUCUAAAUGCUUAUAUAACGAAGCAUUCUCACAGAGGAAGGGGCAUUCAACGAACGAGCAACGUUCUGAAGCAAGCCUUCUCUCCCUCUCUCUCAAGCUUUUUCUUUUCUCUUCUCUUCCCUUCUCAACUUGUAAUCUUUUGAGCUUUUCUUGUAACCUUUCCCUUCUAGUUUUUAAUUUUGGUGUGCGUAGUUUCCACCUGAAACUUUAUUCAGGGGGAAUUAUAUGUGAAUUACUCAAGUAUCUGUAAGUUUUCUUUUCGUUUUCUUUUUCUUUGUAAUUAUUUCUGCUUUAAUUUUAUGUGAAUAAAGUUUCAGUACUUUCUUCUUCUUCUUCUUCUUCUUUUUUAAUUUCUGUUCUUUAUUUACUGUAUUUAUAUUUAUGUUUUAAAUUUUAGUAAUUUUCUGCUGAAUUUUAGUAUUUAAUUUAUUUAUUUAAAUUCCUGCUUUUUAUUUAUAUAUAUAUAUAUAUAUAUAUAUAUAUAUAAAGACCGCGGAGUCUGUUAUUUUAUUGUUUUUGGGAAUGGAGUUCCCUACCCUCGUCUACUCAUACCAGCAUAAUUUGCUGACCCAUGUUGCUUGUUUUGCACGUGGGUACGUAUCCUUAUGGAGCGUAGGUGGAGGAGAGCAGCCAGUGGAGUACGAUCGGGAGCAACACCAGGAGGCUCGUGUAGAUCCAGUUGUUCGGGAAGGAGUUUGAGAUCGUAGAAGUUAUCUUUCUCAGUAGGUCUAGUUCUUUGUUUCCGCUUGUCAUUUGAUUAGUAGAGUUUAUUAUAUUUAAUGGAUUAUUGUUGAUUGGGGAAGACAAUGCCUCAGCAGGAAGUUGUUGAAUUUUGUCAUUGGAGUUGUUUAAUUCAGUAUUUGGAGUUUUCAGAUUAUUUAUGGAAACUUGUUGGAGUUCAAUUUUUUCUAUGGAAGUAUUUGUCUUUAAUGGUUAUGGAUUUUUACCUUGUGCAAAUGUUUAUUUAGAUUAUUGUCUUGAUCCUUUUUCCUUUUAUUGGCAUCUUGAGGGUAAUUUUGUAAAUUCUCUCUUUUUGCCAAUUUUUGGAUAUUAGGGUCGUGACAAUGAAAAAAAAAACAAAAAAAAAAACCAAUAAUCUGAUUAACCCGAAUUUAUGUCUUAAAAUAGCAUAUUUAUGUUAUUUGUUCUUUAAAAUCAUCAUAAAAAUGGUUAAACCCCAAAUAUAAUCCGAGUACGAAUUUUGGAGGACAUUCGCACAGUGAAUAUAAAGAUUCUAAGAAUGGUGCUUCCCCAAUAUUUCUCAUAGUCUGUAUCAAUUAAACUAUUUAUACUAAAAAAGGUUUACAUUUAUUUUGUAAGAUGAACCUUCGUUACCACCUCCCAUGGCUGAGAAAGAAUGAAGAAGGAAUGGGAAAGACAACUGGUUUCUACGAGGGUAAAAUUUAGGUUAUAUCUAAAUCGUUGUUUUGAACCAUUAAUCUAACAAGGGUAGGAUUGGAAUAUUAAAAAUUAUUUUAUAAAAAAUUAAGCCAUAUAAAUUUUCAGUUAGGUCAGCAGAUGACUUGAUGACGGAAUAGUUGACGACCUGGGGUAAAGUCAAAUAAAAAAAAUAGUCUGGGGUUUAUGCAAAUUCAGCCACACUUUUCUGGGGUUUUGACAAAUUCGCCCAAAAAUUAAAGAUAAAAUACUACUUGGAUAGGAUUGAUUUGCAGAAGGUAUUAGGUGGUAGAUGGCUUUUGGCACAAAUUCGGGGCACAAGUUGAUGGGAACAAGAGAGGUUUGCAGUUGUCGGUCACUGAGUAUUCUGAGGCUUGGUUGUGGGUAGAAAGUCAGAGUAAGCAAGCAAUGCUGAUUUUGCAACACUUGUCGCAAUUAAAUUGUGUAUUCUAAGACCUUCUCCGUCAAGGUGGGCUUCUUUGAUAUGCAGGAAUCAGCUAAGCAGAACUUAAAAAUUGUAGAACAAAGGGUGUUGGUAAAAUUGUGGGGUAGGCCAGGUUCCAGAUGGCCGGAGCGAAGUGAAGCAGACAAGGUAGAACAACUAAAAUAUCUUCUAAUGAACAGUGCCUGGUCUUUUAAUGGGGACCUAGUUGUUGAAAAUAGAAGUCAUAUAAACCAUAUAUUCAAUUAUUUUUUUGGGUAAUUUCUCGAAUAAGCAUAGGUUUAUCAACUUUCUUCCCAAAGAAGCACAUUUGACUGCAAUCUUCUCCAACAAGCACAUUUUUAGCUUUGACUUAUGAAUUGGACAUUUCUACCCUUAUGACAACUUUAAGCCGUCACAUCAUAUCUUUUGUUUGAUUGAUUUUUCUCUCUCAUCAUUCAAUUCAGCAAACUAAACUCUCGCCGUUAGAUGAAAAAGCAUCUUUGAUUACCACCGUUGGAUGAAAUAACACAGAAACCAGCAUUCUCAAUCCUCCACAUCACACUACUCUAUCCUCCACCCAGAAAAGACAAAAACAACUGUCUUACCUUAAAAGAGAAGUAAACCAAACUUUUCUCUGUUCUUCUUCUUCAUCUUCUUUGUUCAUCACAGAGAAUGAACAAGAAGAUAACCUUUUUUCAUCAGAUCACAUUCUCUUUGUCGUAAAGCUUCGAUUUUUUUUUUUUUUACGUUGGGGUUUUCAUCGGUAAUAUUUUGGGUUCAUCAUGGGAAAAAAAGGAAGCAAUAAGGGCAAGCAAGUUAUGAACGUUUUUCAGAUUCCUGGUAAGUUUUAAGGUUUGAAGGUUGUAAUGUUCAUUUAUAAUAAUAAUGGGGGGUUUGAUUUCAGUGGCAUCAAUACCAAUCAUUGGUAUUAAAGUUGUCUGUUUUAGGUUUCAAUCUCAGUGGCCUUAAAGUAUUCACUCACACACACCCACCAGCUUAAAUGCAAGCAUUCAAUUGUGGGUGGGGUUUCAACUCUAGUUGAUUGUUGGGUUGGGGGUAUGAAAACCCCAGAAUUUGGUUUAUGGGUUUCUAGUAUGUUGCUUUCAAGCUUUAAAUCACUAGUGUCUACCGUGUAUUGGUCUUUGUCUCUGUUUUUAUGGGGGCUUUUGAAGUUUUUUAUCUAAAAUCUAAAAGUGGGUACUGAUUAUCACUUUGACAUACAUUCUUAAAUUUCUAGACGAUAAACUGUCAACUGUAACCGUUAAUACUGAUAUUGUAGCCGAUAAAGUCAGUACACUCGUUUAUAGAGAUGUGAUAUUAAACUCAUUUUAAUUGAUGUUAUGCAGAGAACACAUUUAAUAUCAUAUUCCAAUAUGGUGGGCAAUUGGUUGUUACAGUUGAAGAAGUUGAGAUUGCAUAUGUACAUGGUGAGUCAAAAAUAAGGAUCGCUAAUAACAAGACAUCCUACGGAGACUUCUUGGAAUUGGUUGAAUCAUUAUGUAAGGCACCAAAAACAACUUGGUCAAUGCGAGCUGUAAUCAACAAUAAUCCAACUAAGGUUGAAUGCGAAGAUCAUUACAUGGCAAUGAUUGCAUACAUUACAAAUUCAGCUGCAAUGGUGAUUUCUAUUUGGGUGGUUGAUCAUUUAACACCAGUUAUGAUACAGUCAGAGACUAAUGAAGCCUCAAGCCAAGUGAGUGAGAUACCAAGAGAGCUGCCCAAGGGGGAUCCCAAAACUAGUCAAUCUUUGAAGAGAAAACUUUUUCUUGAACCUGUUGUCAAUAAUCUAGGCUUGGGUAGGAAACCAGACUACUCUUCUUUUUGUACACCAACAAAACCUUUCCAUGUUCCUGAUGAAUAUAGGUUGGAAACUCCUUCUCAAGACCCAGAAGUGAUUGUAAAGGGAAAGGGGCACUCAAAUGACCCUUUAGUCUUGGAAACCCCUCCCCCUAAUGUUCAAGUGAGAGCUGAUGUUUACUUUCCUCAACAUCCAGUUAACUUGACUCCCUUAUCGGCUAGAACAGCAUCUGGAUCGCCUAUAUGUGUACAGACGUCAGCUAGAAGUGGUAAUCUUGAAGACAUAGCAGGGAUUCUAUCUGAUAUGCGUAGGGAUAAUGGUUUUGGGGAUUCAGAUGAAUUGAAAAGUGUAGAAGAAAGAUUAGAUCCAGAGAUAGAGAGAAGCCAAGAAGAAGUAUUGGAUGAUGACAAUGAGGGUGAAUGUGAGGAAGGCCAAUGGGAUUCAGAAGAGGAUGUGUUCGACUCAAAUAGUGAUUAUUCUUAUAAUUCAUUCGAUAGACUUGAAGAUGAGUUUGAAUCUGAGAUGUAUACUGCCAGCCAGCCAAUGUUUGGUCCUACACCACCUCCUCCAUCUCAUAAUGAAGAUGAUGGUGUCAUCCAAUCUUCAUCUGAAGGCAUUGGUGAGAUGAAAACACCAAUUCUUGACACCCAAGAUCAAGAAUUUGAGAAUGAAAUGUACAAUGACAACUACCCAAUGUUUGGUGAUCUAUCGACACAAGAAACCGUGCAUAGCGAAGAUGUGGUAACGGAUAGAAAUGCUACUGCAGCGGAUACGCGGUGCAAUCUAGAGGAUCAUUUUGCUCGGGUAGGGGAUUACGUCAACAAUCAACCACAACAUAACACUGUGCCGCUACAAGACAACCCUCCAUCUCCUACCACUGUGCCACUUCAAGACAACCCUCCAGCUUCGACCACUGUACCUCCUAAUACAGAUGUACCAUUUCCCAACAAUGUGCCACUCCAGAAGAAUGUAAGAGUUACGGAAAACCGCGAUAAGGAUGAAGUGAAGCGUGAAUUAGACAAAAUCUUUUCUGCGUACAUUGCAACAUCUAGAGUAAAUGUUGGUUGUGCUCCCCAUACAGAGCCUUUUCACAAUGAUUAUGUUAGACCUGCAUGUGGAAUAGUAUAUUUAAGUCGAGAUGAUCUUGAAAGGGACCUCCAAACCUACGCGAUUAAGACUGAAAAAGAUAUACGCAGGCAAAACACCAACACAAAAAGGUUGAUUUGGAAAUGUAAAGCAGAUGGUUGUCAAUGGAGAGUCUAUGCAACACGAAAUAUGGAUAACACUUGAAAGAUUAGUAGAAUGAAUGAUGACCACUCUUGUGGUAAUUUUAGAGUUGGAGGAACAAAUCCCCAAGCAAAUAGUGAUUGGGUUUCUAGAGUAUUAAUGAGAAAGUUAAGGGAUAACCCAAACUUAAAGCCUAAAGCGGGCGAUUUUGUCGAAACCACUGACAUUACUGUCGAUAUUUGCAAAUACCCCACUAAAGAUUUUUAUUUUGUCUUUACCCCAGCAGAUAACGUUUCUGUCUAACAGCCAUUACAGAAAAGCUGACGUGUCUUAUUUUAUUAUUAGUAGAGCUGAUGUGUCUUUCACAGAGAUAACUGAUACUGACGUGGUCUGUUUUAAUAAAGGAAGGUACACGUGUCGGGAUCUCGUCGAAUCCAUCUAAUUUAAUCCAACGACUGGGAUAUUUUUGAAAUCUGACCGUUAUGCAUCAAUAUGCAAAACGACUGGGAACUUCGGAAUUUUGCAUAACCAAUAAGAGGACAAAAGCAACUAUAGGAGAAACUUCAUCUGCAGCCCUGCUCUUGAAUUUUGCUUCCGGAGUUGCAUUACCCACUAAAGAAGACCUGAUCACACAAUUUGGGAGGUUUGGGGAUUUGAACGAGUUGGAAACAGAUGUAAUGAAAGAUUCUAAUUGCGCUCGGAUUGUUUACAAAAGCAAAUCCAAUGCUGAGGAAGCCUACAACAGUUCGCAAAAAGUCAGCCCGUUGGGAGCUGCAGUGGUCAGCUAUGAGCUACAAUACUCCACAGCUGAUUCUAAGGCAUCUAUGGCUAACUCACAACAGUCUGUUCCCUCUCUAUUAGGGGGAAAUGUAGUCAUUCCGCUAUCUGCUGUACCACCUAUUUCUGAAGCACCUCCUCUCGAAGUUGUAAGAAAGAAUCUUGAGAGUAUGACAUCAAUGUUGGAGAAGCUUGGGGAUACGCUGUCGCCGGAGGUGAAAGCCAACUUAGAAAGUGAAAUAAAAAGGCUACUGAAUAAGGUAGGGACGAUGGUAUGAAAAGAAUAAUGGAAAUUUCCACCUUUAAUUACCUGGUCUAAUUUUUGUUUUUGAAACUUUUUUCUUUUCUGUUGGCUCAUUAUCAGCUAGUACAUGUUCAGAUGUAAGGAUCCAAGGAAUUUGAAGUAGGUGUACUUUUAUCCAUUAGGGUUGUUUAGCAUAUGAGUUAGUGAUCCAUAAUCCCUUGUAUCUCUGCCGCAGAUGCCACUAUGCCAGUGGUAUAAAUAGGCUCCUUUAUUCAAUAGUACGAAUUUUAUUGUAUACCAGUUAAGGGAGCCUACCUGUUCGAUUGUGGCCCAAGAUGUAUGUCAAGCCAUUUGGUCUUCACAGUCAGUUCAUAAUAAGUACUUAAUGCCUCUUGGAGUUUUGUAGUAGUUUGCUUUCCAUUGCUUCUCCCUUUCAUAGCUUCUUCACUAUCUCUAAAUGCCCAAACUGUAAAUAUGUUUGAUUUUGAUAUUUGUCCACUGUUUGCGUAAUUAGAUAGUUCAACAACAUGAGAGCCCUAUGAUCUAUUUACUGAACUUAUAGUCACUCUACUACACUUCUCUGCAAUGGUUCUGUGAUUAGAAAGCAUAUUUAUUUUCAGUCAAGAUAAUUGGAGUGUUGGUGAAUAAGUGAAUCCUGUGCUGGAGGCACCCCUUCUGGUUCCAAGGUCACCUGUGUUGAUACAUCUUUCCUGUAAAUUACACCAAGGAUGUAACACCGAGCCAUUAAACCCUGAAGAUGCAUUAUGUCCUCUAUCCAAGCUUUAGCAUAUGACUUUGUUUCCUGGAAUGUAAUUUUUUUGGAUAAACUCCACUGAAUGUGUGGCAGGGAAGGUAUUACUGAUACUGUAACAGCUCCCACCGAAGAUUGAGAUCCUUCAUCAUAAAAUCAUUUCGAUCUGAUAUUAUAUUAAUAAUAAUGUGAUGCUUUUGGGAACCUUAGAAAGGCAUUGUUCAAUUCAGUUUAGUCUACUGAUGCCCAUUUAUAGAAAUCUCAUCCUCAAAUUGAUUUCUCAGUUACUCUUCUCUAAAAAAUUUACUCCUUCCUAUCAAAUGCUUAAAACAGUACUUAAGCAGAAAAAAACUACACUUGUGACUUCAGAAAAUUGAUCUCAUAGCCAAGGAAUCAUAAACAUAACGAUCUGAUUUAAUCCAACGACUGGGAUAUUGAUGCAUAACGGUCAGAUUUCAAAAAUAUCCCAGUCGUUGGAUUAAAUCAGAUGGAUUCGACGAGAUCCCGACACGUGUACCUUCCUUUAUUAAAACAGACCACGUCAGUAUCAGUUAUCUCUGUGAAAGACACAUCAGCUCUACUAAUAAUAAAAUAAGACACGUCAGCUUUUCUGUAACGGCUGUUAGACAGAAACGUUAUCUGCUGGGGUAAAGACAAAAUAAAAAUCUUUAGUGGGGUAUUUGCAAAUAUCGACAGUAAUGUCAGUGGUUUCGACAAAAUCGCCCGCCUAAAGCACUUGUAAAGAUGAUCAAGGAAGACUAUGAGACCACAGUUUCAUACAAAGUUGCAUGGUUUGCUAAAGAGAAAGCACUGAUGAAGGUAUUCUCUAUGUUAUCCGCCUAUUGGUAUAACAUCUUCUACUUUGUUUCCGUAGUCGCUACCAUAGUCACUAGUAUCGGCUAGAUUGCUUUCUGUGUAGACUAGAGUUUUUCACAUCUAUUCUUUGUUGCAGAUAAGAGGAAGCUACAGCUACUCAUAUCAGUUGCUUGAGACAUAUAGUCAUGAGCUCAUGAGUGUUGAUCCAGAUGCUGUGACUGAUAUUCUAACUGGACCAGGUGAUCGUUUUGAAUGUUUCGUUUGGACAUAUGGUAUAUCAGUUAGGGUCUACAAGAAGAACUUGCGUCCUGUAGUCAUUGUUGAUGGAACUUUCCUUAAAGGGAGGUACCCUGGAACAAUUCUAAGUGCUAUUGCAGUCGAUGGCAACAACCAUGUGUUCCCCCUCGCUUUCGCAGUUGUAAUGAAAGAGAAAAAUGAUUCUUGGGAUUGGUUUUUUACCAAACUAAGGGACCAUGUGGUUGGUGUAGAUCACCAGUUCAUUUUGUUAUCUGAUCGACACAAAAGCAUCAUCCAAGGUGUUCCUAAAAUUCUACCAAAUGCUGUCCAUAUGUAUUUUUCCUAUCACAUGAGUGGCAUGUUUGGUCACAAGAAAAUCAAGUUCUUGGUGCAAGAAUCAGCAAAAACCCUCAACCAACAAGAAUUUUGGGGAAAUAUGCUAGGAAUAUGGGUCCUAUCCUCCAAAGCACAUGAAAAACUUAUGGAUGUUGGGCCUUUAGAAAAGUGGGCAAGUGCUUUCCAAGAGAAAUCCAGGUAAGUUUACUAUCAUAUUUCUAUGUACACUAUAAUACAUCUCUUAUCCGGUACAAUAACGUUUAUAUCCUUUACAUUGAUUUUGCAGAUAUGGAAUUGUAACAACAAAUCAUGUGGAGAGCUUGAACAAAAUGAUCAUUGGAGAAAGAAUGAUGCCAGUUACUACCAUUGUUUCAAUGAUACGAGAUAAUGUAAUUAGGCAUUAUCGAGAUUAUCGCAAUGAUUCUUUAAAGUUCAAUUCACCUGUCACAACAUGGUGUCAAGAGCAAAUAGUGCACAAUGCUACAGUUGCAAGAAAGUGCACACUUGAAAGAGCUUCAGCAGGUAUCUGGUCUGUUACAGGGCUUAAAAGGUCAUGUGUGGUUGACCUCAACAAAAGAACAUGUACAUGCAAAUGGUUUCAAACCAUGGGGAUACCAUGUGAGCAUGCAAUGGCAGCUAUAAAGGAAGUUGGAUUUGAUCCAUACAAAUUUGUUGAGGUGUACUACUUGAAGGAAACAUACAUAGAAACUUAUAGAGAAGAAUGGACACCCACAAGAGGGAAUGAAGAAUGGCCAACCGACAGACAAAGAAGAAGAAUUCUUCCACCACUAAAAACUUCAAAGGCAGGGCGUCAUAAAACAGCCAGGAAGAGAGGUAAAGCUGAGGGUGUCCCUGUCCAGAGUAGGCGAUGUUCAAUGUGUAGAGUCAGAGGUCACAACAAAUCAACUUGUCUUGAAUGUUUAGAUGACUAUCAACUCUUCAGUCACACCCUAUUUGGUGAAGGGCCACCACUAAGCCCUGUCCCAGCUACAAUCUAAGUACUGAAAUGGGUUUUGUAAUUUUUUGGGAAUGUAUCUUCCGCAUACAUCGUGCUAUCCUCUACAUAUAGCCUAUUAUCCGUUGCCUUUAUUUUGUAUUGAUUUUCAUGUUAUAUAAGGGUAGGGGCUUAAAAUCCAAUAUAUUUUUGACAGGCAAACACUCUUGUUAUCGUAUGUUUUAUCAGUGACACUUGAGUGUUAUCUUCUUUUGUUAGGUUUUUUGCAUAGAUUGUCUACUAUGCAUUUCGGUGAUGUCCUCUAUGUUGUUACUACCUAACGGCUACCAUAUAUUUGUUUAUUCUCUACAAUUCAAACAUAAAGAACAGGAACAAUAUAGGUUCACAAACAACCAAAUAAGAACAGUGACAAUCAUUCGCAACCAUGGACAUAGAUUCACAAACAACCAAAUAAAAAACAUUGGGUUCAUAAACAACCAAAUAAAACAUGUCGUCAAACAACCAAAUAAAAUGUAUAGCAUACAAUACAAACAACAAAUAACUAAACUUUGCUCUUGUUAUUUGAAGAGGGAGAUUCCCCUAUAUCAAUUAGGUCGCUGGCAAUACGAUAGCGCAUCUGAAGAGGAUUUGCAUCGAACUGAGGUGGUAUUCCUCGAAGCACGCAUUCGACGAAGGCAAGGAGGAAUAAUCCACAGCUACAACCAUCUGGUUGUUUAGCACACUUAACAUACUCACGCUUCCACUUCAUAUCCAGUUUGAGUUGAACCUGUGAUGGAUCAGCAGCAAAAACAACAUAUGGCAAAAACUUUUCCAUGUUUCUCAAUUCAGGUAUACCCCUUGUCAUUCCCAAAGAAUCAUAGAUUCUUUCAAUUUUCUCACUAAAAUUGAAAGAAAGCAUAAUCCAGUGGUUAUCAUUCACCUACAAAUAACACAUAUAUACAUAUCACUAGUGGAAAAUAGAAAGGAUAAAAUAGAGGAUAAUUGAUGACAUGUAGGGGUUGUGGAGGAAAGUAUGAAAUAUACCUGUAAUGGGAUGAGAAGUGCCUUUGCUUUCACAGGGUGAACUUGAUUUUUGAGACCUACCCAUGGAUCAACAAUUUAACUACAGCCUGAUGAAAUUUUGAAACGCCCUGAUGUCACUCUUUCCUGAGGAUUCAUUUUGGCAAAACUCUUAUCUUUCAUCAGUUUGUCGUAUUGAGGCUUCACAUCAUGCUUGAUUUUGGUCUACAAAAAGGAAAAAUAAUUCUUCAAACAGCUCAGAAUUGAAGGUUAUAAUUACAAGGUAGAAUAAGGGAAUAAGGUACUUACAUGUAGAUAUAUUGUUGAAACAAUAGCAUAUUGAUCUUCAUCCCUAAAGUAAUAUGGCCUCAUGGUACCAUACCAACGAAUGAGCAGCCUAAGAAAGAUGUCAAUAAUCUCAUCAUUAAGCCAAUUACCUUUGUAGAGUGUGUUGUAGGCAUUCACUGAGCAUGAAGCCAGAAAACCAUAAGUUCUCAUGGGAACUCUACCCCACUUUGGGUCAGAAGCCAAACUCCAAAAGUAGUGACAAAGUUUUGUAUCAUCCUCUUCCACUUGUCUACUGAAGAAUGGUUCUUUCAUUAUCUCUGACAUCCUUGCAUUACACCUAAGGCCCAAAGAAACCUCUUCAGCUUUCAUGUUUUGAUAAGUUUUGGCUUCCCUUUUCCUCUUUGCCACUCUUAAUGCUUACAGGUCAAAUUUUGUAUCCUUCUCAUCAUCAUCAGAUUCAGUUACACCAAGAAGGAGAACACUCUUCCUGCCUGAUGACUCCUCAGUAUCUGAUGCAGUAGGUGUUUCAAGUCUAUACUGUUGAGGUACAUCUUCUUUAUUAACCACCACAUCAGUAUGAUGAUCACAUCCACCAUUGUCAUCAUCAUCCCCUUCAGUUUUAUCAUCAUCCCCAUCAUCAUUCUUAUCAUCAUUCUUCUUAUCAUCAUCCUCCUUACCAUCAUAUUUUUUAUCAUCAUCAAUAUCAUCAUCCUGCUUAUCAUCAUCUUCUUCUUCACUAUCCCCAGAUUCAACGGUUGUAGAAGAUGCCUCAAUGCUUUUAGCCUUAGCACCAGACAAUGUAACGGAUGAAACCUCAGUGGUAGCCGUUUCAGUUGCCUCUGUUCUUACCUUUGUCGUUAUAGCGGAUGGAUCCUCAUUUCUAGCGGAUACUGUGGCUUCUGUAGCGGAUUCAGAAGGAUCGCCAUCCUUUGUACUUGAAUCAUUAGGUUUACCUUCUUCAUUCACUUCAGCUUUCUCGCCCAUCAGUACAGAAAGACCUUGGAGAUUUGACAUUGCCUCGGCAAGAGGAUCAGGUACACCUCUCAGGUUAUUCAAUGCAUCCACAAUGGACUCCUGGUCAUCUGAUGAAUGAUCAUCACUCCAGAAAGACAACUUUCUUACUUUCUUACUGUUGGGGACUUCAUCAUCAUCUAACUGUAUCUUCCUUGACUUUUUUUUCCUUCAGUUUCUUUGCCUCCCUUCUCUUUCUUAAUUCUUUCCUCCAACUAAGAUCAAAGGUAUCACCUUUAACCUUCCUUUCAGGUUGAUGUCUUAUAAUAGGAAACAACAUAUCUGCUCUCUUCCUUUUUUUCUCUUCUUUCUCUAUCUGUUUCUCUCCAGCCUAUUGGUCAUUUUGUUCUUCAUCAUUCCAAUCAAUCACGGGAAAAUCUUUGUCUAAUGGUAAUAGAUCAUCAUCACUCCCCCCCUACUGUAUCUUUACCCUAUUCUAUUUGAUCAUUCUGUGGAGCUGCCUUAUCUUCAUCCUGCUUCCCCAUAUCCACAAUGUUUCUCUUCUUUUUACGCUUCUUCACUUCUUCAGAUUCCCCCUUCUUUGAAUUUUUCUUCUUCUUCUUGUUAUCCUUCUCCCCCUCCUCUGAUCUUUUCCUCUUUAUCCCCUUAUCCCCUUCAGAUUUUGGUGGUUGAGGUUCCCUUUUUUUACCUCAUAAUUAGAAGACAAAGAGCUUUUACUCCUGGUGGUUCUAACUGUUGUCUGUGCUGGUAUAGGCUCUUCCUCCAUCUUCUUAUAAUCAAUAAUUUUGGGCUGUGGGGAAUCACUCACUGUUGUGUCUUGGGGGGGUUUCUGCUUGGGAGGUAUCUUCACCCUCCCAAUAGGUUUGGGUAGAGCACUAACUUUCUUGGUUGGUACAAUGGGUUUCUUGGGUGAAACAUUGGUUUUCUUGGAUGGAAUUGUUUGUUUCCUUGUUGAAACUGUUGGUGAAACUUGGGAUGCAGUACUUGAUCUGGUUGCCCUUUUUGGAGGACUUGGCAAAGGAUUGGUCUUUUAGACUGAUUUGGGUUUGAGAGUUGGCUUUGAGGGGGAACUUAUCUUCUUCUUACUUUUACUUGUUUUCUUUGAUGCCCCCUUACCAAUCUGUGCAAACACACGUUUAACAGCUAGAUCAGGAUCACUGCUUUUGUCAGAAACCAUCCCUGCCUCACGACCCUUCAAAUAUAAUGCAAUAAGAUUGUAGAGGAUAAACGCAACAUUAUAGAAAACAUCAUUCAAAUAUUUAAAGGAUAUAUUAUGUUAACAUUCAAAUUAUAGAGGUUUCAACGUUUCAAGGUUUAAAGUUUUUGUAUAUAACUUCAUUCAAAUUAAACAACAUUUAAAGUUUAAAGAAUAUAUUAUGUUAACAAAUUAUAGAGAGUAUACAGAAACAAGGUAACGGAUAGAACGGUAUAACCUAGAGGAAAACAAUCACAAUGUAGACGAUAUACCAAAACAUAUCAAUAUUGAUCAACUAGAGGUUUUAGAAUAUAUGUAUUCAAUGUAAUAAGUAACAAACCUAUAAAGAAGAUAAGUUAUUCAUUGUUGCAGAUAGAAUUUCAAAGUAGUAGUAACAACAUACCAUUUCAAAGACUCCUUUGAGAAUUGCCUCAAGAGCAUUUCUUUCAAGUGUAAUAAAAUUGGAAGCACUUGUUGUUGCAGAUGAUUGGUGAGAUGGACGAAUUAGCCUAGAAACUGGCCUUGAAGAAGCAGACUCUUCAUAUUCUGCUUGUGCUUGAGCCUGAAACUGGAAUUAACAUGUAACGGAUAAGUAUAUAUCUGUAGAGGAUAAGGAGAACAAAGUAGGGGAUAAUGAAAAUACAGCAACAUAAAGAUGACUUACUUCUUCAACCACUUGUAAAUUUACUGCAAGAUCGACAUACCUUACAUCAAUUGUUUUGGAUGAAUCAGCAAGCAGAAAAAUUGCAAGAAAAUACAACCUGUUCAACCUAUUGACAUCAUCUGGAUUCGCAUCUUGGGCUUCUCUUGUUUUUUUAAUUGCAUCAAGGAUAUGAGAAUCUCUAAUGUGUAGGUUAGUCUGGAAGUAUUUGGAUCUGAAUGCACUAUAUUCACUUUGCUUCCUAACAACAAAAUCAACAGGUAAAUGUCCAAAUUUCAAAGGCCCCAAAAUCAAAGCAAGAUCUGUCAUUUUGAACUCAAUCACUCUACCCCCAAUUGAAUACUUCAGUCGACCAACCCUUAUUGAAACAAUUUCUGUAACUACCGAAGUUAUCAUGCAAAUUUUUUCUUGUCCCUCCAAACUCAAAAACUGCCCAAAAGGGGAAUUUUUAAAAGAUUCUAACUCAUUGGGGGGCAAUUUUUCGUUUGGGUUUAGAUAGUGGGCUUCAAACUUAGAUGGUGAACAUCUCACAGUGAUGCUAAAUUUUCUACUCACUUCAUCGCCUUCAAUCUUUUUCUUCGGCAUGAUUAUGUAGAAAUUAGAAUGGAAGAUGGGAAAUUAGAAGAUGAUUGUGUAGAAAUUAAAAGAUGAUUGUGCAGAAAUGGAAGAUGGGAAAGAAAUUAGAAGAGUUAUGAGCAGUUUAAUGGAAGAAGAAUCGGUUUAAGAAGAAAAGAGAGUGGGUGGUUAUGGAUUCUGGAACGGUGUGAAAACCCUAGGUUAGCAAACCUUUACCUGUUCCCGCUCGAUUAUCCCGCCCAAUUAAAACCCAACGGUUAAUGACACAUGGCACUGAUGUGGCUGUUGUUUAGUGUAGCAUACUUGUUUAAAAUUUCAAAUUGUAGAGGAAAUAACAUCUACUUGUGGAGGAUAGGAAUUAGCAAAUUAUAUCCAACGGUUGUAACUUAUUAUCAUGAUCCAAUGGUUGUAAUCUAUUCUCAUGUCAUUAUCUAAGAUGUCACAUCUACUGAAAACCUAUUGAAAACCUAUUAAAAGUAAUGAUUAUAGGCUAAAGGGUAUAAUAGGAAAAAAAAUAUGCUAAAAGACAAAAAUUCAUAAGUCAAAGCUAAAAAUGUGCUUGUUGGGGAAGAUUGCAGUCAAAUGUGCUUAUUUGGGAAGAAAGUUGAUAAACCUAUGCUUAUUCGAGAAAUUACCCUAUUUUUUUCCUUCAACACCAUAUAUUAAUUUCUUAGUCAUAUAUUAACUUGUGGCAUUAUUUUACAACAAGUAUUAACAAAGGUGAUUACUCAUCAUUUUUAUGUGUAGAACUGUAGGGGCAUCCACAUAAUUGACUUUUUUUUUUUACCAAGCUCAAUAAAAUAAGUACCCAACUAUUAUUUUCCUCUAUGGGCUUAAACUGGGUUGUCUUUAACCAAAAAAAGUAUGGGGCACACUCUUUCUAAUAAUUAAUCGAUUACUUAAGUUAAUAAUCAAAAUAAAAGUUUGAAUCUCUCCUACAACACUUGGAGAGUUGGGGUGAGUAAAUGUCUCUCUCUUGAACUAUUUUCUGGUUUAAAUUUAACCUACGUAUAGUUAAAAUUUUACUUUGUUUUGGUGUUAUUUUGUUCAAAUUGAUUUUAUUUAGGUCUUUCUUGUGCAAGAUCAUAUCUCUAAUCAUUUUCAUUCAUUCUUCAAAUUUUGAACACUCCAAUUGUCGAAACGAAAGAGAAAUAACAAAAUGUUUGUUUUAUGUAUAGAGAAAAUAAUAUUUUCGGUGCUAUUUACAAUCAACAAUUAUAUAUGGAUCAAGAGAAUGUACUAAUGGUAGAGAACAAGAGAUCCUUAAAAAAUAUUUUACAAUUUAUAAAAAACAAAAUAUAUUGUGACUCAUUUAACUCAUAUUUAUUUACUAAUGAGUUAACUUUGCCUGUUCGAUAUAGUAAUAUUUAAGAAAAUUAUUUGCUGGUGUAAUUGGUAGGGUGCCCCGUAAGCUAAAUUCCUGGCUCUGCCACUGAAAUCAGCGAAAUUCUCAUCAGACCAUAUCUUCUGGACAUUGAUCACGUUACUCUUCUAAAGUUCAUGAGAAAAGAAGAAUUUUGGGAUGUAUUUCGUUUUGUCACCCUCGAUGAAUCUUUCCUUGAUUUAAGCAAUACAUGCAACAUUGUCUUUAUUAAUCAUUGUUGGUUUUGUGUAAUAGAGGGUAAUCUGCAUGUUUUUGGAUACUACAUUCCCAGAAUUAUGUGGGGGUCAAAGUUAAAUUAUCCCAACUCAUUCGUGGGAUGUUAGGGAGUAGUUGAGACUCGAAGUUAAUUAAAUUAUCCCAACUCAUUCGUGGGAUGUUAGGGAGUAGUUGAGACGUGGAGUACACAUCGCUGAACCACGUAAGUUUAUGUCUACACAAUGUUUUUUGGUUUAGUUUUGCAUAGUAAACUGUUCAACCAUAAUAAUGGAAGUUUAACGGCACAAAGAAGCCAGAGCUACUAGUUACUGGUGUUGUACUUGAGUAUUUGGGAUUUUAUUGUCUUAGUCUUCUUUUUAAUAAAAAAAAAAUUAUUGAUAAGCUAGAGCUACUGGUUAAUGGUUUUAAGGUUUAGGAAGAACAAAGUGAAAAAGGAAGAAGAAAAUGAGUUGUCUUAAGGUUUAACAAGAUCAACGGUUAAGAUGGAAAUGUGAAAGAUCAAACAGAUAAGCUUGUUGUGAAUGUCAUUUUCAUGGUGGAGAGAGAAAUAGAGUAAUGAUAAUCAUAUAGGAGAGAGAAAUUUGUUUUGAUGUUGAUGGGUGGAAUAUUAGGUAAAGGUGUAAGAAGGGUAGAAGUGUUCUUGAAAUUUUGUUGACUAGAUAUUGUGCUUGUUUGAGAACAAAAGUUAUCUUGUUGUGUUUUUGGGAACAAACACAGUAAACUUGUGCUUAUUCGGGAAAUUACCCAAUUGAAAACUACUUAAUAUUAAUUUUGUGAUGAUGGUGAUGGAAUCGGGUACUUCAUUUGCAUCUUCUGAAAGAAAUGAAAUUAUACUCAAAUGAAAUAACUAAAAUCUAAAAUGAUAAAUAAACAAGAUUACACAAAAUGUCCAGGAUCGAAUAUGCAUAAGGUAUUGGUCACAAAAUAAAAUAAUAUAAAUAAACUAACAUAUACAUACGUAAUAACUUCUACAUCAACAAUACCAUAGCUUGACUUCUCUCAAUUUCUCCUUAAAUCUACCUAGGUGAUGGUCCCUAUAAUGUAGAGAGUGAGCAUUAAGGGGGAGCUAUGGAGUGUAGUACUUAUAUAGUCUUCCAUCAAGACCUUUGAGUUCUUCAUAAAAAAGAACACUACUAAUAAUACUACUUAAAUUAAUUAUUACAACUUACAUUGUGUCAAAGGUGCUUUUAUUUUAUUUAUUAUAAUUUUUUUUUUUUACCUCAAGAACCCAAUUUGUGUCUUUAUUAAGUACACUAUUUUAUUAAAAUUGAGCCAAGAGUUGAAAACAUUGCCAUUACUUCAGGAACCAGAUCCAUCACUUCAGCAAGUCGUUUUGUUGCAUGGAAAUGGUUCUAGGACCUCAUUAAGCAUCCAUAAAACACAAAUGGCCCAGCUAAGGCCCGGUUUAUAAAAUUGGCCCUGAUUAAGCAUUUGUGGAAUAAGAAAAUACACAUUUAACGUUGAUAUUGUAAAAACGGCCCUUUCACUACCGAUAAUACCCUUCUGGUUUAUGCAAACAAAUGUUUGCAUUUUAUGGUAUGUGGUGGUUGUUGUUUCGACUAUGCAAAUAAGUUUUUGCAUUUAAUGUUUAUGUGUGUUGUGACUGACGCAAACACAUCUUUACAUUUUAUAGUUUAUGUAGUUGUCGUUGCGAGUAUGCAAACAAGUUUUUGCAUUUAAUGUUUAUGUGUGUUGUGACUGAUGCAAACAAGUCUUUAUAUUUUAUGGUUUAUGUGGUUGUUGUUGCGAGUAUGCAAACAAGUCUUUGCAUUUUAUGUUGCGUUGUGACUGAUGCAAAUAAAUCUGUUUAUGUGUUUGUGAUAGUCUUUGCAUCAGUCGAGGGGUAAACUAGUCCAUAAGACACGGAAAUCAGCGGUUGGGCCUUUUUUACCAAUAGUUCCUUAACUGGUCCAAUCUUACAUAUUAACAUAUCAAAGGGGUCCUUUUUUAUUCCCUGGUUUUGUUGAUCCAUUAUAAAUAUGUUUCCACCACCCAACACUGCCAUUAAAUUAAUUCAAUGAACUAAUAUGCAUUCAACUAGGCAUAAGGCAUCCAUGAUCACCUUCCAAGGUAUAAAACGUGCUCAUUUCACUUAAGACAUUGUUUAUAACAAAUUACCAAUUGUCAAUGGUUAAUCAUAUUUAGCUUGUGGUAGGUAACAUGUUAGGUGAGUGACAAUAUUUGAUUCUUCUUGAAAAAGACAUUCUGGGUGGUGGCAGACACUCUAAUAAAAAUGCAUUCAACUAGGGAUCCAUGACCACCUCCCAAGGUAUGAAACAUGCUCAUUUCAUGGUAGGUAACAUGCUAGGUGAGUCAGUGAACAUUGUUUAUUGAACCAUGUUGUUUUGUUUAUAAUAAAUUUCCAAUCGUCGAUGAUACCUAACAUGUUAGGUGAGUCGGGAAGCAAGUUGGCUUACUUAUAUCUGAGCAUAUUAUUAUAACCAAUCUGUUCAAUUAGCAUAUUUUAAUCAAUUAAACAUCUUAAACUUGUAAUCAAAACAAAUAUAACACUGCAAAUUAAUGAAAAUCUAAGUGAAACACAUCAAAGCAAACUUGUAAGCGAGUCUUUUAGUCAUUCUGUAUUUUUAUUAUUCAUUUCUUGAUUACUAUGGCGGAAGCCUUGAUUUCUUUUGUCUUGGAGCAAUUGGGAUCCAUUGCCAUACAUGAACUUGUCAAAGAGGUGGAGUUGGUAGCUGGUGUUGAGAAUGAAGUUAAAAGGCUUACUGCUACACUUACUAUGAUCAAAGCAGUGGUUAAGGAUGCAGAUGAGAAGCAAGUGAAGGAUGAAGCUGUGAAGUUUUGGUUGAAAGAACUGAAAGAUGUCUCCUAUGAUGCAGAGGAUGUGCUGGACGAGUGGAUCACUAGAACACUCAUUUCUAAGAUGCUGCAACAUGAGGUAAAUUAUGCUCCAAUUAAAGAGAAGGCGUGUUUUCAUCCAUUUAGCAUUUUUUGUUGUUUCAAACCUGUUGUCCUACGCCAUGAGAUUGGUGUUAAGAUAAGGGAACUGAAUGAUCAACUAGAUCAGAUUGCAACAAAUAAGGUAAGGUACACACUCACUGAAAGUCAAAAUCAAAGGGAAAGCCGAACACUCACUAGCUCUAUUGUUGAUGUUUCCGACGUUAUUGGUCGUCUUGAUGAUAAAGAAGUUGUUGUGAACAAGUUAUUGGGUGAGAGUAGUCGUCGUGAUUUGAAAGUCCCAGUCAUCUCAGUAGUUGGUACUGGGGGAUUUGGGAAAACAACUCUUGCCAAACUUAUCCUAAAACAAGAGAAAGUGAUUAACCACUUUGAGAUGCAAAUGUGGGUUUGUGUAUCUGAUCCUUUUAACCGAGAACUGGUUGCGAAACAAAUUAUUGAAGCUGCUAAGGGAAAUGUUAAUGAUAUGGUUAGCUGGGACGCUCUGCACAAGAGAUUAUCCGAGUCUGUACAAGGAAAGCGGUUCAUCCUUGUACUUGAUGAUGUGUGGCCACAUAAGUUCGAAGACUGGAAUCCCUUGAAGACUUCCCUAGAUGGUGGUGCAGUAGGAAGUCGAAUCAUAAUUACGACACGGGAUCAGGAAAUUGCUACACAAAUGGAUUCAACCUAUGUACAUCGGCUGAAGCAAUUGUCUGAUGACGAUUCUUGGUUAAUGUUUCGACGCAUUGCUUUCGGGAGUAUUGAAGGCGAUCUUGAAAUCCUUGAAGACAUUGGGAGAGAUAUCGUAACAAAAUGCAAAGGCGUUCCUUUAUCAAUUGAGGUUUUAGCAAGACUCUUGCGGUCGAAAACAAACAUCCAAGACUGGAGAUACGUGCUGGAAAGUGACAUUUGGGAUGUCCAGAGACAGGGUUUUCUUCCCUCAUUAUUGUUCAGUUAUUAUGAUUUACCUACAAAACUAAAGCCGUGUCUUGCCUAUUGUGCAACCUUUCCUAAAGAUGCAAAAAUAAAAAAGAAACAAAUGGUAAGACUAUGGAUGGCUCAAGGAUAUCUUGGCUCUGAUGGAAGUAAGGAUUUAGAGCUUGAAGGUGAACGCAUUUUUGAUAAUUUAGCGAUGCGCUCUUUUUUUCAAGACUUUGAAAAAGAUUCCAAAGGUAACAUUACUUGUUGCAAGAUGCAUGAUCUUGUUCACGAUUUUGUUCAAUUUCUUACUGAAAGUGAAACAUGUACUUUUAAAGAUGAAGAACUCAAGAAUAUCAAUGUUCGUCAUUUGAGUACUUUGACUUUGGAUACGCCAUCCAUUUACAAGCUAAAGAAGUUGCGCACACUGAGACCAGUCUCAGUUGAUGCGUGUAAUCUUGGCUUGUUACAUCAACUGGAAUGCCUUCGAGUAUUGGAUUUGAGUCACAGUGGCCUUCAAGAAUUUCCAAGUGAUGUAGAGUUAUCGUUGCAUCUAAGGUACUUGAACUUGUCACAUACAAAGUUAAAGGAACUGCCUGAAACCGUAUGUAAUUUACUUAAUUUGCAGAUGUUGAAGCUGAAGUGGUGCUCAAAGCUUGCUAAACUCCCUAAAGGACUUGGAAAGUUGUGUAAUUUAAGACAUUUAAUGAUUGAAGGUACUGAAAGUCUAAAAUAUCUUCCGCAGGGAUUAGGGAGAUUGAGUUGUCUUCGAACACUGCACAAAUUUAUUACAGGUGAUGGGGUUGAGAUUGAAGGAAAAGGGUGUAAUAUCAGAGAAUUGAAACUUCUCAACCAUCUUCAAGGACAGCUACAGAUAAUUAACUUGGGUCAAGUGGCGAAUGUAAAUGGGGCUGCAGAGGCACAACUAGAAAAGAAGAAGAACCUCCAAUCUUUGAUUUUGCAUUUCAAGACAGAAGAAGAAGAGGAAGAGGAAGAGGAAGAGGAAGAGGAAGAGGAAGAGGAAAAAGAAAAAGACGAAGAAGACGAUGAGGGAAUUCUUAAAUGUCUGGUACCACAUACAAAUUUGGAAGACUUGGUGGUACAGUAUUAUAGAGGGAAGAAAUUGCCAGAAUGGAUAUCAUCGUUAGACUUCAAUUUGGUCAAAUUACACUUGGGCUUUCUCAAAGAAUUAUUGCAAUUGCCUGCUUUAGGGAAGUUACCUUCCCUUGAAGUUCUUGACUUAUAUAGAUUGAAGUCGGUGAAACGCAUUGGAGAUGAAUUUUAUGGGCUUAGUAGUGGUUGUGGUGGUGGAGGAAGAGAUCCAGUGCAGCAGAAAAUUGUUUUUCCAAAAUUGAAGGAAUUGAGCUUUAGCGGUAUGGAUGCAUGGGAGGAAUGGGAUUUGCCCUACCAAAAUGGAAAUAACAACAUAGACUUUUUUCCAAACCUUGUUGAGUUGGAUAUUUAUAAAUGCAAUGGAUUGCAAGCAUUACCAUCAGGUCUUGGAAAGCUAAAGUCUCUAAAGUCCCUUAAAAUUGACGGUACGAGGGGAUUGAAAAACUUAUUGGGUCAGGAGAUUUUGGGGAUUCUGGGUUCUAAUGAUAGAAAGGGAGGCUAUGCGGAAGAGGAGGAGGGCAAACAAUACAGAGAAUUCGUCAAACCAACUGCUGCAGAAGUUGUUUUAUUCCCAGCGCUAACUUCUCUUGAAUUGAGUGACCUGCCAGAGUGGGAAGAGGAAACGAUUCCAGCAGACUGGAGGAGUAAUAUUACCAUCAUGCCUAGUCUCUCCUAUUUUCUAAUUUCUCGUUCUUCACAAUCGUCUCUCCCCUAUAGCUUUAACCUUCUCACAUCAAUUCGACAACUGCAAUUUCGAUAUUGCAAAUUCCUUGACUUUGGACGUGAAGAUUUGAAACAUCUCACCAUGCUUCAACAAUUGACAAUUAGAAAUUGUCCUAUAUUGACUAGACGAUUCAUAGGAGAAGAUGUCUCAAGCUCUAGUUCACAUUCUUAUAUCAUCGCCAUAGGUACAUCAUUCACAAUCCUCUUCUAUUUAUUUAUCUUGUCCAAUUUUAUUUUUUCUUUUUUAUUUGGGAAACUAAACUAUUUGUGGCUUUUAUUGAAUGUGCUACUGUCAUUAACUAGCCCCAAUCUAUUUCAGACAAGGCCAUACAUUUGAGCUUAUUGCAAACAGUGGAGACAAACCAGUUGUUGUACAUCCAGAAGAUCCUUCUGAGGAUGCGGAAGGUGGUCUUGUGGCUGAAAUUGACUUCAUUUGAAUGUUCUUGAGUAUCCAUUGGAGCAGUGGAAUCGGGUAUUCUUCGAAAACCUCUUUGUUUGUCUUCUCUUUAUUUGUCUUCUCUUUAGCUUAUUGAAAAUCGUGGAGACAUUCCCAUACAUCCAGAUGAUGGUCUUAUGGUUGCAAAAUCGCCUGAAAUUGAAGAGCAGAACAAAGCAUAAGUUUGGUCUAGUUAAUAAGUAUAUACGGGCGAGCAGUCAAGUGUUAUAAUACUCCCUCCAAGCAUAGAGAUCUUGUCAAUCAGCAUCACACAAAAGGCCAUACAUUUGAGCUUAUUGAAAAUCGUGGAGACAUUCCCAUACAUCCAGAUGAUGGUGUUGUGGUUGCAAAAUCGGCUGCAGUUGAAGAGCAGAACAAAGCAUAAGUUUGAUCUAGUUGAUAAGUACAUAAGGGCGAGCAGUCAAGCAUAUUGAGGUUGGUAUUUUGUUAUGGAAUUAAUAUGGAAGACGAGCUUAUAUAUACUUACUUGACGGUUCUAGAGCUGAUAUUUUCUUGUAAUUUUCUUCUUUUAGUGGAUUUCUGUGAAUAUGUUGCUGCUCUGGCUCUAGCGAAGGAAUAUGUUGUUGAAAUUUUUGAUUCUUCACAAUUGUCCUUUCCCCAAAGCUUUGAUCUGCUCACAUCAAUUCGACAACAUGUAUUUCUCGGUUGCAAAUUCCUCGAUUUCAUGCCAGACAAUUUGAAGCAUCUCACCAUGCUUGAACAACUGGAAAUUGAUGAUUAUCCUAUUUUGGCUCAACGUUUCAAAGGAGGAGGAGAAAUCUUAAGCUCCAAUUCACACGUUGACAACAUCUCCAUAGGUACACCAUUCACAAACCGCUUCCUUUCUUUUAACAAAUUGCAUUUCUUUUAACAAAUUGCAUUGCAAAUAUCUUUUCAAACUAACACCUCAAACCUUGCUUCGAUUUCCAUUUAUUUUUCUUGUGGAAUUUACUGUUCUUGUAAUUUCAUAUUGGGAUGAUAUUUCUUUUUCUUGCAUAUUGUUUUGUUUGGCCUGUUUAUAUUUUGAUUGUUGCUAAACUAGGAUUAUAUAUUCUUCCACGAAAUUGCUAAUCUUAAAGCACUUCAAUGAUGAUGCAAAUAUUAAUUAUGUUGCCAUAACUAGCCCCAAUCUAUUCUAUCAUGCAGAGGAGAUCAAUCAAAAAGGGAGAUUUUCCUUUUGUGAAUUGCUUGACUUUGGGCCUGGCUUGAAGAACUGGGAACGCCGAAGGUGGUCUUAUGGUUGCAAAAUCGCCUGAAAUUGAAGAGCAGAACAAAGCAUAAGUUUGGUCUAGUUAAUAAGUAUAUACGGGCGAGUGGUCAAGUUUAUUGAGGUCAGCACUGAUCACACUCUUAUUGAAGUUCUUUCCUUGUUGUUUCCUAUGAGGUUGCAAAAGGUCUAGAGAUCCGGGGUAUUCUUUCUCAUAAAUUCUCCGGGGCCCUUCUGAAUUUUAGCUUUUUCAUUAGCCCGUUGACUCUUUCAUUGUCACUCGUCUUUUGACAUUCCACCAUUUGUCCAUUUGUUACAGGAUUUUUUGGAUUGAACUAAUAAGGAAGACAAGAGCCUUGACUGACUGUUUGGGGUUGGUCUUAUUCUGGCUGUCCCUGAUCAAGAAACGGUGCAUUUUCAGCUUAUCUGGGGCGACUACCAAAUGGAGCUAGUACUUGAAGCUCGCCAAGAUGAUGUCAACGUUGUUUACCACUUUACCAAGUGAGUGAAAUCUUUAAACUGAGGUACUUCUAAUAGGCUUGAAGAUUUACAUGAUUUACAGUAUAAAACCAACUACCAUCAGCCUUUUAGAAUAAAUGUGGAUGGUGUUAGCCACAAUUAUCUUACCUUGGACCUCAUUCACUCAAUUGUAUUAACAUGCUUGAAUUACUGACAAUCAAUUGAUGAUUGUCGUAUUUUGGUUGAACGUUUCAGAGGACUAAUCUCUUGCCCUGGUUCACAUGUUUACAAAAUCGCCAUGUCUAUUCUUCUCUUCAUACAGUAAAUUGGCAAAGGCUAUCAAAAAGUACGCAUUUGGAGCCAUGGGGUUUCCAUGAGGGGUUCAAUUUUCAUCAGACUUUGAGAUCGAUUUGUGUACAUUUUCCACUGUGCACAGGUAUCUACUCAGCUUUGAUUGAUUUCCAUUUAUUUCCCAUUUGUAUGCAUGUCUUCACUCCAUCAUGCUUAAUGUACGGGUUACAGAUUUAAUGACACUAUUAAAUUUCAAGGAAAACCUAGGUUUACAUCGUAUUUAACUAGCUAGCGCGAGAAUUUUAUUUAACUAGCUAAGGGGAUUGAUUUUCAGCCAUUUUAACUCCUUUUGGCACUAUAUUGAUCUCAUCUUCACAAUUUGGCACUAUUGAUCUUAUCCAUCCUUUUUGUUUGCUUUAUGUGUUUUGCAGAUUAUGUAAGGGAAGCAUUAAGGAAGACAAGAACCUCUAUUGAUAAACCAUUUGGGGUUGGUGUUGUUUUGGCAUUGGCAUAUGAAGAAAAUAUAAAAGUGGAGUGGAUGAAAAGGGUGCAGUAUUACAGUUUAUGAUAUCUGGGAUGAACACGGCAGAGAAGCUUCUACUUGAAGAUCACCAAGCUGGCGUUAAGGUUGUUCACCAAGUAAGUGAUAUAUUAUUUACAUUUCAGCUUUUCAGAUUUUGAGAUAGUCAUGGCAAUGUUGUCGACCAUAUUGAUAUCUCACCUUGGAACUCAUUCACACAAUUGUAUUACCAUGUAAUGGUGGAAGUUCUGAAGAAGCCGAAAAUGCUAUUAGUGCUGGUGUAGAUGAAACCAUUGUCCAAGGACAACAACGAGUGUCGGUGAAACCAUCGUCCAAAGAACUCUAUUGGAAGAGAUGGAUCUUGUUCUUCAAAACCGUCCCUUCCCCAAGGUUUUUACCUACUCACAUCAAUUCAACAUCUGCAAUUUUUCUUUUGCAAAUUCCUAGACAUUACGCCUUAUGAUUUGAAACAUAUCACUUUGCUUGAACAACUGAAAAUAUUGUACUGUCCUAUAUUGGCGAAACGUUUUGGACAAGGAGAAAUCUCAAGCUCUAGUCCACAAGUUUACAACAUCUCCAUAGGUACACCAUUCACAAACCUCUUCCUUUCUCUUAACAAAUUGCAUUGCAAAUAUUAUUUCAAAUUAACACCUCAAACCUUGCUUCGAUUUCCAUUUACCUUUUUUUGUUUCCUUGUAAUUUCAUAUUGGGAUGAUAUUUCCUUAUCUAGCAUAUAUUUUUUUCUUGUUUGGCCUGUUUAUACUUCGUUUGUUGCUAAACUAGGAUUAUAUUUUCUUCCGUUAAAUUGCUAAUAAGUCUGCCAAAAUUUCACCUGUAUGCAAAUAUUAAUUAUGUAGCCAUAACAAGCCCAAUCUAUUCUAUCAUGCAGCAGACAUCAGUCUGCCUUGGAAGCGGACAGAAAAGGGUGAAUCUUUAUGAACCAUCUCAUCUACAGAGGGACGACCUGAUGUACAAGUUGUUGCUUAGUUGUUUAAUUUAUUUGUUUGGUUUCAAUUACUCUUUAACUAAAACAAGUUACAAUUUGAUAAGAUCUUUUUGUCCAUUCUUAGUCAAUAAACCCAACUACCACCCCCCAUCAACAGUUCAUGUUCUGUACUCCAUUCUGGAUUGAAAGGCAUGCGCAUGCUUCAUGUGCAUGUUAUUUCAAUUUAAGUAAAAUUCCAAGGAUUCGGUCCUUACAAGUUGAAGCUGACAGUGGUCCUUUCUGAUUGAUAAUUUUCUUCUGCCAAUGGAUCUUGUGUUCUUGUUUGGCUGGUUUAUAUAUUUUUGGGUUGUUUAUCAAAAAUUAUAUACUCUCAGAUGAAAUUGCUAAUUUCAAAGAACUUUGAUAAUGAUAAGAUAAAAGUCGACCAAAAUUUCAUGAUCUUCAACAGAUGAAUCAAAAGUUGGAAGCGAUACAAAUACAAAGAAUCUUAUGAAUAAUGUGCUGUUGGCAUUGAAGGUUUCCAAGCAUCCAGAUCUGAUCAAUCAGCAUCACACCCAAGGCCAUACAUUUGAGCUUUUGACAAACUGUGGAGACAGAUCAGUGCCCUUACAUCUUGAUGAUACUUCAGAGGACGCUGAAGGUGGUCAAGCAUAUAGAGGUCAGUACUUAUUCUCUGGCACACUUCUGAAAGAUCAAUAAGAGCUGGACAUUUGAAGUGACAAGAUUUUAAAGAAAUUCUAGGCCAGUGCUUCGUUUAAGAUAAGGACUUCUCCAAAAUAAAUUUAAGAAAAGGUAUGCAACUCUUACAGCUGCACUGUAAGCUUUUUUUUUUUUUUUUCGAACAGAGUAAUCAAGCAAGGGCUGUUUUAUCAACAUAUAAUUUAAAAGUUGUUUUUAUCUUGAUAUCAUGCAGAUUCGGCUUUUUGUGUACUAUCUACUUUGGGGUAGAUUGAUGUUGUCAUUUCUUACUGAGAGGAAAAGAAAGAACAAUAUGCACCAUGGUGCUCAUGCUUUUGUGGCAGUUUGUUGUGACCAUUAUAAGGGAUGGAAAUUGAUGCUAACUCUGCAUGGAAGGUUGACAGUAUGCUGAGAAGAUCUCUGUGUUACGGUUGUUACUUCAGAAGAUUUAGGAGUGAAGUUUAGAAGAUCUCUGUGUUACUGUUGUGCAAGGGGUGUUUUGAUGAAAUUAGUUGUCAUACAAGGGAGAUUUAAACGGAAAAUAUGGAGGUUUUGCUUCUACCGGAAAAAGUGUUUUAUCUUCGGGGUUCUGUACGCAUCUAUAUCAAGUGUAAUCUCAAGGGCUAGGGAUCAAAUAUUUUGUCCUAGAAUUAGCUACAAAAAUAUUUAAGUGUACAUGUCUUUUAGUGUACAAAAAUAUUUGUUUCGAUUAUUGGUGUACAAUUAGUAAUUUGUAUUGUUGUCUUUAUUUUCUACUCAGUAAAUCUAAUUUCACAAGCUUAUGGUGUUUGUGUUGGACUUUCAACAGGGUACACCAAAACUUGUAGAAGUUGGGUAAUAUGUACAUCGGUCAUUCGAUCAACUGCACGCCAUGCAUGCUGGCAUACUUGGUCAAGGUCAAUUCCUUCAUGAUGUGCAAUCUAAUCGUCGUGGUGCUUUUCUUAUGGACUUGCUCUCAUCUCGUGCGCAUAUGACUGUAGUGUGUUUCCUGCACUUCUCAUGGAGAUAUUGCAAUCCUCAAGCUAUCCCAAGUGCAAUUUGGUAUCUCAUAUUCCAGUUUAGACUUGUGGAAUCUCUUGGAAACAAAUAUGAACUUAGUGAACCAUUGGGCAUGUACUCGUAAACCAACAACCUUUCACUACCUUGAGCACAAAAUCCACGGAGCCGAAUUAAAUUCACGUGUUGUAUUAUCCCUAUGGUAUUCACUUCCGAUCGAAAUUGUUUUUCUCCUGCAGAACACAUUAAUCUCUUGACAGCCACGAUAGAGGAAUCAGGCAUUGUUCCUUUGAAAACAGAACCAAAACCUCCUUUUCCCAGUUCCUCAGAAAAAUUCUUUGUUGCUCUCUGUAGUAACCGAUACUUAAAUGAAACCAGAAAACCUACCCCUGAAGUCACAUUAAACAUUUUCCUUCUGAUGUUCCAAAUGAUCCCUGAAGUCACAUUAAACAUUUUCCUUCUGAUAUUACAAAUGGUCACCAACAAGCCCAAAAGAGUUGAAAUGCCUACGACUGCAACAACGAUGAAAAUCCUUUUCAACUUUGCAGCUUUAGAGGAUUUUGGCACUAGCUCGGCGUGUGCAACUCGGAUAAAGAGAGUUUUUCCUAGGUUAUCAUUAGGUGUCGUUUUUUUUUUUGCAGAGAAGACAGUUCUCCAAGCCAAAUUGAACACGAGUUACUAUAGGGGUAUGCUGCACAAGAACAGGCACUCAGGCAAGUCCUUCCACAUUCAUUUAUGUUCUGAUUUUUGCUGUCUGCAACCCAAACUGCAGUUUGAACAGAAGGUUUUUUGUACCAGAUGCGUAUGUAGUAGUAUUUAUCUGAAGUACUGUUACCUUGUUUGAAGAAUCCCAGUUCGAAUAUCCCGCCUUUGGAGAUAAUAGUCUGGUUUCCUGAUAGUGAUUGGCCAAAAGUAAUAUUAUUAGCUCCAAUCUAAAUAUUGGUAUUGCAAGAGAAGAAGAGGAGCGCAUAAAAAAGGUAACAAGGGCAUAUUAGUUUUUAUGUUGCUCAUCUCUGCUAGAAGUUGCAUUACAGAACAAGAAAGUCAAGAACAAGAGAAAGAAAAACUGCUGGAAGUGACUAAGGAUGCCAUCUUUAAUUAUGAUAUUGGAUACAGCAAGGAAAAUGGACUAGAAAAAACUAAAAUGGAAGCUUCAUUUAUGAAGUUAAAAGGGUGAAUAGUUGUUGGGCUUCAACAGUGUUGGGCUUUGUGCCAAUUUUUUAUUUAAGUUUUAAUUAAGUUAAAAUGGUGAAUACGUGGAAAUCUAAAACCACGACAGAUAAGGCCUCGCAAACAAACCUCGGGAAAGAGGCGCCUUAUAAAGUAGUACAGAUUAGUUGAAAGAUGUUAUAGUCAUAGAUUUUGUGCGAAAUUUCAAAUACUAGAAAAACGGUAUAUGUUGAGAUUUCGAUACUAGAAAAGAAUUUGAAAAUUGAGUAUUUGUGGAUAUUCGUGAAUAGUCACGGAUAUUUAUAUAUCCGAUUUCUAAAAAAUCGACAUGCUUUGUGGGAUAUACGAAGAUAUCCCCAAUAUUUUAAAUCGUAAUAACUUGGUAAUCAAGGAAAUGGUUCAUGGUUGUACUUACCAUAGUUUAAAAUUCCGAAUCCAAACGAAAUUUGGGAUUCAGAAAAAAUUGUAUAUUCUGACAUUCCGACCCUCGAAAGUCGAAACAAAUAUGUCACCUAAAAUGUCGAGAAUAUUCUCUGAUAUUUCCAGAAUUUACAAUGCCGAUUCUCUAAAAAUCGGCAUAUUCCACUAAAAUUUUACGCGGCAUUUUGAACUGGUCUACACAUAAUAAUGGGUUCAUAUUGGUCAUUGUACUUUGCACGUUUUUGCAGUUUGGUCACAACACUUUUUUUUCCUAUAAGUUUGGUCAUGAAAGUUACAUUCUGCAUUAUUAAUUCAGUCAGUUUUGUCAAUUGAGUUGCUCUUAACGUGUGACUGAACUGAUAACGGAAUGUAAGUUUUAUGACCAACCUAACAGAAAAUAACUUUUAUGACCAAAUUGCAAAAAUGUGUAAAUUACCAUGACCAAAAUGAACAUUUUAUCUAAUAUUGGGCUGGUCUACACAUAAUUGGGCUGAGAAAUGAGAAAAACCAGGGGAUUUUAGUAUACAUGUGCGAUGGUGGAUGUGAUUUUGGUAUUUGUAUGUAGGACAUUAGUUGUUAAAAUAUGGUAAACUACAGCGUGCUGCAGUCAUUAACAAGCCCCAAUCUAUUCUUUCAUGCAGAGUAGAAUUUCCAGUCAGAGGUCAAUGUGCAAAUUCGAAUUUCGUGUGAUAAUUGUGAGGUAAGAUCCUUGUUGUAAUUUCAUAUUGGGAUGAUAUUUCUUUUUAUAGCUUUUUCUUUCGGUAUAAUUAAACUUCCACGACUUCAAUUUCUAAAAGUUGAAGCUCACAAUGGUCCUUUCUGAUUGAUAAUUUGAUUCUACCAAUGGAUCUUGUGUUCUUGUUUGGCUCAUCUCAAAGAACUUAAAAAAUGAUAAGAUAAGAGUCUGCCAACUUUUCAAUAGUAAGAGCAUUCCCCAUGGUAGGUUUUAGCACACUUUUAGUAAAGUUUUAGUGUAAACACUUGCCAAUGGUAGCUUUUAACACACUUUUCAAGCAAAACAUUUUUAACUCCUUGGCCAAGGAGUUAAAAGUGCCACGUAGGAAUCCAUCCGUCAUAAUUAGUGUGGUAUAGAUCCAUCCGCCACAAUGAGUGCGGUAUGGAUCCAUACCCCACAAUGAGUAAUCCACCGUUGGAAACACUAAAACCUUUUUUUUGCUAAAACCAUUGAAAACACCAAAAUUCCUUAAAACCAUCCUAUGUGGCACCACUAAAAGUGUUUUACCAUUGGGAAUGCUCUAAGCAAACAUAAAAUAUUAAAGUUUUAGGACAUGCAGAACGAUGCAAAAAACUUAUAUCUUUAGUUAUGCUCUACAGAUGGAUCUCUACAGAUGAAUCCAAUAGUAGGGAACUUGGGAAACGAUACCGAUGCAAAAACUGUUAUCAGGAACUUUGUUAUUGACAUUGGGAGAGGCAGAGGUUUUGAUUUGUGUGGGAUUUAUUAUAAUACUAUCUCCAAGCAUCCGAAUCCUGUCAAUCAGCAUCGCACACAAUGCCAUACAUUUGAGCUUAUUGCCAAACCGUGGAGACAGUUUAGUUCCCAUACAGCUUGAUAAAACUUCAAAGGACACGAAAGGUGGUAUUUUGGUUACAAGAAACACAGCCUAAAUUGAAGAGCAGAACAAACCAUACUUUGGAGCUAGAUAAUAAGUACAUACGAGCGAAUGGUCAAGCAUAUUGAGGUGGGUAAUGAACACUCUUAAUGCAGUUCUUUCACGAUGGUUUCAUAGGGCCGACAUCGUUAUCCUUUGACAUUCCUGUAAGCCCACUUUGGACUCGCACCGUUAGGUUGAGGGAGGCGGUGGCUCCUUAUCUUUAGCUCCGUGUACUUGAAGGUACGGGACCGUGUACUUUGGCCUUUAUCUCCGUGUACCGUUAGGUUGGAGGAGAUGUUGGCUCCUGAUCCUUGGCUCCGUGUACUUGAAGGUACGGGACCGUGUACUUUGGCCUUUAGCUUCGUGUACCGUUAGGUUGGAGGAGACGGUAGCUCCUGAUCUUUAGCUCCGUGUACCUGCAGGAACUCACCGGACUUGUUCCGGUGAAAGACACUCCGACGAUCAAAUCAGUGUUUGAAGGUUUAAGGUGCAACAAUGGAAGAGGUGUGGAGAGAAUGUCUCACUUCUUUGGAGUAGUGAAUGCUCUUGUAUUUAUAGUAGUUUGCCAUCUAUUGUAGGAUCUCUGUUAGAUCCAUGAUUGUGGUAGUUCCACGUGGAGCUCUCUUGACCAAGUAUUUCCCUUAGCUGUAAUGAUGAAGCUUCUUCAAUAAGCUUCUCGGUAAUUGUCCCAUGCACCCGGUUCUAGCCGAUUUUAUGUUAUUCCCUCAUCCUGACGGUUCCCACGUAGUGGUACGGAAUGACGUACUUACAUCCUUUUCUGUAUGGAGCCGUGAGGUUCAAUUACUUUGAACAAUCUGGAGAACCAUGGAGAAACAUGGAGACUCAUUUUAGAGCCGUGAGGUUCACGUAAUUGGCACAUUAGCACUAGACUUGUGGAAUAAUCUUUGUGUUACACCCGCUAGUCAUGUUGUCACAUUGCUAGUGGUGUAACACUAUUAUUCCACUAACCGUUAAGGUUCUUCCCCAGGGGCAUCCCACGGCAUUGGCAACACAAUCCUCGUGAGGAGCGAGUAGGUUCAUGGAAGUUGCCACUAUUACAGCUGGCGGCUUGCUAAGCCAAACUCCCUACCUUACUACUCACCUCCAAGUCUUUGACUUGGCUUCCGUUAAGGGAAUAUCGGCAGUACCUUUGGCAUGGUAACUGCCAGAGCAAAGUGUUCAAUGGAGAGAUAACCGAAUGCUAUCUAGAACCGAAACCUUAACUUUUGAUCAAUCAAAAGUAACCGUGAACCAUAAUUGCACUAAAUCAUAUAAAGAACAUGAAGAUUUCCAUUGAAACUAACAACUGAAAACUUGAAUUCUUACAUUGAGUUCGCGGAUCAGAAUGUGCAUUUCCUCGAAAAGGAUACUUUACCACUCGCCCCCAAGUCCUGAACUCGACUUCCUUUCAGGGCAUGUCAGCGGUACCUUUGCAUGGUAACCGCUAGAGUAACAUGUUUCAUGGCGUUGUGGCGGUUUACUCAAAAUAAUAUCUGUUAGAGCUGAAAGAAUUCUGACUUUGCAUGACAAAAUAUAUUCAUACACUUUCAAAAACUUGACAAAUAAUCAUAAGUAUUUGUAGAAAUAACGAUUUCAAUUUAGAAAACACCUGGAGAAAAACCUGUUUAUGUUGGGAGAUUCACAUUCAUGUCGAAGCCAACAUCAGAGAUUACACUCAAUAAUUGGCCCGUGAUUGAAGCACAUGGAGGAACAUGUCGCCCCCAGUAUGAAGGUUUCCUUGAAACCGGAACAUCACUAUGGUGGCCUAUGGAGAUUGUGACUACAUCUUUCACUGCUUUGACGUUGGCCAAGUCGCCCUCAGUAUGAAGGUUUCCACGAAACCAUAACAACAAUGUGACGACUUAUGGAAGCCGUGACUAUGUAAUUUUCUCUGUUUUGAUAUUGCCCCCAACAUUAAGCUUUCCACAAUGGCAACUUUCUCCGCCUUGAUGUCGGCCCCAACUCAAGGCGAGAUAACAGAGACAUCCAAUGUCACAAAAUUAAUGUCAAAUAACCGAGUGCCGGUUUCAAUCUCCCCCUUUGACAUUUAUUUUGUGACAAAAACCUAUGACUCUAGUAGCACUUAUAAUACGUGCACACAAGCCCAAUCUAAUUGGCAUUUAUAAACCAUGUAUACAAAAGCACUCAUAGUAAAUACAUACCAAAUCACGAACACUUGAUAUUCAGCUCGAGUAAGACACUUUAAUCAUCAGAGACCGAACGGAAGCACCAAGUGAUUCUCAAUCAAUCAGAGAGCCAACGGAAGUUCCUCGAACAGCUCCCCCAUACUUCAUGAACUCCAAAGUUUAAUACUCGAGCUCCCCCAAAACUGUACAACCUCUAAACAUCAACACGUUCACUCCCCUAUACGUGUAGCAUACCUGAAACAUGACCCAAAAAUACACUAACAAAGAAGAGAAGAAUGUUAGUAUUGGAGUCAUACGUCUCCCCCUUUUUGUCACAAAUGUUGCAAAGGAGUGACAAAAAAAAAAACAUAAGGCAGAAUGAACCAAAGAAUUAAAGAAGAGAGGAAAGACAAAAAUCAUACCAUAAAUCUCCAUGACACACAAAACUAAAAGACAUGAGAGAGAUCUAGGCAUAUAAAUAAAGAGAAAGAGUACCAAGACAGACACAAGAAGGGAGAUUAGAUAAGAACCAAAACGAGAUAAGAAAGAGAUAGUGAAAAGACACUGGAUACUUAUAUAGGUAACAGAGGGAAGAAAAGAAAACAAAACAUGAAUCCCUGAUGGAAACCAAGAGAAACCAAUACAUAGAAGAAAGAGUCAGGACACCAUCAAUCGGAACAAAUGAUUCACUAGAAUAUCACUUUAAUCAACCGACCAUAAACACCUGAGAUACUCCAGAGAAACGACUUCAUAGUAGGAAAAGAUCUAGAGAAAAAGAGCAAACAAACAAAAAGGAAGAAAUACCAUACCCAAUGAAAUCGGCAACUAACAAUAAUGACCAAGAACCAAAUAGUCAAACCUGUAAGAAAUGUGCAAGAAAAGAAUAUGGGAAAAGAGAAAGAAGAAGAGGUAAACAAUAGUUAGUAGGAAAUAUGAAAGAGAAUAUAGAAACCAUGCAUACUAGACACAUCCAACAAUAUCCCGAAAAAAGUCAAUAAAGCCCAAUGAGUACCACAUAUCCCCAAACAUCAUUUUCCACCAAGUAUAAGCAAACCAUGCUAACACUAGAGAAGUAGUCGCAACAACCGGGAAGAAUAACUAGAAAUCAUAUCACUCCUUUUGAAGUUGCCCAUAGCCAAGUAAUCACCAAAGCCAAAACAAGCAUUAACCAAACACAAUAUAGGCGGGGAGGAUAAGAAGUGUUGUAAAAACAAAGAAAAAAGAGUACGAUGUCUUUGCAAUAUAAAAACUCCACAUACAAGAAUGAUAUAUAGCAUAAGGACAAUAGAGAAGAAUGACAAGAUGAGAUAGAUAAAUCUUGGACAACUACACAAUAGAUAAGCAUACAAUAACCAUGACACUAACCAGACAGUACUAUAUCUCCCAAGAAAGAUAAACCAACAUGAUAGACAAGAAAUCAAAUAGAGAGAGAAGGUAAGACCAAGGAGACCAAACAAUCACAAGGAGUGAACACAAACCCAUGACAAAACUACAGAAAUAUGAGUAUUUGCAAGAUGAAAUAUGUAAAGUAUAAGAAAAUCCAUUGAGAAUCCAUGGAGAAAUCCAAUCUGUACAUGUUCCUGAAACAACGCAUCGAACCACAAAAAAAAAUUAGAGAAUCUCAUAAACAAAGAGAAGAAAAUAUCAUCGCAAACACAAUAGAAUAGAGACAUAAAAAGAAUAAACCAGUAAGCCCACCCUAGUGAAAACCAAAAAUUAGUUCAACAUAUGCCAAACAAGAUAAGCAAUCAUCAAGCUCAUAAAAAAUGCUUUAUCUGUGAAAACACCAUCACCCAAACAUGCCUAAUCACAAUAAACAAAAAAAUAGAAGAAAUGGGGUCUACUUCUUAGAGAAGAAGAAGCCAGCAACACCAACCAUUUGGACAGACCUGAAGAAUGAGCAAGGAUUGUCGAUGUCACUAAAUCGCAAAGCAAUAAUCCAACUUCAGAGCAAAUUUCCCGCCAGAAUACUCUGAGUGACACCAUCAAUAAACAUCCCCUGAGCUUGACGGACCAAGUCAACUCGACCCUCGUCCGGAAUGGGCUACAUGACAUGCACCUGAUUCAAUGGCAUCUCAUGACCAUCGAUCCCUAAUGCUUCACGGAUCACCGUCGGAGAAAUAGUGUAUCUCCUAUCCUCAAUCAAAACCGAGAAGCUUGAACGAUUCUGCGAUGGCGUUUUGGUCUCAUAGAAAGCAAUGGUGUGCUCGACCGAGUACUUAGUGAUUGGUUGAGCCACUCUUAACCAAUUCUGUGCCUCAAAGAAUGAAGAAAUAUUGCCAAGUUGGGAACCUCCAAAAGGGGUGGCACUGAUGUCUCGCAAAUCGAAGAAGCGCUCGGGAAUAAUGGCCUUGGCUCGAGGAUGAGCACGACGUGAUGUAGGAGGUGGUGACGAAUCCGAAGGAAUGGCGCCUCUACUCCUUUGAACGAGGAGCACGUGUGCCCGAGGUUGAGGCACCCUUGGAAACGGGUGUCUCCUUAGUUGGGGUGGUGCGUGCGCGCUUUGGAGGCAUUGUCUACACAAUCACAACAGUAAACAAACCAAAAAUGUAAGAAAAUUGACGAAAUUGUCAAUAGCAAGUUCAUUGAGGCAUUUUAUCGAACACUUGGUGUGCAUAACCUUGAUACAUGCGAAUGACAACAAUGUAGUAAUGUCAAGCACACAGACACAUGGAAAACAUGGAUAACAUAAGAGAGACCAUGAACAAAACACUUCCCAAGGUCUUCCACAACUAAUAGUAAUUCGAAAUCGAGUAUGUAAACACCAAGUUCCAUUAAUUCAUUAUGUAAGCAUACAACCUUAACUAACAAUACUAUAAAGCAUAACCUAAUAAUCAACAAAACAAGACAAGAGAGAAGAUAGGAAAGAGAACUUACGAGAGAUAGUGAUUGAGAAUAACCAACAACUUUGCCGACUAACACACCGGACCAAAACAAUGACAAGAGAAGGAGAACAAAUGCAAGCAAGAAAAGAGGAAGAAAGAGUAGAAGAAGAUCUCCUAAAACAGUUAAGGAAACUCAAUAUACUAACUGCUUGUAGUGUGCCAAGAAAGAAGGAAACACGAUUGAUAUAACAGUUGGCUUUGUGUUCAAAAAAAAUGGUUUUAAACAGCAAUUGGACCGAACUGUACCAGAGAUGUACGUACGUUAUAUUGACGUUCGUACGUCGAGCCCAAAAGAAAAACAUCUGCCUGGUCCAACGUACGAACCCCCAAACUACGUCCGUACGUUCGAGGAGAAAAAAGUUCUGCCUCCCUUAACGUACGAACGCCCUAACGACGUACGUACUUUUUUUUUUUUUUUUUUUUUUAACUAACAACACAAAUAUUGAGAGACAUCAUAUGGAAAAAUUUCUAAGUAUUGUAAGGAUUCCGAUUAAAGCACGAAUACAAUUUGAACAAGCCUCAACCAUGAGAAAAUGCAAGAACGAAGAACUAAAUCAUAUACCAAACCACGGUACUCAAAAGAAUGAUGCAAGCAUGCAGGAGAAGCAGGGUAGACCUAUACCAAAAUCCGGGUAUACUUAGAAGAGGGAAUCACCUUAAAAAAAUCCGGGAACAAACCGAAACUAAGAUCAUUGAGUAUUUUGAAGGUCACUUACAAUAGGACAAAUAUGAAAUGUGAACCAGACCAUAACAAAAACCAAGGAAACACUGUCUAGGCCGCAAUACGGAAAGACCCUGGUUCAAAUAUAUAUGAAUAUUUUUAUUGGUUUUAUCCAUUUAAAACAAGUGUCAUUCUCGUGUGGGAGUAUAGUACACCUCCAUCUUUUACCAAAACACGAGGGUAGGGUGUAGCCUACAUCUUUUCGGCAAAACACACUCAAUAAGUGCAAUACCAUGAUAACGUGCAACACAAGAACUAACAUCUCCUGAGUGCAUCCGUCAGAGCAUGACCCUCACAGCCCCAACGGGUUCCUAGCCAACUGAUAAUGCGCCUAAGACAUUCAAAUGGCUGGGGAUUUUGUGAGUCAUUGACCACUUACAAGAGGUAUAUAUAAAAAGAAUGAUGACCAUGAAGAAAACAGAAGCUAGAGAUGAUGCCAGAUGAUCAUUUCUUAAUCAUACAAGGAUCAAGGUAUAAAAAUACUUUAAAAAUCCCACAACAUGCAAAUGCAUCAUGCAGUAAACCACCAAAGGCGAAGGGAGUAUGAUGCAGCCUACAACAAUCCUUGACAGGAAUCCACAGUUGAAGUUACCAAACUAUAACUAGCCAAAAAGAAUGGAAUCCAAACAAUAAAUAGACUAGUAUGUCCUCAACACCUAAGACGAAGCCUAUAAAAGAGAAAUAAUAAAAGAACUUAAACCUCCCAAACAAAUUGCAACUUAUUUAAGACAAUUGAAUUAAACUAGUAUCUCAGAAAGGAUGCAUCCUACAAUACAUACAUGGAAUAAUGAAAGAACAAUUAACGCAUGCACAAACAGAAGAACAAAAAACACCAAACAAAUAGCCUAUGUGGUUAGAAAAAUAUGCAAUUAAAAUAACACAAGACUAGAAACAAACUACAUCAUCCCAAAUAUGGGACACCACCAGACUUUUGCAAGUCCAGAAAAACCUGCAACUUAUCUUUUCUUACCCAUACUUGUUUAACACUAGGCAUGCACACCUUGGGAGUUGAAAAGAUAUGAGAUUUUCCCUUAACAAGCUUUGCAAUACACUUGUCCUUAACUAAUUCCACCUUAGUCUUAGACUUCCUUUUGUUGGAAUACCUAUUUUUCUUAAACCUGUGACGAGAACCAUUAUAAUUCCAAGGUCUAGAAAAUGCACAAGAAGGAACAUUAGAAUCAACAUGAUUAUAACGAUGAGGAACACGAGAAUAGGAUGAAACAUGUUGAUCAAAAUCCCAACAAAAGAUAUCCAAAUGACCAACUCUACCACAAUAAGAACAAUGAAAAACAUUAGACUUACUCAAAGAAUUCUUAUAAGAAGAUGUGGUAGUAGAAGAUGAAACAUGUAUGUCACCAUUGUAUUUGUGACAUGGUGCCUUAACAAGACCUAUACCUCCAUUAUGAGAACAAUAUGGCUUAUCGGUAAAAACAGCCUUACCAUUAGCUUUAGACUUAACCUUUUUGCGAGAAACAUGCUGAAAAGUAUUAAUAUUAAGUCUAGUCUCAAUAGGUGGGGUAGGCAAAAGGGCAGGCAAGCUAGAUUGUUCAAAAGUAGUCACACUUGAUAAACAACGACUACAAUUAACAUUAGGAAAGUCAACGCUGGUUUUGUUCUGCAAUAUGAGUUGAGUAGAUGCAAAAUCUUCUUGGUUACCUCAAACUCAACUAAAAUGGAUUUAUAUCUGUUUUCACCUUCAUGAUUAGCCUUCUCCAGAUCUGCAAUUCUACACAACAAGUCAAGUUUUUCUUGUUCAAAUAAUUUAGAAAUAGAAAUUGAAUCAUCUGUAGCAGAAAGAAUUUGUUUUUCAAGAGUCUCAACUUUAUCCUGCAAAGUAAGAUUAACCUUAUCCAAUUUUUCAAUUUUAUAUUCAUAAACUUCCCCUUGAAACAUAUAGUUUUCUGCACAAUAUCUGAGUCGUUGUUCUAGAGAAUCAACCUUAGUCCGCAAAACACCAUUAUCUUCAAAAUAAAAAUUAUCAGAAAUAGUAGACAAAUUACAAUUAGCUUUAUUGAACUUUUCCUGCAAAUCAAUAUUAGCUUUUUGUAACCUUUCACAUUCUUUUGCAGAAAGCUUGUAAAGAAGAGCCCAAUCACUAUUGCUAACAACAUACAAAUUAUCAUCAUUUUCAAAAUCAGAUUUUGGUUUUGUGGAUUUAGACGAUUUAGCAAUAAAAUUAUUAUGACCAGACUCAUGAACCAUUAUUGCACUCAUAGGAUCUACGCGUGAGCCAUUAUGCUCCAUAACAAGCGCCCUGCGACUGAUACCAAUUGAAAACCCAAUAUAUGCAAUAUAACAAUAAUAAGACAAACAAUAAUAAAGCAGUAAACAAGUAAAGAACACACGAUAUUUUUAACGUGGUAAAACCCAAUAUGGGAAACGUCCACGGUUGUCCUCGCGACAACAAAUAAAUCCACUAGAUGAAAAGAGAUGUACAAACCUAUCAACUACCUGCAAUCACUGUAAGUUGACACUACUGGUUAUCUCUAACACCUUGACUUCACCAGAGUACCUUGAUGUACACACAAGACACUCGACUUCUUGAUGAACACACAAGAAGACUCGAAGUCGAUCUAUGAAGCAAGCUUACACCAGAGUACCUUGAUGUACGCACAAGAUACUCGACUUCUUGAUGAACACACAAGAAGACUCGAAGCCGAUCUCAAUAAUUAUUCAAUAAGGAAGAAGAAGAUGAAUAGGGAAGAAGAAGAUGAGUUCAAUCACCAAAACAACCUAAACCAAAACCUAAACAAACUCCAAGACUAAAGAUGACUUGGACGGCCAAAGAACUGAGUUUUUCUUUGGUAGCGAAACCCUAUAUAUAGUUAGGGUUUGGAAACACAUAAAAUGGGCCGGAUAAAACAGAUUUUACAUUAGACGUACGUACGUCAAAACAGCGUACGUACGUCCCUGGACAAGAAUAGUUUGCUGCCUGCUUGGACGUACGUACGUCCUGUUGUGCGCAGCGGAAACUUAUUGCACCAAUACCCAAGAUUGUAAUAGUGUAUGAAUUAAACAAAACAAAAACAAAACAAACACAAAACACAAGAUUUACGUGGUUCGGCGAUUGCCUAAGUCCACCAACCAAAGAGGAGAGCUUCUUAUUAACAAAUCAACAAAGAUACAAAGUAUCUAACCAAUGGAGAAAAUCUCCCAACAAAUCUCUCACUCACCAAACAAAUCCUCACAACUCUCACAAGGAGACAAACAACAAAUAUGGUUUGAGGAUACUAAACCAAUCCCUAAGACCUUAUAUUUAUAGCCUUUAGGGUGUACAAAACAAAGGAAUACCAAACUUAAUCAAAUUGGAAGUCAUAUUCCAAUACCAAAUUCUAAAUCCUUAAUAUGGACUUAGAAAUCCAAAUAUGAAACGGAUUCCUUUAUAGAACCGGUUUCCCAACAAUUCUCCACCUCGGUGAAGAUUUCCCAAAUCUGAUCCGAUCUUCAAAAAAAAAAAACGACGAACAACCAAUCCAAAGCGGCCGGACCAUCAAGUGGCUGCCUACGUACCCUCCAUGGGAUCAAGCCAUCGUAGUUCUUCCAAACGGACAUCUUUCGAUGCCCACAAUGCCCCGAAAGGCCAAAUCCCCCUAAGGGGCCAAAUCAAAACCAAAUGCCCACCAAUGCCCUAUAGGGCUCACAAACAACUUCAACACAAUGGGGUCCAAGCUACCAAAUACCAUCUCCACCUCAACAAAGUUCUCCAUCGAAGAUGAUCCAAUGCCCCGAAAAACUAACCUCUCAAGAGUUUUUCCUAUGAAGUUCAACCAAGUGGGGUACAAAUUCAAAUCACUAUGCAUAGAUUUACCAAAUACGUCUUCCUUACUAAGCGCCAAACAAACAUCACAUAAGAGAUUACCAACAAUAGGAAGUACGUACACAAAACCCCCAAACAAAGGUUUCACAGCUUCAUAAGGUUCUUGGGCGAUAACCUUGCUACUAACAAUGGUGGCUUCAACUUUCUUCUUUGCUGUGUCACCUAACAAACCAAUCAAAUGUGGAGCGACAUCAAUCUCCACCCGAACAAAUGACGCUUCAACAAAAUGCCUACCAACUAUGCAUGCCUUGCCACCCGCAAACAAAUCUGUCUUCACUUGCAUAGUACCAUCAACGGCAUGCCCCAUAUUACUAUGCAAUUCCUUGGUAGAAUCGACAGACAAAUCAACAACUGAACUAUGCAAACCACAUGUAAUUGUACUUCCUUUCAAGUAGUACAACUUACCCUUUCUAAUGCCUUUCAUAACAACUCGUGCACCUACAACAACUUUUAGAGCUCCACCAAUACAUGUAAUUUUCAUACCAUCGGACUCUAAAACACCCAAUGAGAUCUGAUUCGUAGUCAACUCUGGUACAUACCAAACAUCUUCUAACUUUCGAGUGCAUCCAUCUUCCAACUUCAAUCGAACUGUAGCUAUCCCAAAAGUUUUGCAAGUAUGAUCAUUACCAAGCAAAACACAAGCAUCUAGCCCCUGAAAGCUAUCAAACAACUCCCUAUUGGGACACAUAUGAUAGGAACAACCCGAAUCCAAAAUCCACUCAUUAGUAGAAUGACUAACUAAAGAUGAAGCCAACAACGAAACACCAACACAUGAAUCCUCAUUUCUUCGAUGUACACGAACAAUCUUCUUCUACAACUUUGGACAAUUAAUUUUCCAAUGUCCCCAACAAUGACAAUAGGCACAUUCAUUCUUUGCAAGAGUUCUUCGACUUCUCAAUUUACAUUGAGAACCAACCAAUCUACCAAUACUAUCAUCAACCACAUAGAGUCGGUCAUCUGUAUUUUUCAAAGCGUACUUGUCUUCCAAUUUGGACAACAUAACUAUUACAAUGGUUUCCAAUUUGACAAUGUACCACAAAUCUUCUACCAAACAAUACCGGACAAAUUCACAAGCUUUUAAAUUUAGAGUUAACCAUUCAUCAUCAUUCAUAUUUCUCGAUUUAUCAUCAAGAACAUCCACAUAACCAUUAAUGGCUAACCAAUCUUGUACCUCCGUCUUCCACAUAGCAAAGUCGAGGUUACCAUCAAAUUUAUGAAUGCCAACAUCUAACAACAAGGUUUGAUCAAACAAACUAUCAACCUCCUUUUCAAAUUCACUCGAAUCCAAAAUAUGAUCCGACAUGAUACCAAUCAAUUUCAUACACCAGCAAACCAAACAAACAAACCAAACCAAAGGAGUUCACCAAGUACCACAAGAAAAAUCCAAGAUUGGAUUUUUACCGAAAUUGAGAAAACAAAACCGUCAACUUCAAAGAAUUACUGGGAACAGAAUACUUUGAAACAGAAAACGUUCCAUACACCGUUAGAAAGCCUGAAGAGUCUUCUUUCCAACCCAAAAAAUGGAUCAACGUUUCGAUAUCCGAGAACAGGGUUAUGGCCGUUUUACCACAGAGUAUCGAAUCUGGACAGAUUCCUCAAAACCCUUUAACCAAUGUUCUGCAAUCCCUCUUUAACCCAAGGAACUAACCUUCGGCUCUGAUACCACUUGUUGUGCGCAGCGGAAACUUAUUGCACCAAUACCCUGUUGGACUAUAUGCAGUGAUUAAUUAAAUCCAAACAACGCCAACAACCCGCAACCUAGAUAUUCGUGAGAACACCUCCUUUGCAAUACAGGAUCCGUUUUGUCAAUGAAGUCAGAGAUUACCAAACAAUAAACAAUAGUAUAAUAAGAACAAAAUAAUAAAGAACAAUAAUACCAAGAUAUACGUGGUUCGGCAAUGCCUACCCCCACGGGGAACAAUGAGAAGAUUUCACUAUAAGAAAAGAAACACCGAUUACAAUAAUCUCCCUAGUAUCUUUCUCAAGAUCUUAAUCUCUCACCUUAAACCCAAUACACCAUUGGCUCCCAAAGUUCUUUCUCACUUACUCUAUCUAUCUCUAUGUUUCUAUUGUUUUCUACUCUCUUGUCUUCUCUUGUUUUCUUGUCUUACAAAUACCAAGUUACUUGGGUAUUUAUAGGCCAUGGGUAGAAAUCAAAUCCAUAUAGAAUUACUAAUUCAAACUAGAGAUAAAUAGGAAACUGAGUCCAAAUAGAACUCCUGCACAUAUAUGAUUUCCUUAACCAAUAUAAGAAACUGAUCCUAUGGAUCACACCUCUUAUAAGGUAUGAUCCUGUGCACCCAACUUAUGGCGAGCCAAUAUACAACAAUCUCCACCUUGGCGAGCCAUCGACCAAAAAACAAGAUCAUUGCAGCUUGAAUUUCUUCAAGCACCGUCACAUUGGCAAGAAUCCUCUUGCCUCAACGCACCUCAAAUGAGGAGGUGUUCCACCCAAUCUUUAGCAUGAAGAAAGAUUGAGCAAGUUCAAACAAUGUCUGAACUUCUCAACUGAAACCGGCUUAGUAAGACAAUCUGAAGCAUUCUCAUCUGUGUGAACCUUCUCAACUGUAAUUUCACUUGAGUCCAACCAAUCCCGAAUCCGAUGAUAGCGAAUAUCAAUAUGUUUCGUUCUUGCAUGAAACAUUUGAUUCUUCGCAAGGCAAAUAGCACUCUGACUGUCACAUCUUAUCAUCAUAGAAUUUUGAUCUAACCCGAAUGUGCUUACUAAUCCCUUCAGCUAAAUAGCUUCCUUGCAAGCUUCUGUUACUGCCAUAUACUCCGCCUCAGUAGUUGAUAAAGCAGUAACCAUUUGGAGCAUUGAUCUCCAACUAACCGGUCCUCCACCAUAAGUGAAGACGUACCCUGUGGUGGAUCUUCGCUUAUCUAAAUCUCCUGCAUAAUCAGCAUCCACAUAACCCGAAACACAUGCUUUCCCUUGUUGUCUUUCAAACAAGAUACCCAACGUCUUGGUGCCCUUCAGAUACUUGAGAAUCCAUGUCACAGCUUUCCAGUGUGGCUUUCCUGGAUUCGCCAUGUAUCUCGAUACUACACUUAGUGCUUGAGCUAAAUCAGGUCUUGUGCAUACCAUUGCGUACAUGAGACACCCUACUGCGCUUGCAUACGGCUUCUUCUUCAUCUCUUCCACCUCAGCAUCUGUGGAAGGACAUUGACUUUUGUUUAAAACAAAACUGUUGUUCAAAGGAGUUGACACAGGAUCUGCAUCAAUCAUAUUGAAGCGCUCAAGUACCUUUUGAAUGUACUUGACUUGUGACAGCCAUAUCUUUCCAGCUUUCUUGUCUCUCCUUAUCUCCAUACCUAGGAUCUUCUGUGCAGGACCAAGAUCCUUCAUGUCGAAUUCCUUGCUUAACAACGUCUUCAGCUCCUUAAUUCUAGACAUAUCCUGACAAGCAAUAAGCAUGUCAUCUACAUAAAGUAGCAAUAGGAUCACCAUCCCAUCAUCAAACACAUGAGUGUACACACAACAAUCAUAGUCACAUCUUCUAUACCCAAUGUUCAGCAUAUAAGAGUCGAAACGUUUGUACCACUGUCUUGAAGAUUGCUUGAGCCCGUAAAGAGACUUCUUCAACCUACAAACCAGAUUUUCCUUACCAGCUUCAACAAAACCCUGAGGUUGAGCCAUGUAGAUGACUUCCUCUAAUUCACCAUGGAGAAAAGCAGUUUUGACAUCUAACUGCUCAAGCUCCAUAUCCUGCUGAGCAACCAGUGAUAGUAACACUCUAAUAGAAGUAUGUUUCACUACCGGAGAGAAAAUUUCAUCAUAAUCAACUCCUUCCUUCUGUGAGUACCCCUUCGCCACCAAACGUGCUUUGAACUUUGGUGGUUCUUUCUCAUGCAUUCCUUCCUUCUUCCUGUAAACCCACUUACAGCCAACAAUUUUUCUUUCUGUAGGUUUAGGAACCAACUCCCAAACGGAGUUCUUGUAUAGAGAUUCCAUCUCUUCAGCCAUAUCUUCAAUCCACUCUUCUCUUUCGUUACUUUCAACUGCUUCACGAUAAGAAGUAGGAUCACCUUCACUAAUGUUUAAAGCAUAAUGAACUUCUUCCUCGAACCCAAGUCUAAUAGGUGGUUUGACUUGUCUUUGGCCCCAGUUCUUUGUUAUGCUGUAAGGUUGUUGCUUAUCUUUAUUAGAUUCAACCUCCUUUUCACACUGUUGUUGUUCUGGCCCAUCCUCUUCAACCUCUGCAUCUGACUCCUCCACCUGAAUAGGAGUCUUCCCGUUGGAUACCUUGGUAAGAGGAGAUAUCUCUGUAGUUACUUUCUUAACAAUAGUGUUUUUCUCACCAUUCUUCAUGUCUUGAUUCAUAGGCAUAGUCUUCUCAUCAAACACAACAUCUCUACUAAGGAUUUUCUUUCGGUUCACUGGAUCCCAUAACUUAUAACCCUUCACUCCCUUCUCGAAGCCGAUGAAAAUGCAUUCAUGAGAUUUGGGUUUAAGUUUGGUUCUCUCAUCACUAGGAAUAAGAGCAUAUGCAUUACAUCCAAAUACCUUCAAAGUAGAGUAGUUUACCGGUUUACCUGACCAUACUUCUUCUGCACAUCUGAAAUCAAGCAUCUUGGAUGGUGAACGAUUAACCAAGUGACAAGCAUGGUUAAGUUACUCUGCCCAAAACAUCUCUGGCAGACCUGCAUGAAACCUCAUGCACCUCUCUUUAUUCAUAAGAGUUCUAUUCAUCCUUUCUGCAGCUCCAUUCUGUUGGGGAUUCUUCUUCACGGUAAAAUGCCUUGCAAUACCUUCAUCUUUGCAGUACUGUAGAAACUUCCUAUCCUUAUAUUCACUGCCAUUGUCAGUUCUUAGAUACUUGAUUUUUCUGCCUGUUUGAUUCUCUACCUCUGCCUUCCACUCCUUGAAUUUAGUGAAAACAUUGGAUUUCUCCUUCAUGAAGUAGACCCAAACUUUCCUCGAAAAAUCAUCCAUGAAAAAGUGACAAAGUAGCGAGCUCCACCUUUUGAUUGAGUAGGUGAAGGCCCCCACACAUCUGAGUGAAUAUAGUUAAGUACUUCUGUACUUCUGUUCUUUGUAUCUGCAGCUUUGAAGUGUACUUUAGUUUGCUUCCAUAAUACAAUACUUGCAGAAGUCAAGUUUACACUCUCCUACACCCUUCAACAAUUGUCGCUUGUGUAGUUCUUCCAUGGCUCUUUCACUCAUAUGCCCUAGCCUCAAGUGCCAAAGCUGAGUGUGAUCUUCUUGUGUAGAAACUGCAGCUCCACCAAUUACUGUAUUUCCUAAAAGCUUGUAUAAAUUGUUAGGAAGUCUUACUCCUCUCAUAACCACAAGUGAACCCUUUGAGACUAUGAGAUUCCCAUCUUUGGAUUUGUAUGUGUACCCAUUCUUAUCCAAAUAACCCAGGGAAAUAAGAUUCUUCCUUAGUGCAGGAACGUAUUUCACGUUACCCAGAGUCCUAACAAUUCCAUCAUGCAUCUUCAACUUUACCGUACCAAUUCCACAAACUUUACAACUGGAAUUAUUCCCCAUAAAAACUACGUCGCCUUUUCUUUUCUCAAACGUGUCAAACCAGUCUUCGUUUGAACACAUAUGAUAAGAAGCGCCACAAUCUAAAAUCCAAGGCGAAGAAAUAUUAUUACCUGAAGAAGUCGCCAAAAUUUCUCCGUCGCUAUCAUCUGUAACAACGCUGGCUGAAUUUUAAUUUUCGGCCGUCUUCUUCUUUUCCUUAUAUUUCUUACAAUCUCGUUUCCAGUGGUCUGUCGGACCACAUUCAAAGCAACCUUCUUUAUCCCUGGAUUUAGAUCUGCCCCUGCCUUUUGAUUUGCUACUUCUCUUAUUUGUUCGGCCCCUCUCAUUAGAAUUCUUGACAUAUAGUCCUUCUGCUUGAGAGUCUUCACCUGUGUUCUUAUUCAUCUUCACAUGAGAGAUUAUAUCUUGAACAACUUCAUCAUACUUUAAAGUAUCCUUGCCGAACAUCAAUGUGGUCCUGAAGUGCUUGAAAAAUGGAGGCAAAGAUCUGAGCAGGUACAGAGACUUGUCUUCAUCGUCAUACUUCACAUCCACCCGUAGCAAAUUUGUGAUGCACUUAUUGAACACGUUUAGAUGUUCCAUAAGAUCACCACCUUCUUCCAUCCGAAGAUUCAAGAGUUCAUCUUUCAAGAAAAGUUUAUUUGAUAAAGACUUACCCAUAUACAACUUCUCGAGCUUUUCACACGUUCCUUUGGCACAAGUUUCCUCCAUCAUAUUAAACAUCACCUCGUCCGAGAUAUGUAGUUCGAUGGAACUCAUAGCUUUGAGAUCUGCUUUGUUCCACUCGUCAUCUGACAUGUCCUUUGGCUUCUUGUCUUUCCCGUCAAAAACCACAUGAAGAUCUUGUUGGAUCAAAACGUUUCUCAUCUUCCUUUGCCAUAGUGUAAAGUUAUCUCUACCGUCAAACGGUUUAAUCUCAACUUUUACACCGCCGCCAAGAGUAGUAACCGAUGGUUUCUUACCGUCACUAUUUGCAGGAACACCUGUAGUCUCCGUCAUCUUUGACAAAACCUUAAAUCCAACCUAAGCUCUGAUACCACUUGUUGGACUAUAUGCAGUGAUUAAUUAAAUCCUAACAACGCCAACAACCCGCAACCUAGAUAUUCGUGAGAACACCUCCUUUGCAAUACAGGAUCCGUUUUGUCAAUGAAGUCAGAGAUUACCAAACAAUAAACAAUAGUAUAAGAAGAACAAAAUAAUAAAGAACAAUAAUACCAAGAUAUACGUGGUUCGGCAAUGCCUACCUCCACGGGGAACAAUGAGAAGAUUUCACUAUAAGAAAAGAAACACCGAUUACAAUAAUCUCCCUAGUAUCUUUCUCAAGAUCUUAAUCUCUCACCUUAAACCCAAUACACCCUUGUGUUGUGCGCAGCGGAAACUAAUGCACAAAUAAUAUGAUUGAACUAGUAUAUGAAAGUAAAACGAAAACGACAAAAGUAAACAAGCAACCCCCCCACAAGACACAAGAUAUACGUGGUUCGGCAAUAUGCCUACGUCCACGGGGAGAAAGGAUGAUGCUUUUCUUUAACAAGACAAUUGUACAAGCCCUCACGAAGAAACCGAAGUCUUCUUCCUCACAAAAGUUCUCAAAACUCUCUAAUGGCUUCUCACAAUCUCUCUCUUAGAAAAGUUUUAAGGUUUUGUACACCUUCUAUUUGGCUUUAUAGUAUAGCCUUACAAUAGCCACGAAUUGGGCUCAAAACAGGCCCAUUUGCACAAAACAAGAGGAGGACGUACGUACGUCGAGAAGAUUNNNNNNNNNNNNNNNNNNNNNNNNNNNNNNNNNNNNNNNNNNNNNNNNNNNNNNNNNNNNNNNNNNNNNNNNNNNNNNNNNNNNNNNNNNNNNNNNNNNNNNNNNNNNNNNNNNNNNNNNNNNNNNNNNNNNNNNNNNNNNNNNNNNNNNNNNNNNNNNNNNNNNNNNNNNNNNNNNNNNNNNNNNNNNNNNNNNNNNNNNNNNNNNNNNNNNNNNNNNNNNNNNNNNNNNNNNNNNNNNNNNNNNNNNNNNNNNNNNNNNNNNNNNNNNNNNNNNNNNNNNNNNNNNNNNNNNNNNNNNNNNNNNNNNNNNNNNNNNNNNNNNNNNNNNNNNNNNNNNNNNNNNNNNNNNNNNNNNNNNNNNNNNNNNNNNNNNNNNNNNNNNNNNUUGCACAAUACCCAAGUUUGUCAACAUACCUCGUAACCAAAUGGCUUCCUUAAAGGCUUCAGUCACAGCCAUAUAUUCUGCUUCUGUCGAAGACAAAGCAACAAGAGAUUGUAAUGUAGACCUCCAACUAAUAGGACCACCUGCCAAUGUAAAAACAUAUCCAGUAGUAGACCGACGUCUCUCUAUUUGUCCAUCAUAAUCAGAGUCCACAUAACCAACACAAAACUGAUUCAAAUCCCUUCCCUUCUGGAAUAGUAAACCAACCUCCACACUACCUUGAAUGUAGCGCAAGAUCCAUUUCACAGCUUCCCAAUGUUUCUCACCAGGAUUAUGCAUGUACCUACUUACAGUGCCAACUGCAUGCCCAAUGUCGGGCCUCGUACAUACCAUCGCAUACAUCAAGCUACCAACCGCGCUUGCAUAUGGAUAACGUGUCAUGUAAGCACGUUCCCUCUCAGAAUUAGGAGACAUAGAAGCAUUCAAUUUAAAAUCUUUUGAGAGAGGUAUACUCACAGCUGUACCAAUCUCAUAUUCACUAAAUCUCUGUAGCACCUUCUAUAGAUAGGCCUUUUGAGAUAACCACAAUCUUCCAUUGUCUCGUUCCCUCUGAAUUUCCAUGCCAAGUAUUUUUCUCGCUUCACCAAGAUCUUUCAUCUCAAACUCCAUAGACAUAGUCUUUUUCAACUUGUCUAUCUCCACUUUGCUUUUAGAGGCUAUGAGCAUGUCAUCAACCUAUAAAAGCAAAUAGAUAAAAGAACCAUCACGUACCUUGCGAAAAUAGAUACAAGGAUCAUAUGGACUUCUUGUGUACCCUUGCCCUAGCAUAAACUGAGUAAACCGCUUAUACCAUUGCCUUGGAGAUUGCUUCAACCCAUACAGCGAUUUCUUCAAUUUGCACACCAGCUUGUCAUUACCUGCAUCUUUAUACCCACUCGGCUGAGUCAUAUAGAUCUCCUCAUCUAGCUCACCAUGUAGAAAAGCAGUUUUCACAUCAAGUUGAGCUAACUCCAAAUCAAAUUGUGCUACUAAGGCUAAUAGGAUGCGAAUGGAGGAAUGUUUCACAACCGGAGAAAAGAUUUCAUUAUAAUCAAUUCCCUCCUUCUGAGCAUAGCCUUUUGCCACCAAUCUUGCUUUGAAGCGUACAUUUUCACCAGGAGACCCAUCCUUCUUAGUGUAAACCCAUUUGCACCCGAUUGCUUUCUUUCCCUUAGGCAACUCCACAAGUUCCCAAGUCUCAUUCUUAUGAAGAGAUUUCAUCUCUUCAUCCAUGGCCUUCUUCCACCUUUCAUAAUCACUACUCUGCAGUGCUUCACGAAAAGUUUCUGGAAUACCCUCAUCAACAACCGAAAGUGCAUAAGCUACCAUAUCAUCAGUAAGCCGUUUAGGAACACCGGCAUUUCUCUUGGAUAAUCUAGAUGCAAUUGGACCCUCAUCAUUAGAGUCCACAUGUACUGUAUCAUCAACCGUCUCAUCAUCAAUCUCAUUAUCUGUCAUGUCAUCAGAAUCUGUAACACUAGGAACCUCACUUGGAACCCUUAUAGUAGACGUUUCCAAAGAUACAGAACCACCUGGAACACGUGGAGAUAUUUCAGUCUCCACCCACUGCGAAACCUCUUUGGCCUUGCUCUCCACCUGCUGAGAGCUCUUAGGCUUCAACAUAGAAGCCUCAUCGAAUGUCACAUCUCUGCUUAGAAUAAUUUUCUUCAAUUCUGGAUCCCAUAGCUUAUAACCUUUUACUCCACUCUGUAGACCCAUAAAUAAAGACUUCUUUGCACGAGGAUCCAACUUACUCUCUCGGACAUGAUAGUAAGCUGGACACCCAAACACAUGAAGAAAACAAUAAUCUGAAGCAGGCUUACCAGACCAAACCUCCAUAGGAGUUUUGCCACCAAUCGCAGUCGAAGGCAACCUGUUAAUAAGGUGACCGGCAUACAUAAUAGCCUCAGCCCAAAACACUUUGCCUAACCCAGCAUUAGACAACAUACACCGAACUCUCUCCAGUAAAGUUCGAUUCAUCCGUUCUGCCACCCCAUUUUGCUGCGGUGUCUCUCUUACAGUGAAAUGGCGUUCAAUACCCUCAUUCUGACAUACUUGCAAGAACGGAUCAUUCUUGUACUCUCCUCCAUUAUCUGAGCGAAGUACCUUGAUCUUUCUGCCAAUUCGGGUUUCAACUAACUUUUUCCAUUUCAUGAAAAUUUCUAGGACUUCAUCCUUGCUCUUCAUGGUGUACACCCACACACGCCUAGAAAAAUCAUCAACAAAAGACACAAAAUAAUGCUUACCUCCCCAAGAGGCAUUCUUGGUAGGUCCCCAGACAUCCGUGUGAACAUAAUCAAGACCUCCACUAGUAUUAUAGAUAGCCGUGCCAAACUUCACUCUUGUCUGCUUGCCCAGAAUACAAUGCUCACAGAAUUUUGUCUUACAGGCGAUAGCACCCUUUAACAACCCUUGCUUUAUCAAUCUUUGCAAGGAUUUUUCACCAGUAUGCGCCAACCGCAUAUGCCACAGCCGCGUAGUCUCUCUAGCAACCUUUGAUGUAGCCUCAGACAUGGCCACAUCACCAGUAACUGUACUACCUUGAAGAAAGUACAAGUUCCUCUGUCGAACACCCUUGGGUACAACUAUUGCACCAGCCACAACCUUUAGAACGCCAUGUUCGAGUACCACCCUGUAACCAUUGGCUUCUAAAGUACCAAUUGAGAUAAGAUUCUUCUUCAUGUCAGGAACAUACCUAACAUUUUUCAGCUUCCUUAUAAUUCCAUCAAACAUCUUCAGACGAAUGGUGCCUAUACCCAUUAUGUGACAAGGUUGAUCAUUCCCCAUCACCACUACACCACUCUCCUGCUUCUUAAAAUCAGAAAACCAUUCCCUUAUAGGACAUAUAUGAUAAGAAGCAGCACAAUCUAAAAUCCAUUCAUUACCACUAGUGUAACAAGCCAUUGAUGAAACGGAUAAAGAAUAAUUAGAAUCUACAUCAUCAUCUUUUGUAUCACAUGCAACAUUUACCUCAGAGUUUUUCUUCUUGUCCUUUGCCUUGGCUUUAGGACAAUCUUUCUUCCAAUGCCCUUUCUCAUGACAAAAGGAGCAUUCAUCCUUUGCUAGAGAUCGACCUCUCGACUUUGACCGAGAUUUCCCUCUACCACCGUGGCCUUUCCUGUCACUAGACCUUCCUCUUGUCACCAAGACCUCAAGUGUAGAGCCCUUGGACUCUUCUUUGUCCUUCUUCAUACACGCAUGAUUUAACAAUGCUGCAGAAAUCUCACUAUACACCCAUUUUUCUUUCCCAUAUGUGAGUGUGAUAGCCAAGUGUUCAUAUUCGUCCGGUAACGAAUUUAGGAGACACACUGCCUUGCUUUCAUCACUCACAUCUGCUCCUAGAUUUGCCAAGUCUGCAAGUAGCUUGGUAAAAUCAUUAAGAUGCUCCGCCAUGGAAAUGCCUCUUCUCAUAUCUAUUCGAUAGAACUUUCGAAGUAGAUAGUUUUUAUUGUGGAUAGUCUUUGUCAUAUACUUCUCCUCCAAUUUUUGCCACAUCUCCUUUGCAGACACAUCAUUCAUCACAAGAUAUUUAAUGUCUUGUGCCAAACACGACCUUAUGAUUCCACAAGCUCGUUUAUUCAUCUUUUUCCAAUCCUUCUCUUCCACAUCUUCUGGCUUAUCCUCCAGAACAUCUUCUAGGUCUUGUUGACAUAGAGCAUCCAUUACUUCACACCUCCACAUACCAAAGUUAUUGGUGCCAGUAAACUUCUCUACAUCAAUUUUUGCUUGAUGGUAAACCACUGACUUGGUUUCCCCCUUCGAACUCUUCGAACUCCCUUCUUUUGCCAUCUUUCACCAACUUUCAAAUACUAAACAAUCACCAAACGAAUCUGAAAUUCACACCGGAAUUUCAACAAACACCUUGUAGACGCUCAAGUUCUAACCUAAGCUCUGAUACCACUUGUUGUGCGCAGCGGAGACUAAUGCACAAAUAAUAUGAUUGAACUAGUAUAUGAAAGUAAAACGAAAACGACAAAAGUAAACAAGCAACCACACACAAGACACAAGAUAUACGUGGUUCGGCAAUAUGCCUACGUCCACGGGGAGAAAGGAUGAUGCUUUUCUUUAACAAGACAAUUGUACAAGCCCUCACGAAGAAACCGAAGUCUUCUUCCUCACAAAAGUUCUCAAAACUCUCUAAUGGCUUCUCACAAUCUCUCUCUUAGAAAAGUUUUAAGGUUUUGUACACCUUCUAUUUGGCUUUAUAGUAUAGCCUUACAAUAGCCACGAAUUGGGCUCAAAACAGGCCCAUUUGCACAAAACAAGAGAAGGACGUACGUAAGUCGAAAUCACGUACGUACGUGUACAACACGUAACAAAGAUCUGGCGUACGGGACGUUCGAACGCCCUAACCACGUUCGUACGUUCUGUCCCGAAAAAGUUGUCUGCCACAUUGGACGUACGAACGCCCUAAAGCCAUUCGUACGUUCCUGAACAAAAAAUUUCCACUUCUCCUAUUUAUGCAUAUAAAACCCAACACCUUGGCUCCCAAAGUUCUCUCUCACUUACUCUAUCUAUCUCUAUGUUUCUAUUGUUUUCUACUCUCUUGUCUUCUCUUAUUUUCUUGUCUUACAAAUACCAAGUUACUUGGGUAUUUAUAGGCCAUGGGUAGAAAUCAAAUCCAUAUAGAAUUACUAAUUCAAACUAGAGAUAAAUAGGAAACUGAGUCCAAAUAGAACUCCUGCACAUAUAUGAUUUCCUUAACCAAUAUAAGAAACUGAUCCUAUGGAUCACACCUCUUAUAAGGUAUGAUCAUGUGCACCCAACUUAUGGCGAGCCAAUAUACAACAUACCCAAGAUUGUAAUAGUGUAUGAAUUAAACAAAACAAAAACAAAACAAACACAAAACACAAGAUUUACGUGGUUCGACGAUUGCCUACGUCCACCAACCAAAGAGGAGAGCUUCUUAUUAACAAAUCAACAAAGAUACAAAGUAUCUAACCAAUGGAGAAAAUCUCCCAACAAAUCUCUCACUCACCAAACAAAUCCUCACAACUCUCACAAGGAGACAAACAACAAAUAUGGAUUGAGGAUACUAAACCAAUCCCUAAGACCUUAUAUUUAUAGCCUUUAAGGUGUACAAAACAAAUUCCUAAUGGGAAUACCAAACUUAAUCAAAUUGGAAGUCAUAUUCCAAUACCAAAUUCUAAAUCCUUAAUAUGGACUUAGAAAUCCAAAUAUGAAACGGAUUCCCUGAUAGAACCGGUUUCCCAACACGUCGUAACUAGGUACGUACGUCCUAAACCCAAAACUUGACUUUGACAAAAGGACGCAAGACACGGACUCGGGGUGACGCGCGUACAACUAGGUUUUUCCUAACAAUGAACUCAAGACGAGAUAACCGAGACAUCCAAUGUCACAAAAUUAAUGUCAAAUAACCGAGUGCCGGUUUCAAGAACUACAUAUUAUAGAUCAUUUCAAAUGGAGCAAAACCCAUUUGAUUUUGUAAAAUUUGAGAAGGAAUCAAGUAAAAUAUUACCAAUUAAUGAUGAAGACAAAAACCUAAGAAGAAAAACAAAUUCUUUGUUUUGUUUGAGGUUCUGGUCUUCUGGACUUGGGAACAGAUCUCACAAUUCUCGACACUCGGUAUUAACAUCUCCAAAUUUCUCACGGUAUCUCGCAAGUUCUCACGAGAUCUCGUGAAGUGAUAAUGGUCUUGGAGAAGAAGCAAAGCAUGUGAACAGACAAUACUUAUCAGCUCUAUUAUUGCUGAUAAGUAGGAUAAAAUAGAGGAUAAUUGAUGACAUGUAGGGGUUGUGGAGGAAAGUAUGAAAUAUACCUGUAAUGGGAUGAGAAGUGCCUUUGCUUUCACAGGGUGAACUUGAUUUUUGAGACCUACCCAUGGAUCAACAAUUUAACUACAGCGUGAUGAAAUUUUGAAACGCCCUGAUGUCACUCUUUCCUGAGGAUUCAUUUUGGCAAAACUCUUAUCUUUCAUCAGUUUGUCGUAUUGAGGCUUCACAUCAUGCUUGAUUUUGGUCUACAAAAAGGAAAAAUAAUUCUUCAAACAGCUCAGAAUUGAAGGUUAUAAUUACAAGGUAGAAUAAGGGAAUAAGGUACUUACAUGUAGAUAUAUUGUUGAAACAAUAGCAUAUUGAUCUUCAUCCCUAAAGUAAUAUGGCCUCAUGGUACCAUACCAACGAAUGAGCAGCCUGAGAUAGAUGUCAAUAAUCUCAUCAUUAAGCCAAUUACCUUUGUAGAGUGUGUUGUAGGCAUUCACUGAGCAUGAAGCCAGAAAACCAUAAGUUCUCAUGGGAACUCUACCCCACUUUGGGUCAGAAGCCAAACUCCAAAAGUAGUGACAAAGUUUUGUAUCAUCCUCUUCCACUUGUCUACUGAAGAAUGGUUCUUUCAUUAUCUCUGACAUCCUUGCAUUACACCUAAGGCCCAAAGAAACCUCUUCAGCUUCCAUGUUUUGAUAAGUUUUGGCUUCCCUUUUCCUCUUUGCCACUCUUAAUGCUUACAGGUCAAAUUUUGUAUCCUUCUCAUCAUCAUCAGAUUCACUUACACUAAGAAGGAGAACACUCUUCCUGCCUGAUGACUCCUCAGUAUCUGAUGCAGUAGGUGUUUCAAGUCUAUACUGUUGAGGUACAUCUUCUUUAUUAACCACCACAUCAGUAUGAUGAUCACAUCCACCAUUGUCAUCAUCAUCCCCUUCACAUCAGUAUGAUGAUCACAUCCACCAUUGUCAUCAUCAUCCCCUUCAGUUUUAUCAUCAUCCCCAUCAUCAUUCUUAUCAUCAUUCUUCUUAUCAUCAUCCUCCUUACCAUCAUAUUUUUUAUCAACAUCAAUAUCAUCAUCCUGCUUAUCAUCAUCUUCUUCUUCACUAUCCCCAGAUUCAACGGUUGUAGAAGAUGCCUCAAUGCUUUUAGCCUUAGCACCAGACAAUGUAACGGAUGAAACCUCAGUGGUAGCCGUUUCAGUUGCCUCUGUUCUUACCUUUGUCGUUAUAGCGGAUGGAUCCUCAUUUCUAGCGGAUACUGUGGCUUCUGUAGCGGAUUCAGAAGGAUCGCCAUCCUUUGUACUUGAAUCAUUAGGUUUACCUUCUUCAUUCACUUCAGCUUUCUCGCCCAUCAGUACAGAAAGACCUUGGAGAUUUGACAUUGCCUCGGCAAGAGGAUCAGGUACACCUCUCAGGUUAUUCAAUGCAUCCACAAUGGACUCCUGGUCAUCUGAUGAAUGAUCAUCACUCCAGAAAGACAACUUUCUUACUUUCUUACUGCUGGGGAUUUCAUCAUCAUCUAACUGUAUCUUCCUUGACUUUUUUUCCUUCAGUUUCUUUGCCUCCCUUCUCUUUCUUAAUUCUUUCCUCCAACUAAGAUCAAAGGUAUCACCUUUAACCUUCCUUUCAGGUUGAUGUCUUAUAAUAGGAAACAACAUAUCUGCUCUCUUCCUUUUUUUCUCUUCUUUCUCUAUCUGUUUCUCUCCAGCCUAUUGGUCAUUUUGUUCUUCAUCAUUCCAAUCAAUCACGGGAAAAUCUUUGUCUAAUGGUAAUAGAUCAUCACCACUCCCCCCUACUGUAUCUUUACCCUAUUCUAUUUGAUCAUUCUGUGGAGCUGCCUUAUCUUCAUUCUGCUUCCCCAUAUCCACAAUGUUUCUCUUCUUUUUACGCUUCUUCAGAUUCCCCCUUCUUUGAAUUUUUCUUCUUCUUCUUGUUAUCCUUCUCCCCCUCCUCUGAUCUUUUCCUCUUUAUCCCCUUAUCCCCUUCAUAUUUUGGUGGUUGAGGUUCCCUUUUUUUACCUCAUAAUUAGAAGACAAAGAGCUUUUACUCCUGGUGGUUCUAACUGUUGUCUGUGCUGGUAUAGGCUCUUCCUCCAUCUUCUUAUAAUCAAUAAUUUUGGGCUGUGGGGAAUCACUCACUGUUGUGUCUUGGGGGGGUUUCUGCUUGGGAGGUAUCUUCACCCUCCCAAUAGGUUUGGGUAGAGCACUAACUUUCUUGGUUGGUACAAUGGGUUUCUUGGGUGAAACAUUGGUUUUCUUGGAUGGAAUUGUUUGUUUCCUUGUUGAAACUGUUGGUGAAACUUGGGAUGCAGUACUUGAUCUGGUUGCCCUUUUUGGAGGACUUGGCAAAGGAUUGGUCUUUUAGACUGAUUUGGGUUUGAGAGUUGGCUUUGAGGGGGAACUUAUCUUCUUCUUACUUUUACUUGUUUUCUUUGAUGCCCCCUUACCAAUCUGUGCAAACACACGUUUAACAGCUAGAUCAGGAUCACUGCUUUUGUCAGAAACCAUCCCUGCCUCACGACCCUUCAAAUAUAAUGCAAUAAGAUUGUAGAGGAUAAACGCAACAUUAUAGAAAACAUCAUUCAAAUAUUUAAAGGAUAUAUUAUGUUAACAUUCAAAUUAUAGAGGUUUCAACGUUUCAAGGUUUAAAGUUUUUGUAUAUGACUUCAUUCAAAUUAAACAACAUUUAAAGUUUAAAGAAUAUAUUAUGUUAACAAAUUAUAGAGAGUAUACAGAAACAAGGUAACGGAUAGAACGGUAUAACCUAGAGGAAAACAAUCACAAUGUAGACGAUAUACCAAAACAUAUCAAUAUUGAUCAACUAGAGGUUUUAGAAUAUAUGUAUUCAAUGUAAUAAGUAACAAACCUAUAAAGAAGAUAAGUUAUUCAUUGUUGCAGAUAGAAUUUCAAAGUAGUAGUAACAACAUACCAUUUCAAAGACUCCUUUGAGAAUUGCCUCAAGAGCAUUUCUUUCAAGUGUAAUAAAAUUGGAAGCACUUGUUGUUGCAGAUGAUUGGUGAGAUGGACGAAUUAGCCUAGAAACUGGCCUUGAAGAAGCAGACUCUUCAUAUUCUGCUUGUGCUUGAGCCUGAAACUGGAAUUAACAUGUAACGGAUAAGUAUAUAUCUGUAGAGGAUAAGGAGAACAAAGUAGGGGAUAAUGAAAAUACAGCAACAUAAAGAUGACUUACUUCUUCAACCACUUGUAAAUUUGCUGCAGCUCUUUCUUGCAGAGUGAUAUCCAGUGGAUAGGCCACAUUAAUGAAGCCUUUCUUGGGGUGAAAUUUCUCAAAAAGUUUGUCUUUAAUUUUGUUCCUAGUGGGCAAAUCAUACCAUCCUAACAUCCUUGGAAAAGGAGAGUUUGGAAUCUUUCUGGGACCAAGAUCUGGGAGAUGCAAAUAUGCCCAAAUAAUGAAUGCAAACACACAUCCAUUGAUACAAUAGUUUUGUACACCAUCAACAAUUUUUGUAUACACAUCUUCUAAAUUGCUCUCAAGCAAUUUGAAUGCAGCAGUACCCCAUGGAAAAUCAUCAAAAUCUACCAAAUUUUCAGCAAGAUCGACAUACCUUACAUCAAUUGUUUUGGAUGAAUCAGCAAGCAGAAAAAUUGCAAGAAAAUACAACCUGUUCAACCUAUUGACAUCAUCUGGAUUCGCAUCUUGGGCUUCUCUUGUUUUUUUAAUUGCAUCAAGGAUAUGAGAAUCUCUAAUGUGUAGGUUAGUCUGGAAGUAUUUGGAUCUGAAUGCACUAUAUUCACUUUGCUUCCUAACAACAAAAUCAACAGGUAAAUGUCCAAAUUUCAAAGGCCCCAAAAUCAAAGCAAGAUCUGUCAUUUUGAACUCAAUCACUCUACCCCCAAUUGAAUACUUCAGUCGACCAACCCUUAUUGAAACAAUUUCUGUAACUACCGAAGUUAUCAUGCAAAUUUUUUCUUGUCCCUCCAAACUCAAAAACUGCCCAAAAGGGGAAUUUUUAAAAGAUUCUAACUCAUUGGGGGGCAAUUUUUCGUUUGGGUUUAGAUAGUGGGCUUCAAACUUAGAUGGUGAGCAUCUCACAGUGAUGCUAAAUUUUCUACUCACUUCAUCGCCUUCAAUCUUUUUCUUCGGCAUGAUUAUGUAGAAAUUAGAAUGGAAGAUGGGAAAUUAGAAGAUGAUUGUGUAGAAAUUAAAAGAUGAUUGUGCAGAAAUGGAAGAUGGGAAAGAAAUUAGAAGAGUUAUGAGCAGUUUAAUGGAAGAAGAAUCGGUUUAAGAAGAAAAGAGAGUGGGUGGUUAUGGAUUCUGGAACGGUGUGAAAACCCUAGGUUAGCAAACCUUUACCUGUUCCCGCUCGAUUAUCCCGCCCAAUUAAAACCCAACGGUUAAUGACACAUGGCACUGAUGUGGCUGUUGUUUAGUGUAGCAUACUUGUUUAAAAUUUCAAAUUGUAGAGGAAAUAACAUCUACUUGUGGAGGAUAGGAAUUAGCAAAUUAUAUCCAACGGUUGUAACUUAUUAUCAUGAUCCAAUGGUUGUAAUCUAUUCUCAUGUCAUUAUCUAAGAUGUCACAUCUACUGAAAACCUAUUGAAAACCUAUUAAAAGUAAUGAUUAUAGGCUAAAGGGUAUAAUAGGAAAAAAAAUAUGCUAAAAGACAAAAAUUCAUAAGUCAAAGCUAAAAAUGUGCUUGUUGGGGAAGAUUGCAGUCAAAUGUGCUUAUUUGGGAAGAAAGUUGAUAAACCUAUGCUUAUUCGAGAAAUUACCCUAUUUUUUUCCUUCAACACCAUAUAUUAAUUUCUUAGUCAUAUAUUAACUUGUGGCAUUAUUUUACAACAAGUAUUAACAAAGGUGAUUACUCAUCAUUUUUAUGUGUAGAACUGUAGGGGCAUCCACAUAAUUGACUUUUUUUUUUACCAAGCUCAAUAAAAUAAGUACCCAACUAUUAUUUUCCUCUAUGGGCUUAAACUGGGUUGUCUUUAACCAAAAAAAGUAUGGGGCACACUCUUUCUAAUAAUUAAUCGAUUACUUAAGUUAAUAAUCAAAAUAAAAGUUUGAAUCUCUCCUACAACACUUGGAGAGUUGGGGUGAGUAAAUGUCUCUCUCUUGAACUAUUUUCUGGUUUAAAUUUAACCUACGUAUAGUUAAAAUUUUACUUUGUUUUGGUGUUAUUUUGUUCAAAUUGAUUUUAUUUUGGUCUUUCUUGUGCAAGAUCAUAUCUCUAAUCAUUUUCAUUCAUUCUUCAAAUUUUGAACACUCCAAUUGUCGAAACGAAAGAGAAAUAACAAAAUGUUUGUUUUAUGUAUAGAGAAAAUAAUAUUUUCGGUGCUAUUUACAAUCAACAAUUAUAUAUGGAUUAAGAGAAUGUACUAAUGGUAGAGAACAAGAGAUCCUUAAAAAAUAUUUUACAAUUUAUAAAAAACAAAAUAUAUUGUGACUCAUUUAACUCAUAUUUAUUUACUAAUGAGUUAACUUUGCCUGUUCGAUAUAGUAAUAUUUAAGAAAAUUAUUUGCUGGUGUAAUUGGUAGGGUGCCCCGUAAGCUAAAUUCCUGGCUCUGCCACUAAAAUCAGCGAAAUUCUCAUCAGACCAUAUCUUCUGGACAUUGAUCACGUUACUCCUCUAAAGUUCAUGAGAAAAGAAGAAUUUUGGGAUGUAUUUCGUUUUGUCACCCUCGAUGAAUCUUUCCUUGAUUUAAGCAAUACAUGCAACAUUGUCUUUAUUAAUCAUUGUUGGUUUUGUGUAAUAGAGGGUAAUCUGCAUGUUUUUGGAUACUACAUUCCCAGAAUUAUGUGGGGGUCAAAGUUAAAUUAUCCCAACUCAUUCGUGGGAUGUUAGGGAGUAGUUGAGACUCGAAGUUAAUUAAAUUAUCCCAACUCAUUCGUGGGAUGUUAGGGAGUAGUUGAGACGUGGAGUACACAUCGCUGAACUACGUAAGUUUAUGUCUACACAAUGUUUUUUGGUUUAGUUUUGCAUAGUAAACUGUUCAACCAUAAUAAUGGAAGUUUAACGGCACAAAGAAGCCAGAGCUACUAGUUACUGGUGUUGUACUUGAGUAUUUGGGAUUUUAUUGUCUUAGUCUUCUUUUUAAUAAAAAAAAAAUUAUUGAUAAGCUAGAGCUACUGGUUAAUGGUUUUAAGGUUUAGGAAGAACAAAGUGAAAAAGGAAGAAGAAAAUGAGGUGUCUUAAGGUUUAACAAGAUCAACGGUUAAGAUGGAAAUGUGAAAGAUCAAACAGAUAAGCUUGUUGUGAAUGUCAUUUUCAUAGUGGAGAGAGAGAGAGAGUAAUGAUAAUCAUAUAGGAGAGAGAAAUUUGUUUUGAUGUUGAUGGGUGGAAUAUUAGGUAAAGGUGUAAGAAGGGUAGAAGUGUUCUUGAAAUUUUGUUGACUAGAUAUUGUGCUUGUUUGAGAACAAAAGUUAUCUUGUUGUGUUUUUUGGAACAAACACAGUAAACUUGUGCUUAUUCGGGAAAUUACCCAAUUGAAAACUACUUAAUAUUAAUUUUGUGAUGAUGGUGAUGGAAUCGGGUACUUCAUUUGCAUCUUCUGAAAGAAAUGAAAUUAUACUCAAAUGAAAUAACUAAAAUCUAAAAUGAUAAAUAAACAAGAUUACACAAAAUGUCCAGGAUCGAAUAUGCAUAAGGUAUUGGUCACAAAAUAAAAUAAUAUAAAUAAACUAACAUAUACAUACGUAAUAACUUCUACAUCAACAAUACCAUAGCUUGACUUCUCUCAAUUUCUCCUUAAAUCUACCUAGGUGAUGGUCCCUAUAAUGUAGAGAGUGAGCAUUAAGGGGGAGCUAUGGAGUGUAGUACUUAUAUAGUCUUCCAUCAAGACCUUUGAGUUCUUCAUAAAAAAGAACACUACUAAUAAUACUACUUAAAUUAAUUAUUACAACUUACAUUGUGUCAAAGGUGCUUUUAUUUUAUUUAUUAUAAUUUUUUUUUUUACCUCAAGAACCCAAUUUGUGUCUUUAUUAAGUACACUAUUUUAUUAAAAUUGAGCCAAGAGUUGAAAACAUUGCCAUUACUUCAGGAACCAGAUCCAUCACUUCAGCAAGUCGUUUUGUUGCAUGGAAAUGGUUCUAGGACCUCAUUAAGCAUCCAUAAAACACAAAUGGCCCAGCUAAGGCCCGGUUUAUAAAAUUGGCCCUGAUUAAGCAUUUGUGGAAUAAGAAAAUACACAUUUAACGUUGAUAUUGUAAAAACGGCCCUUUCACUACCGAUAAUACCCUUCUGGUUUAUGCAAACAAAUGUUUGCAUUUUAUGGUAUGUGGUGGUUGUUGUUUCGACUAUGCAAAUAAGUUUUUGCAUUUAAUGUUUAUGUGUGUUGUGACUGACGCAAACACAUCUUUACAUUUUAUAGUUUAUGUAGUUGUCGUUGCGAGUAUGCAAACAAGUUUUUGCAUUUAAUGUUUAUGUGUGUUGUGACUGAUGCAAACAAGUCUUUAUAUUUUAUGGUUUAUGUGGUUGUUGUUGCGAGUAUGCAAACAAGUCUUUGCAUUUUAUGUUGCGUUGUGACUGAUGCAAAUAAAUCUGUUUAUGUGUUUGUGAUAUGCAAACGAGUCUUUGCAUCAGUCGAGGGGUAAACUAGUCCAUAAGACACGGAAAUCAGCGGUUGGGCCUUUUUUACCAAUAGUUCCCUAACUGGUCCAAUCUUACAUAUUAACAUAUCAAAGGGGUCCUUUUUUAUUCCCUGGUUUUGUUGAUCCAUUAUAAAUAUGUUUCCACCACCCAACACUGCCAUUAAAUUAAUUCAAUGAACUAAUAUGCAUUCAACUAGGCAUAAGGUGUAACGCCCUGGGAUUUCGUCCUCGCUCAUCCCGGUGCGUCGAGCACCAUACCGCUCGCUAAUGUCAAUAUUGUCCCUCUUUAGUCACUACGGAUAUCCAGCAGUAGAGGGUUUUGGAUCAGGGCCCACCCAUGUGGUUUACCCCAAAAGGCCUUGACAUUAGUUAGAGUAUGGUUAAGCUCUAUAUACUACCAACACAUGGGUGUUACAAUCUCACCACCUUAGAAAUAGAGCCGUCCUCGGCUCUGCAGUACACUCAGUACAGUCCCAAAAUCUCCGACGUUCCCUGCCAAGUGAGACAAGUACCUGACGCUCCUCCGGCCCUUCCAGCGUACUUCCCACCUGCAACAGGCGACCUGUCGUGGGCUCUGAUACCAACUGUAACGCCCUGGGAUUUCGUCCUCGCUCAUCCCGGUGCGUCGAGCACCAUACCGCUCGCUAAUGUCAAUAUUGUCCCUCUUUAGUCACUACGGAUAUCCAGCAAUAAAAGGACAAAGGUUCGGGACAGUAAUCUAAAUAAACAUUUUGCACAAGGUAAAAUCCAUAACCAUUAAACACAAAUACUUCAACACACAUAAUUUGAACUCCCAAUAAAUUCCAUAUAUAAUCUAAAAACUCCAACUAUUGAAUUACACAACUCCAAUAAUAAAUUUCCACAGCUUCUACUGAGGUAUUGUCUUUCCCAAAUCAACAAUAAUCCAAUAAAUGAAAUAAACUGAGUAAUCAACUGACAACGAAUCAAAGAACUAAACCUACUGUGAAAUGUAACUCCUGCAAUUCUCAAACUCCCUCUCGAACAACUGGAUCUACACGAGCCUCCUGAUGUUGCUCCCGAUCGUACUCAACUGGCUGCUCUCCUCCGCCUACGCUCCAUAAGGAUACGUACCCACGUGCAAAACAAGCAACAUGGGUCAGCAAAUUAUGCUGGUAUGAGUGGACAAGGGUAGGGAACUCCAUUCCCAAAAACAAUAAAAUAAUAGACUCCGUGGUCUUUCUAUAUUUAUCUCGUUUACUAAAUAUAUAUUAUAUAUUAUAGGGGUACAUUACCUGAGCUGCACCUCCUAUUAGGAUAGGUCGAGCCCUGCAAGAAAUGUUAAUUGACCUAUCCUCCUGCAAAACUGUGUUAGUACAAUAAUAUAUAAUUCAUGGCAUCUCAAAUCUCGACACUAUAUCUCAAUCACUGCAAAUCAAUCAUUACACUCAAACAACACUUCACAACCUAUACCCAAUCACUAGUACACCUCCCACAGGAUGCACUCCACACAUUUGCCAUACCCACACUGCACCAGUGUGCCUUGACCAUGGUUAAGACCCUCUACGCGGAAACCAAAACCCAAGUGGGUGCUCACCUGCAAGCUUUGGCUAACCUCGACGUAUGCCUAACUCAUGGCCUCUACUAGCUCCCUUGAGCUUUCUAAAGUGGCGCCCAGACCAACCCCGAAGGCUAUGAAGGUCUGUAGGGUCAGUUCCGCAGGCUAAGCCGUCUAGGAAAUACCCCAAAAAUAUAUUCCAAGUGUCAACCCGCAGGCUAAGCCAUCUAGGGUGAUAUCUAAUCUUUUUCUGUAAUCCUAAUUCCACAGGUGCGGCAAAUGUACUAAUGGUUGGACGACUACUAUGACCUCUAAACUAUCAAUCAAUCAAACCACACUCGACAGUGAAAUUACACAUCAACUUCAUAUUCCAAAUCCAUUUUUCGUAUUUAUUUCUAUAACAAAUUGAUCAAAGACUGUCCAUCGGUAUUGGGCCAUUCAAAAGCGUUCAUCGAUUAUUCCAUAUUUCAUCAUUAUACUAUUACAGAAUCUCAUUAACAUACGUCCCACAUAAACAUAAUAACUUAAAUAUCACUGCCAAUAGCAUGUACUAUACUACACAAAUUAAUUUAAAAGAAAAAGAACUCGACAACUCAACAAAUCAUUUACAGUACACCUAUAACACCAGAACGUUUUACUACCCCUAGUAUUAUUACUUAAUUUUUCUUUUUCCCUUUUUUUUUAUGCUGAUAUAACAGUAUAGUUUAUCAAUACCAAUCAAAACCCGACCAGUCGGCAACCAUGGAUAAUGAAUGUGCAAUUAAAAUCAUUCCUAUAUUUUCUUAUAUAUGUCAAUUCCAAAAAAACAUGUCUACAGUGGGUUCUCUGAUCAUCUCUCAUAUAUAUAAAAAAAAUAGAGUAGCAACAGGUUGUAUUUCAAUCAUAUGCAAAUCAAAUAAGUUAAUCUAAAAUAGAUAUUUUAAAUCAAACUCACCAACCAGAUGCAUUCAACUAUAGAUAUUUUCUUAUACUUAAACAACUUCAGCCAUUAGACUUAAACCAGAUAUUUUCUUAUCUACUUCAGCCAUUAAACUUAAACUUCAGCCAUUAAACUUAAACUUCAGCCAUUAAACUUAAACCAAUAGUUAUACAGAUAUUUUCUUAUACUUAAACAACUUCAGCCGUUAAACCAAAAAUAAAGAUUUAUAAAAACUAAGGCCCACUCACCUAUACUGUUCUUCUUCUUCCUCUAUCCUCUAAUGGUGGCUCAACAGGUUGCGCACCUCUCUCUCGAUCUCUCUCUCAACAGAUUAGCACGCCACUCUCGAUCUCUCUCUCUCUCUCUCUGCAAACCCCUUUAAAAAAAACUAUGCGCAAAACCCUUGUUUCGAUUUCGAUUAUAUAAGGAGAUCACUCCCAUUUAAUCCGGUAAAUUCCCACGUUUCCAAUUGAUUCGAGUUGAUCGUGUUCCGAAAUUCAUAAGCCCAAACUGUUCGUGGGUGUUUUCUCCAUGUUUGAGUUAUUUAAACCAUAGUCCACUACUUUACAGUAAUUAUGCUUAAACCCUUGGUCCAGGGACUUUAACCCAAUUACUUUUAAUUCAAAUUAAACUUAAAUGAAAUUUCCAUUAACAUUAAAAUAGGGGGGGUUUACAUUUAUACACACCUCAAAAGAAAUCUCGGCCUCGAGAUUUGGAAGAAAGAUCAAUCAAACAACUCCGGGUGCUUAGCUCGCACCUUGUCCUCCAGCUCCCAUGUAACAUCGCUCGGAUCAUCACUCCACUGCACUUUUACCAGUUUCAAUGUCUUUUUCCUUAGUCGUUUCUCAUCUCUAUCAAUGAUAAUAAUUGGCCUCACUCUGUAGGUAACAUCUUCAUUAAUUUCUAACUGCUCUGGAUCAUAAAUAUCUAACUGCGCGUAGUCUACUCCUUCAUCCUCUUCAUCCUUAUCAUCUCCUUUCCACAUUCUCAACAUAGAAACAUGAAAUACAUUAUGUAUCUUCUCCAAGGCAGGUGGCAAUGCCAGCCUGUAAGCCAACGGUCCAACUCUGUCAGUGAUCUCAUACGGUCCCACAUACCUAGGGCUCAACUUGCCCUUCUUACCAAACCUCAUUACUCCACGCAUCGGGGAGAUCUUCAGCAACACUUUCUGCCCUACAGCAAACUCGAGUGGCUUCCUCCUAUUAUCUGCAUAACUCUUCAUUCGGCUUUGAGCCGUUUUCAAUCUAUGUCGGAUGANNNNNNNNNNNNNNNNNNNNNNNNNNNNNNNNNNNNNNNNNNNNNNNNNNNNNNNNNNNNNNNNNNNNNNNNNNNNNNNNNNNNNNNNNNNNNNNNNNNNNNNNNNNNNNNNNNNNNNNNNNNNNNNNNNNNNNNNNNNNNNNNNNNNNNNNNNNNNNNNNNNNNNNNNNNNNNNNNNNNNNNNNNNNNNNNNNNNNNNNNNNNNNNNNNNNNNNNNNNNNNNNNNNNNNNNNNNNNNNNNNNNNNNNNNNNNNNNNNNNNNNNNNNNNNNNNNNNNNNNNNNNNNNNNNNNNNNNNNNNNNNNNNNNNNNNNNNNNNNNNNNNNNNNNNNNNNNNNNNNNNNNNNNNNNNNNNNNNNNNNNNNNNNNNNNNNNNNNNNNNNNNNNNNNNNNNNNNNNNNNNNNNNNNNNNNNNNNNNNNNNNNNNNNNNNNNNNNNNNNNNNNNNNNNNNNNNNNNNNNNNNNNNNNNNNNNNNNNNNNNNNNNNNNNNNNNNNNNNNNNNNNNNNNNNNNNNNNNNNNNNNNNNNNNNNNNNNNNNNNNNNNNNNNNNNNNNNNNNNNNNNNNNNNNNNNNNNNNNNNNNNNNNNNNNNNNNNNNNNNNNNNNNNNNNNNNNNNNNNNNNNNNNNNNNNNNNNNNNNNNNNNNNNNNNNNUCCAACAUCUCUCUUCAUUCCUUCCCACCAAUAAGUCCUCUUCAGGUCUUUGUACAUCUUCGUUCCACCAGGGUGAAUAGUGAAACGAGAACGAUGUGCGUCAUCCAUAACAUUCUUCCUCAAACCAUCCUUAUCAGGAACACACAAUCGAUCUCUAUACCUCAAACCUCCAUCAACACCAACUGACCAUUCUGUGGGACAAUCAUCUAACAAAUCCACAACUAACUGCCCAAGCUUUCGGAGCAAGAAAGGGUCCUCAUGCUGCUUGGACACAAUCAAGCUAAUCAUCAUAGGUUUCACCUCCAUAGAACAAAUGGUGACCAGUUCACCUCUCUGCUGUAAGUACACAUCAUGAGACGCUAUAGUCUCCAAAGAUUUCCACUCUUCCAUCAUCAUCAUAGCAACGGUGGCAUGCUUCCUACUCAAAGCAUCUGCAACUACAUUACCUUUCCCAGGCUGAUACUGAAUCUGAAAAUCAUAACUGCUAAUGAACUCCAUCCAUCUCUGCUGCCUCAUGUUCAAAUCCUUCUGAGAGAACAAGUACUUUAGACUCUUGUGGUCGGUAUAAAGAUCAAACUUCUCCCCAUAUAAAUAGUGACGCCAAAUUUUCAAAGCAAACACCACAGCCGCCAAUUCUAAAUCGUGCACUGGAUAUUUUCGCUCAUGUUGCUUCAACUGUCUAGAAGCAUAAGAGACCACUCUCCCAUCCUGCAUCAAAACACAACCAAGUCCGGUACCACUAGCAUCUGUGAAUUUUAUCCUAAUGCCACCUCUAACCGGUAUAACUAACACGGGCGCUGAAGUCAACCUCUGCUUAAGCUCCAGAAAAGCUCUCUCGCAGUCGUCAGUCCACAAGAACUUCACAUUCUUCCUCGUAAGUCUGGUCAAUGGCUCAGCUAUGAGCGAGAACUUCUCAAUGAAACGACGGUAAUAUCCAGCUAAUCCUAAAAAGCUUCGAAUCUCUGUAGGGUUGGUUGGCUGUUUCCAAUCCCUAACUGCAGCAACCUUCUCAGGGUCAACGGCAAUACCCUCUCUGGAUAUCACGUGACCUAAGAAAUGCACCUCAUUCUUCCAGAAAUGGCAUUUGCUAAACUUAGCAUAUAGCUUGUGAUCUCUCAAUAUCUGCAACACUAUUUUCAAAUGUUUCGCAUGCUCCUGAGCAUCCUUAGAAUACACCAAAAUAUCAUCAAUGAAUACAAUCACAAACUUAUCAAGAUAAGGCCUAAAAAUCCGGUUCGUCAAAUCCAUGAAAAAUGCUGGAGCAUUAGUUAACCCAAAAGGCAUUACUGGAAACUCAUACAAUCCAUAUCGAGUUCUGAAAGCAGUCAGUGGUAUAGUCUUCUCCUCUACACCCAUCUGAUGGUAACCCGUCCUCAAAUCAAACUGAGAAAACACGGCUGCUCCUUUCAACUGAUCAAGCAAAUCAUCUAUUCUCGGUAGUGGAUAUUUGUUCUUGAUUGUCACCUUGUUCAACUCACGGUAAUCAAUGCACAUCCUCAAAGUCCCAUCCUUCUUAGAGACAAAGAUAGCUGGAGCUCCCCAUGGAGAAUUGCUUGGACGUAUGAACCUGUGGUUCAUACACACCUCAAAAGGCUCACACAUAUACACCAAAAGAAUAAACUAAAUCAAAUAAAACAUCAAAUAUCACAUACCCUUUCUUAAGCAACUCCUCCAACUGGGUCUUCAUCUCUUCCAACUGCUUAGGCGCCAUCCUGUAAGCAGUCUUAGAAAUAGGUGCCGUUCCUGGCAGCAAAUCAAUACGGAACUCCACCUCUCUCUUAGGUGGUAAACCCGGAAUCUCCUCAAACACAUCUAGAUAAUCCUUAACUAUCGCCACAUCACUAAUAUCGAUCGACUGGGCAGCCAUAGACAUCAAAAAGCUGGACAUAAUCGAAUCAUCCCUACUAACACAACUGUGUACCAAUGUGGGUAAACCUGGUGUAUCCACUAUAACUCUCCUCCCAGCACAAUCCAAAAUCACAUGAUAACGACUCAACCAAUCAAAACCCAAAAUAAACUGAUAGCCUUCAAAAUCUAAAACUACUAGAUCGAUGACAAACUGUCUACCCAUGAAUGUCAGAGCAAAAUUCUUACACUCGUAGAACAAACAAGUCGAACCUCCCAUAGGUGUCCGAAGAUAUAAAGGUUGGGGUAAAGGUGUAGUCACAAUCUGAUACUUAUCUACUAUCUGCUUAGCUAUAAAUGAAUGCGAUGCACCAGAAUCAAACAAUACUCGGAACCUAAAUUGAGAGCAAUCAAAAGUACCUUCCAGUCCCUGAAAUGCAGGCAAAACAGCAAAGGCUCUCCCUCGGUUCGGCUGAUGUGCUGGCCUCCCCUGGUUGUUGUUCACUGGUCGACGACAUUCAGCAGAACGAUGUCCUGGUCCUCCACAGUUCCAACAGUUACCCCUGAUCGGCCCUGCUAAUGCUCCUGGCGCUGGUAACUGUAAAGGUGCUGGCCUAUAAGGCAAACCUGGGGCAGGUUGCCCUGGUGCUGGUGGUGGUGGUGGCGCUCCUGCUCUAGCUCGGUUGUCACCACGCCCAUACCCACCACGGGGUCUGAAACCCUGGUUAUCUCCCGGUGGCCUGUUGUAACCCUGGUUCCUCCCUGGGUUGUUGUCAUAACGUCGACCCCUGAAGUUAGGAUCAUAAGGCUUGUGUCUGUUCCUGUCUCUAAAGUUAUCACCUGUCUUUUUGCUCUUCUCAGUUCUAAACUCCUGUUCCUUCUCCUCAUACUUCAUUGCGAGGUUCAGGACUCUAUCAAAUGGCUCGUGCUCAAAUGGAAUCAGUUGUUUCGCCACAUAGUGCCCUAGGCCCUUAAUGAAACGAUGAUUUCUCUUCUCGACUGUAUCCACCAUAUGCGGAGCAAACAUAGAUAACUCAUUAAACCGAUUCGUAUAUUCCGCUACAGUCAUCGUACCCUGCCUCAGAUUCAGAAAUUCAUCCACUAAUCGGUCUCUGUAAGCACUCGAAAGGUAUCUCCCCUCAAAAGUAUUCCUGAACUCCUCCCAAGUCAGAGUGGUAAGGUCAAGCCCGACCUUCAAAGCGUCCCACCAAAGUAAUGCUCCACCCUCCAACUGAUGGGAAGCGAGCUCCCGCUUCUGAACUUCAGUCAACACCAUCUUUGCAAACACGGCUUCUGUCUGACGGAGCCAUAAGACUGCAGCUUUCCCGUCUCCCUUACCAUCGAAUUUGAUACCACCCAGAUUGAGGAAGUCUUUGUUCCUCUUAGCAAAUGGGUCACCAUUACCCCCAUUGUUGCCUGCAACUGCUAGCAACAGCUGAUUCAUCUGGUCCUGAGUCAACUGAUAAACUUGACCACGUCCUCUUCCCGCCAUGACCUUCAUUCAAAAGAUUAAAUUAUUAUUAGAUAAUCACCCAACUCCUCCAAACUUAUCACCCAUUCCACAUUCCGAGGAUCACCUAGACCUUCUCGGCCUAAGUUAACCAAGCGCUCUGAUACCAAGAGUAACGCCCUGGGAUUUCGUCCUCGCUCAUCCCGGUGCGUCGAGCACCAUACCGCUCGCUAAUGUCAAUAUUGUCCCUCUUUAGUCACUACGGAUAUCCAGCAGUAGAGGGUUUUGGAUCAGGGCCCAUCCAUGUGGUUUACCCCAAAAGGCCUUGACAUUAGUUAGAGUAUGAUUAAGCUCUAUAUACUACCAACACAUGGGUGUUACAUAAGGCAUCCAUGAUCACCUUCCAAGGUAUAAAACGUGCUCAUUUCACUUAAGACAUUGUUUAUAACAAAUUACCAAUUGUCAAUGGUUAAUCAUAUUUAGCUUGUGGUAGGUAACAUGUUAGGUGAGUGACAAUAUUUGAUUCUUCUUGAAAAAGACAUUCUGGGUGGUGGCAGACACUCUAAUAAAAAUGCAUUCAACUAGGGAUCCAUGACCACCUCCCAAGGUAUGAAACAUGCUCAUUUCAUGGUAGGUAACAUGCUAGGUGAGUCAGUGAACAUUGUUUAUUGAACCAUGUUGUUUUGUUUAUAAUAAAUUUCCAAUCGUCGAUGAUACCUAACAUGUUAGGUGAGUCGGGAAGCAAGUUGGCUUACUUAUAUCUGAGCAUAUUAUUAUAACCAAUCUGUUCAAUUAGCAUAUUUUAAUCAAUUAAACAUCUUAAACUUGUAAUCAAAACAAAUAUAACACUGCAAAUUAAUGAAAAUCUAAGUGAAACACAUCAAAGCAAACUUGUAAGCGAGUCUUUUAGUCAUUCUGUAUUUUUAUUAUUCAUUUCUUGAUUACUAUGGCGGAAGCCUUGAUUUCUUUUGUCUUGGAGCAAUUGGGAUCCAUUGCCAUACAUGAACUUGUCAAAGAGGUGGAGUUGGUAGCUGGUGUUGAGAAUGAAGUUAAAAGGCUUACUGCUACACUUACUAUGAUCAAAGCAGUGGUUAAGGAUGCAGAUGAGAAGCAAGUGAAGGAUGAAGCUGUGAAGUUUUGGUUGAAAGAACUGAAAGAUGUCUCCUAUGAUGCCGAGGAUGUGCUGGACGAGUGGAUCACUAGAACACUCAUUUCUAAGAUGCUGCAACAUGAGGUAAAUUAUGCUCCAAUUAAAGAGAAGGCGCGUUCUCAUCUCUUUAGCAUUUUUUGUUGUUUCAAACCUGUUGUCCUACGCCAUGAGAUUGGUGUUAAGAUAAGGGAACUGAAUGAUCGACUAGAUCAGAUUGCUACAAAUAAGGUAAGGUACACACUCACUGAAAGUCAAAAUCAAAGGGAAAGCCGACCACUCACUAGCUCUAUUGUUGAUGUUUCCGACGUUAUUGGUCGUCUUGAUGAUAAAGAAGUUGUUGUGAACAAGUUAUUGGGUGAGAGUAGUCGUCGUGAUUUGAAAGUCCCAGUCAUCUCAGUAGUUGGUACUGGGGGAUUUGGGAAAACAACUCUUGCCAAACUUAUCCUAAAACAAGAGAAAGUGAUUAACCACUUUGAGAUGCAAAUGUGGGUUUGUGUAUCUGAUCCUUUUAACCGAGAACUGGUUGCGAAACAAAUUAUUGAAGCUGCUAAGGGAAAUGUCAAUGAUAUGGUUAGCUGGGACGCUCUGCACAAGAGAUUAUCCGAGUCUGUACAAGGAAAGCGGUUCAUCCUUGUACUUGAUGAUGUGUGGCCACAUAAGUUCGAGGACUGGAAUCCCUUGAAGACUUCCCUAGAUCGUGGUGCAGUAGGAAGUCGAAUCAUAAUUACGACACGGGAUCAGGAAAUGGCUACACAAAUGGAUUCAACCUUUGUACAUCGGCUGAAGCAAUUGUCUGAUGACGAUUCUUGGUUAAUGUUUCAACACAUUGCUUUCGGAAGUAUUGAAGGCGAUCUUGAAAUCCUUGAAGACAUUGGGAGAGAUAUCGUAAGAAAAUGCAAAGGCGUUCCUUUAUCAAUUGAGGUUUUAGCAAGACUCUUGCGGUCGAAAGCAAACAUCCAAGACUGGAGAUAUGUGCUGGAAAGUGACAUUUGGGAUGUCCAGAGACAGGGUUUUCUACCCUCAAUAUUGUUCAGUUAUUAUGACUUACCUGCAAAACUAAAGCCGUGUCUUGCAUAUUGUGCAACCUUUCCUAAAGAUGCAAAAAUAAGAAAGAAAGAAAUGGUAAGACUAUGGAUGGCUCAAGGAUAUCUUGGCUCCGAUGGAAGUAAGGAUUUAGAGCUUGAAGGCGAACGCAUUUUUGAUAAUUUAGCGAUGCGCUCUUUUUUUCAAGACUUUGAAAAAGAUUCCAAAGGUAACAUUACUUGUUGCAAGAUGCAUGAUCUUGUUCACGAUUUUGUUCAAUUUCUUACUGAAAGUGAAACAUGUACUUUUAAAGAUGAAGAACUCAAGAAUAUCAAUGUUCGUCAUUUGAGUACUUUGACUUUGGAUACGCCAUCCAUUUACAAGCUAAAGAAGUUGCGCACACUGAGACCAGUCUCAGUUGGUGUGUAUAAUCUAAACAUGAGAAAACAUCUUGGCUUGUUACAUCAACUGGAAUGCCUUCGAGUAUUGGAUUUGAGUCACAGUGACCUUCAAGAAUUUCCUAGUGAUGUAGAGUUAUCGUUGCAUCUAAGGUACUUGAACUUUUCACAUACAGAGUUAAAGGAACUGCCUGAAACCGUAUGUAAUUUACUUAAUUUGCAGACGUUGAAGCUGAAGAAUUGCUUUGAACUUGCUAAACUCCCUAAAGGACUUGGAAAGUUGUGUAAUUUAAGACAUUUAAUGAUUGAAGGUACUUAUAGUUUGAAAUAUCUUCCACAGGGAUUAGGGAGAUUGAGUUGUCUUCGAACACUAAACAUAUUUAUUACAGGUGAUGGGGAUGAGAUUGAAGAAGAAGGGUGUAAUAUCAGAGAAUUGAAACUUCUCAACCAUCUUCAAGGAGAGCUACAGAUAAUUAACUUGGGUCAGGCGAAUGCAAAUGAGGCUGCAGAGGCACAACUAGAAAAGAAGAAGAACCUCCAAUCAUUGAUUUUGCAUUUCAGGACAGAAGAAGAAGAGGAAAAUGACGAUGAGGGAAUUCUUAAAUGUCUGGUACCACAUACAAAUUUGGAAGAAUUGGAGGUACGAUCGUAUAAAGGGACGAAAUUGCCAGAUUGGAUGUCAUCGUUAGACUUCAAUUUGGUCAAAUUAAAGUUGAGCGGUCUCGAAGAAUUAUUGCAAUUGCCUGCUUUAGGGAAGUUACCUUUCCUUGAAGUUCUUGUCUUAUAUAGAUUGAAGUCGGUGAAACGCAUUGGAGAUGAAUUUUAUGGGCUUAGUAGUGGUUGUGGUGGUGGAGGAAGAGAUCCAGUGCAGCAGAAAAUUGUUUUUCCAAAAUUGAAGGAAUUGGGCUUUAACUAUAUGGAUGCAUGGGAAGAAUGGGAUUUGCCCUACCAAAAUGGUAAUAACAACAUAGACUUUUUUCCAAACCUUGUUGAGUUGGAUAUUUCUAAAUGCAAUGGAUUGCAAGAAUUACCAUCGGGUCUUGGAAAGCUAAAGUCUCUAAAGUCUCUAAAGUCUCUCCCCUAUAGCUUUAACCUUCUCACAUCAAUUCGACAACUGCAUUUUCGAUAUUGCAAAUUCCUCGACUUUGGGCCUGAAGAUUUGAAACAUCUCACCAUGCUUCAACAAUUGACAAUUGUGGAUUGUCCUAUAUUGACUAGACGAUUCAUAGGAGAAGAUGUCUCAAGCUCUAGUUCAGAUUCUUAUAUCAUCUCCAUAGGUACAUCAUUCACAAUCCUCUUCCAUUUAUUUUUUCUUGUUUGGAUUUCCAUUUAUUUAUCUUGUCUAAUUUUAUUUUUUCUUUUUUAUUUGUGGCUUUUAUUGAAUGUGCUACUGUCAUUAACUAGCCCCAAUCUAUUCUUUCAUGCAGAGGGUUUCAAUGUGCAUAGUUAUGUUUGGUGUAAUAAUUGUGAGGUAACGUCCUUCUAUUGAUUUCAUAUUGGGAUAAUAUUUCUUUUUCUAGCUUGUUCUUUAAUAAGUAAAAUUGGGAUCAAUAAUUUCAUAUUGGGAUCCUUCAAUUCCUACAACUUGAAGCUGACAAUGCUUCUUUCUGCUUGAUAAGUUUUUUUCUUGUUUGGCUGGCUUAAAUUUGUUUGGUUGCUAAAUAUGGAUUUAAUACUCUUCUUUUAAUAAUUUGAUAAGACAAGUGUCUGCCAAAUUUCGACAGUAAGCAAAUAUGAAAUAUCUAGCCAUAAUUUGAUUUCUUCUCUUUACCUUUAUUCUUUAGUCAUAUAUGUUCUUACCACCAAAAUGAAUCUCUGCAGAUGAAUCCAAUAGUUGGGAAGCGAUACAAAUGCAAAGACUGUUCCGAUACAAAUAUUGUUAGCGCUAUGGGAGGUACAGGUUUUGAUUUAUGUGAUAAGUGUUAUAAUACUCCCUCCAAGCAUACAGAUCUUGUCAAUCAGCAUCACACACAAGGCCAUACAUUUGAGCUUAUUGAAAAUCGUGGAGACAUUCCCAUACAUCCAGAUGAUGGUGUUGUGGUUGCAAAAUCGGCUGCAGUUGAAGAGCAGAACAAAGCAUAAGUUUGAUCUAGUUGAUAAGUACAUAAGGGCGAGCAGUCAAGCAUAUUGAGGUUGGUACUGAUCAUUGUUAUUGAAGUUCUUUCCUGGUGGUUUCUUAUGAGUCUGCAGAGGAUCUAGAGAUCCUGGCGCACUUCUGAGUUUUUUGUUCUUAUCAAUGGAAGUAGCUUUUUAAUUAGCUUUUUGACUCUUUCAAAGUUACCCUUUGACAUUCCACCAUUUGUUACAGGAUUGUUCGUAUUUUGUUAUGGAAGACGAGCUUAUAUAUGUGUAAAAAUAUAUACUUAUUUGACGGUUCUAGAGCUGAUAUUUUCUUGUAAUUUUCUUCUUUUAGUGGAUUUCUGUGAUCAUGUUGCUGCUCUGGCUCUAGCGAAGGAAUAUGUUGUUGCCUCUUCUUCACAACAACUACCCAAAAAAUCUCAUCUAUGUUGAAAUUUUUGAUUCUUCACAAUCGUCCUUUCCCCAAAGCUUUGAUCUGCUCACAUCAAUUCGACAACAUGUAUUUCUCGGUUGCAAAUUCCUCGAUUUCAUGCCAGACAAUUUGAAGCAUCUCACCAUGCUUGAACAACUGGAAAUUGAUGAUUGUCCUAUUUUGGCUCAACGUUUCGAAGGAGGAGGAGAAAUCUUAAGCUCCAAUUCACACAUUGACAACAUCUCCAUAGGUACACCAUUCACAAACCGCUUCCUUUCUUUUAACAAAUUGCAUUGCAAAUAUCUUUUCAAACUAACACCUCAAACCUUGCUUCGAUUUCCAUUUAUUUUUCUUGUGGAAUUUACUGUUCUUGUAAUUUCAUAUUGGGAUGAUAUUUCUUUUUCUUGCAUAUUGUUUUGUUUGGCCUGUUUAUAUUUUGUUUGUUGCUAAACUAGGAUUAUAUAUUCUUCCACGAAAUUGCUAAUCUUAAAGCACUUCAAUGAUGAUGCAAAUAUUAAUUAUGUUGCCAUAACUAGCCCCAAUCUAUUCUAUCAUGCAGUGGAGAUCAAUCAAAAAGGGAGAUUUUCCUUUUGUGAAUUGCUUGACUUUGGGCCUGAAGAUUUGAAACAUAUCAUCAUGCUUGAAGAACUGGGAACGCCGAAGGUGGUCUUAUGGUUGCAAAAUCGCCUGAAAUUGAAGAGCAGAACAAAGCAUAAGUUUGGUCUAGUUAAUAAGUAUAUACGGGCGAGUGGUCAAGUUUAUUGAGGUCAGUACUGAUCACACUCUUAUUGAAGUUCUUUCCUUGUUGUUUCCUAUGAGGUUGCAGAAGGUCUAGAGAUCCGGGGUAUUCUUUCUCAUAAAUUCUCCGGGGCCCUUCUGAAUUUUAGCUUUUUCAUUAGCCCGUUGACUCUUUCAUUGUCACUCGUCUUUUGACAUUCCACCAUUUGUCCAUUUGUUACAGGAUUUUUUGGAUUGAACUAAUAAGGAAGACAAGAGCCUUGACUGACUGUUUGGGGUUGGUCUUAUUCUGGCUGUCCCUGAUCAAGAAACGGUGCAUUUUCAGCUUAUCUGGGGCGACUACCAAAAGGAGCUAGUACUUGAAGCUCGCCAAGAUGGUGUCAAGGUUGUUUACCACUUUACCAAGUGAGUGAAAUCUUUAAACUGAGGUACUUCUAAUAGGCUUGAAGAUUUACAUGAUUUACAGUAUAAAACCAACUACCAUCAGCCUUUUAGAAUAAAUGUGGAUGGUGUUAGCCACAAUUAUCUUACCUUGGACCUCAUUCACUCAAUUGUAUUAACAUGCUUGAAUUACUGACAAUCAAUUGAUGAUUGUCGUAUUUUGGUUGAACGUUUCAGAGGAGGACUAAUCUCUUGCCCUGGUUCACAUGUUUACAAAAUCGCCAUGUCUAUGCUUCUCUUCAUACAGUAAAUUGGCAAAGGCUAUUAAAAAGUACGCAUUUGGAGCCAUGGGGUUUCCAUGAGGGGUUCAAUUUUCAUCAGACUUUGAGAUCGAUUUGUGUACAUUUUCCACUGUGCACAGGUAUCUACUCAGCUUUGAUUGAUUUCCAUUUAUUUCCCAUUUGUAUGCAUGUCUUCACUCCAUCAUGCUUAAUGUACGGGUUAAAGAUUUAAUGACACUAUUAAAUUUCAAGGAAAACCUAGGUUUACAUCGUAUUAGAUAUUUGUUUUAAAUUAUGAUAGAUGGAAUCUACCUAGCGCGAGAAUUUUAUUUAACUAGCUAAGGUGAUUGAUUUUCAGCCAUUUUAACUCCUUUUGGCACUAUAUUGAUCUCAUCUUCACAAUUUGGCACUAUUGAUCUUAUCCAUCCUUUUUGUUUGCUUUAUGUGUUUUGCAGAUUAUGUAAGGGAAGCAUUAAGGAAGACAAGAACCUCUAUUGAUAAACCAUUUGGGGUUGGUGUUGUUUUGGCAUUGGCAUAUGAAGAAAAUAUAAAAGUGGAGUGGAUGAAAAGGGUGCAGUAUUACAGUUUAUGAUAUCUGGGAUGAACACGGCAGAGGAGCUUCUACUUGAAGAUCACCAAGCUGUCGUUAAGGUUGUUCACCAAGUAAGUGAUAUAUUAUUUACAUUUCAGCUUUUCAGAUUUUGAGAUAGUCAUGGCAAUGUUGUCAACCAUAUUGAUAUCUCACCUUGGAACUCAUUCACACAAUUGUAUUACCAUGUAAUGGUGGAAGUUCUGAAAGAAGCCGAAAAUGCUAUUACUGCUGGUGUAGAUGAAACCAUUGUCCAAGGACAACAACGAGGGUCGGUGAAACCAUCAUCCAAAGAACUCUAUUGGAAGAGAUGGAUCUUGUUCUUCAAAACCGUCCCUUCCCCAAGGUUUUUACCUACUCACAUCAAUUCAACAUCUGCAAUUUUUCUUUUGCAAAUUCUUAGACAUUACGCCUUAUGAUUUGAAACAUAUCACUUUGCUUGAACAACUGAAAAUAUUGUACUGUCCUAUAUUGGCUAAACGUUUUGGACAAGGAGAAAUCUCAAGCUCUAGUCCACAAGUUUACAACAUCUCCAUAGGUACACCAUUCACAAACCUCUUCCUUUCUCUUAACAAAUUGCAUUGCAAAUAUUAUUUCAAAUUAACACCUCAAACCUUGCUUCGAUUUCCAUUUACCUUUUUUUGUUUCCUUGUAAUUUCAUAUUGGGAUGAUAUUUCCUUAUCUAGCAUAUAUUUUUUUCGUGUUUGGCCUGUUUAUACUUCGUUUGUUGCUAAACUAGGAUUAUAUUUUCUUCCGUUAAAUUGCUAAUAAGUCUGCCAAAAUUUCACCUGUAUGCAAAUAUUAAUUAUGUAGCCAUAACAAGCCCAAUCUAUUCUAUCAUGCAGCAGACAUCAGUCUGCCUUGGAAGCGGACAGAAAAGGGUGAAUCUUUAUGAACCAUCUCAUCUACAGAGGGACGACCUGAUGUACAAGUUGUUGCUUAGUUGUUUAAUUUAUUUGUUUGGUUUCAAUUACUCUUUAACUAAAACAAGUUACAAUUUGAUAAGAUCUUUUUGUCCAUUCUUAGUCAAUAAACCCAACUACCACCCCCCAUCAACAGUUCAUGUUCUGUACUCCAUUCUGGAUUGAAAGGCAUGCGCAUGCUUCAUGGGCAUGUUAUUUCAAUUUAAGUAAAAUUCCAAGGAUUCGGUCCUUACAAGUUGAAGCUGACAGUGGUCCUUUCUGAUUGAUAAUUUUGUUCUGCCAAUGGAUCUUGUGUUCUUGUUUGGCUGGUUUAUAUAUUUUUGGGUUGUUUAUCAAAAAUUAUAUACUCUCAGAUGAAAUUGCUAAUUUCAAAGAACUUUGAUAAUGAUAAGAUAAAAGUCGACCAAAAUUUCAUGAUCUUCAACAGAUGAAUCAAAAGUUGGAAGCGAUACAAAUGCAAAGAAUCUUAUGAAUAAUGUGCUGUUGGCAUUGAAGGUUUCCAAGCAUCCAGAUCUGAUCAAUCAGCAUCACACCCAAGGCCAUACAUUUGAGCUUUUGGCAAACUGUGGAGACAGAUCAGUGCCCUUACAUCUUGAUGAUACUUCAGAGGACGCUGAAGGUGGUCAAGCAUAUAGAGGUCAGUACUGACACUCUUAUUCUCUGGCACACUUCUGAAAGAUCAAUAAGAGCUGGACAUUUGAAGUGACAAGAUUUUAAAGAAAUUCUAGGCCAGUGCUUCGUUGAAGAUAAGGACUUCUCCAAAAUAAAUUUAAGAAAAGGUAUGCAACUCUUACAGCUGCACUGUAAGCUUUCUUUUUUUUCGAACAGAGUAAUCAAGCAAGGGCUGUUUUAUCAACAUAUAAUUUAAAAGUUGUUUUUAUCUUGAUAUCAUGCAGAUUCGGCUUUUUGUGUACUAUCUACUUUGGGGUAGAUUGAUGUUGUCAUUUCUUACUGAGAGGAAAAGAAAGAACAAUAUGCACCAUGGUGCUCAUGCUUUUGUGGCAGUUUGUUGUGACCAUUAUAAGGGAUGGAAAUUGAUGCUAACUCUGCAUGGAAGGUUGACAGUAUGCUGAGAAGAUCUCUGUGUUACGGUGUGACUUCAGAAGAUUUAGGAGUGAAGUUUAGAAGAUCUCUGUGUUACUGUUGUGCAAGGGGUGUUUUGAUGAAAUUAGUUGUCAUACAAGGGAGAUUUAAACGCAAAAUAUGGAGGUCUUGCUUCUACCGGAAAAAGUGUUUUAUCUUCGGGGUUCUGUACGCAUCUAUAUCAAGUGUAAUCUCAUGGGCUAGGGAUCAAAUAUUUUGUCCUAGAAUUAGCUACAUAUGAUUAGCUCAAACAUUUGUACCUGGUGUAUGAAGUAAUUAUUUUGGUGUAUGAAAACCUGCAACUUCUCUAUCCAUAAGUACGCUGACUACAGUAAUCUUAAUAAGUUUAUGUGGGAUUGCAGUGUAAAUAUUUAAGAAGAGAAUGUAAUGUGAAGUGUCUAUUUUUUAUCAAGUGCUGCAUGAUGUUGCUCAUCUCUGCUAGAAGUUGCAUUACAGAACAAGAAAGUCAAGAACAAGGGGAAGAAGAACUGCUGCAGAAGUGUCUAAUGAGUAAUGAUGUCAUCUUAUGUGAACAGAAG